rnacentral:lncRNA from 1 species
ACUGCAUCAGCGGCCGGGGUGAGUAACUGGAGGAUCUCGUUGAGGGAAUCGAGGCGGUGGCCGAGCUCGCCUACCUGAGCCCUGAGUACCGAAUUGUCUGCGUCGAGGGACAGGAAAUGCUGGGUGGUGACGCUGAUGCUGGCGACGAUCUGGCCGUUCUCUUUCCUGAGCUGAUCAACCUGGGCCGUCAGAUCGUCGAGGUGUUUCUGCUUUCUCAUCCUCGACCUCCUCGCCGACUCCCUGUUCGACACCAUCCUCUUCCUCUUCCUCUCGUCCAUCAAAGCCUGGAGGUCCGAGUCCGACCCGGCUGAGUUGUUGCUCACCGGCGACGACGUCGCCGACGAUGUGCCGCUCGAAGACGUCAUUACAGAUUUUUUUUCGAAACCGAACAAAUUUAAAAAAGAGAAGCUAAUUAAUUAAAUAAAAAGUUGAUUACUUUAUAAGGGGAUGGCAAAAGGGAAAUUAAAGGUCGUUAUGAAACAUAGUAGAGGAAGUAAAGGAAGACGACUGAGAAAGAUUGAACGAGAUGAGUCCUUCGCCGGAAAGUGGAAUUUAUCAUACAACGGAGAAGGAACAGUUCACUAAGAAUUGAAGACAUGAAUCUCUAGACUAUGCAUCAAGCUUAGCCGUCCUUUUCAACUCCUUUUUUUUUUCUCACAAUGAAACCCACAGUCAAGAUUCCGUCGAUCGGAGAAAUCGAAACGGAGGAUCUGAAAAACAGAGCAAGGGGAAAGUGAACCCAAAUCGUAGAAAUUGGCUUAAGAAAUGAAGAGGGUUGGUGAUUUAAGAAACGGAGAUGGGAGAAAUCGAAACAGAGAGGGGUGAAAACAGAGGGAAGGGAAGGGGGAGGGGAAGAAGAGGGGGAGAAAUGAAGAGGGGUUGAGGGGUGAAUUUAUAGAAGGGGGAGAUUGCUGGACUGGUUUAAAGAAUUAUUAUGAAGGGAGGAGGAAAAAAUCUGGAAAAGGAAUUGAGAAAGUAAAGUGGUGGGGAGAGAGAAAGGUGAUGGAGACAUGUGGGGUGGUGAAGAAGGAGAGAGAAGAAGAGUCCAGAGAAUACAGCUGGGAACCAACAGUAGAGGGAGGAGGAGGAGGAGGAGGAGGAGGAAGAAGGAAUUGUUUUUUUUUUUUGCAUUGCAUCGCAUCAUUUUGUUUGAUUGUUUUUGUUGUUGUUGGUGGUGGUGGUGGUGGGGGAAGGGUCUUUUGAUGUUGGUGUUGUUGUGUUGUGUGAUGAUUUGCUCACUCAAAAUCUGGUGUUGGUUGUAUUUGGAUGCAAUCAUGGUGGUAUUAUAUGGCUUUUGUUGUUCAUGAUCAUGGGUGAAAGGUACAAGUUGGGGGAUUCUGUUUGUGGUUGAUGGGUUCUUUCAAGAAGGAUGAUCGAGUAGUGUGACUCAUAUGUGUUGUUUUUCGUGUAGUGUAUUAAUAGUUGCUUGUUAAGUUCUAAACUAGCUUUUAUAAUUAGUUGAGCAUAGCAUUGAAACUGAUGGAUAAUUUCAAUAAAGACGAUAGAGUAGUAUGAAUCCUAUGUAUUGUGUUCCGUUCUGAUGUCUCGGUAGUAGUUUGUUAGGUUGUUACUGGUUUUCUAAACUACGUUUGUAAUUCAUCGUCUUGGUCGAGCAUCAUUGCUGUAAUUCGAUUCCUAACAUUGUUAUACAUGGCAUAAUAACCGGCUAAUUCUAGAAGAGAAUCUACAAUUUAACAGCAAGUUGUAUAUUUAUUUACCACAUAUAAUAAAUCUACAAAAGGUACAUAAUCUUGUUUGUUAAUGAAAAAAAUAAAAUCACACAUCGCACUCCUGAAUAUUUUAUAAAUUUUGCACAUCCCCAAAUGUUGCCUAAAAGUUACCAAUGGAAUCAGAAAUUAAUGAACCGAAACAAAUAAAAAUAAUAAUUACAACAGCCAGAAAUGGAGACCCAAUUUGAGCCUGUUGGGCCACCGUGGUCAUCAGUUUAUUGGUUUAUAACUAUCUAGUCAUCAACAUUUAAAAAGUAAUAUACAUACCGCUAACCUAUUUCAAUUAUAAUACGUAAUUAAUCUCGUUAAUGCUCCAUCCGGAAAUUUUGCUAAUCCGACUGACCACCAUGCACUUCACUCUUUGCUAUGCAAACUGUUGUAUCUUUUAGAUCCAAUCUAUUCAAUUUGUUUGAGUUGGAUGAUUUUCAGUGAAUUGAGUUAAAUAUUUAAAUUAGAUUUUAAGUAUGUUCAUAUGUGUUAAGUUAGAUUGUUUGAAUGGAUCGAAUCUAUGAUGAAAUGCGUGAUAUGGUCGUUUUUUAAAUUAUAAAUUAGUGUGGUGAUUUGUCAAUUAAAAACAAUCGGUUAAUUAUAAUAGGUUUCAAUUGUUUGGUGACUACAAUGCAUAUUAUGAAUUUAUGAUUUUCUUGGGGAAAAAAGGUCCACCGACGAUGUACUGACAACACUGAGUUGCUUAGAAUCUUGGAAAUCUAGGGAUGUAGGUCUGUCAUUAUUUUAAUUUUCAUUCAAAUUUAUUUAUUUAUUUUUGGUAUAUAAGCUUCGAGCUGUUGAUGAAACGAAUCGAGCUGAGCAUUUUCCAAUUCGUUCGUUUGAAAUAGCAGUACGGGUUCGGCUAAUUCGUUUGAAAUAGCAGUUCGGGUUCGGCUAAUUUAUUAUCAAGCCGGUUUGCGAGCUAACUCAUUAAAAUCAAAUUGAAUUUCGAUCAAUUUUUUUUCAAAUCGAACGUCAAAUUGCUCGCGAACGACUUGAUUGGUCAACAACUCUAUUAAUGACCUCAUGGAAGUUCAAUGUUUUUCUUAUUACAAAAGGGUCCUCUUUAUUCUUCAUUUGUCUAUGAGAAGUCCCAUUGAUUAGUCCAUGGCCCAUGUUUUGGUACCUUUGGGCGGUUUGGGGGUCACCCCCCACUAUUUGAUGUCUUGUUUGUUAGUCGUACAACCUAACCAUUAUAGUGGUCUACAUUCGAAACUUGAAAUCGAUAGGAUAUUGCUAAUUGUAUAUAUUGUCAUAUUGAUAUGAGUUAUUAGAUCGAAUCAUACCAUCCACAAUUUUUUUACUUACCACUAACCACAAUUUCUAUAAAAUGAGUGUUGUAAACCGAACCUGACUCAAACCUGAUUUAGUCCUUCAAAUAAGUUUUUUCAGUGCCAUAUCUUAUAGAUUUCUCCUACCUUCAAAAUUUAAACUUCAGACUAGAUAAUUUUGACAAAUUAAACAAAACUAAUCAUUAAUAAAAAAAAUUUAGACCAUUUGGUUUAAUUUCAUCACAUAAUUAUUUUCGAAAAAAAUAAUGUUACAACAUCCGGACCAUGAUUAUCAUAUACCAAACCGAAAUUUGUUUCAUCAACGAUAAUAUUACAAAAUCCUAUCCAUGAUAAUGUUUUUCUNNNNNNNNNNNNNNNNNNNNNNNNNNNNNNNNNNNNNNNNNNNNNNNUAAAAUAAUAUUUAAUUUCCUGCACAUCGGGUUUGUUUAAACAAUAAUAGUAUCUUAUACUGAUUCGAAAUUCAUCACCGGUAAAUCCAAUUUAUCAAUUUAACAUGUUUCAUGUACAUAGGAUUUGCAUUCAAAGCAUCUAGCUAUUCAAUUGCCAACAUUUUCCACAAAAAUGUGCGGGGUCCUAUUUCUAAUCCACGAUCCCUUCAUCCCUUGCCCCUUGCCUUUAAGAUUUGAUUCCAAGGCUAAUUAACAGUUGGGUUUAUAAAGAAACAAAAUGAAAGGUGGAUACUUUCUUUUAUUAUUUAAUUAGUGAUCUAUGAUUUUUAAAAAAGGUUAAUUAGUGANNNNNNNNNNNNNNNNNNNNNNNNNNNNNNNNNNNNNNNNNNNNNNNNNNNNNCCAUAAAAUGGACAAAAGCCAUCAUUAGGGAGGCACUUAACAUUGAUAUUUGCAAGACCAUGGUAAUCAAGAGUUCAAUGAAUUAUGGUGCACCUUUAGGCAUGGACCAUCCACAAUAUGGCACUUGUCUUUAUGGAAUCAUGGGAUUUUGUUUUUGUUACAAAAUAAUUAAUAUUUUUUAUUAAAAUGACAAAAAGAUGAAGUAACGAAUCACAAACACAAUACCACAUAUUUUACGUAAUUAUUAAUGAUUAUAAGUUGAUAUUCGAUUGAACCAAAUACAUAAAUAUUGUCUAGCCGUCUUCCAUUACUAUUUAGUAUUUACUAGUAAUUGUAUUUUUCCUUAAACUAUUUUACUAUAUACAAGAUUUAUGACAUUCUCAAGGAAGAUAAUGAGAGAAUUUAUUUGCACUUAUCUUUGUUUUAUUAUAUUUUACAGAAUAAAAUAUCCAUGGAAAAUAAUAAUAGUCGAGCUGGACUUUAAAUUUGAAAUUUUGUCUACNNNNNNNNNNNNNNNNNNNNNNNNNNNNNNNNNNNNNNNNNNNNUCGAAAUGGUCAGAAAUCCUCGAUAAAAUUACAAAUAUGAGCCGAGUUUAAAAAUACUUUGGCGCAAGAUUUGAGAACUCGUCAUAUAUAUAAAUUUCAAUCUUAUUUGNNNNNNNNNNNNNNNNNNNNNNNNNNNNNNNNNNNNNNNNNNNNNNNNNNNNNNNNNNNNNNUUGAUGGAUUUCGAGUUUCAUCAGAACUUUGCUUGAUUAUAAGUAAGGAUACGCUAUAUUCUACCUUGGAAAUUUUUAUAAUAAAUUUACCAUAGUGGUUUCUUCAUUUUCGUUAUAAUAAAAAUAUAAUCAAGCAUUUUUUUAUAUAUGAAAGUAGUCGACAUCUUAAUUUGAAAAGCACGUGUAUGAACGAUGUAAACACCUUAUCUAGCUAGUCAUUUUUGCGACUUUAAUGAAAAAGAUAUUGCAUUGUCGUACAUCAUCGACUACUAACAUAAUUUUCGAAAACUCACCCUCAUAUUGUACAUCGAAUGAUCUUAAGUAUACAUUUGAGAUUCUGUAAUAAGGGAGACCGAACUUGACAAACACCUCCAUAGUUAAAAAAAUUCAAAGAGAACUUUGACUCCAUUUUGGCUACUCCUUUUCUGGUGCAUCCAACUUUUAAUGAUGGCUAAUAGGGUACGAUGAAUUCCAAAAAAAUGUGCUUAAAUCCCAUUUGUUUGAACCCAUUUUGCCUUCACGGCGAAGUAAUUAAAGUGCAUGAUAACAUGGUGGGCACACUAUACACAAGAUUGAGAGGAAAGGAAAAUAUUAAAGGAUGGUAUCGAAAUUCGUUAGCUAAUCGUUUCUUUGACCUAUUGGUUAGGUUAAUAUCAGCCGUUAGUCAAAACACAAUUAUCGGAUCUACUCGACUCCCUUGUAUUUUUAUAGAUUUUUCCAAUUUUUUUUUUUAAAUUGAAUCGAUCAGUUAAUCAAUUUAUAUUCUCGUCAGUUGGAUGGUCGAAGGUUAACAAAUUAUCCAAAUUUAGUUAUUAUCAACCUACCUACCGACUCCAUGAAUCUUUUGUACUUAUUUUCUUUAUUCGUUCUUCUAAAUUUGUAGGGACACAAGAGAUUUGAAUCGACAUUUUUACCACUCCUUUUUAUUUCUGAGUAACUUUUGAUUGUGCAAUUGUUGCCGAUGUUAUGAAAAAAAAUGUACUUUUUUCACAAAGGAUUUUGCUUUAGUGGUGGGUGUGGGGUUUGGAGGCAAAUGUGUGGUUGGGAUUUCUCAUUAUUUUACAGUUACCAUUGAUGUUAAAGUCAAUAAUUUGGUAAAAACAAAGCCCUCUCGUAUCACCUCAAUUUGAUUACACCAAAGCCACCACUUGUAUCCAUAUCUUGAAUUGAGAGUGAUUAGUCGAUGAUAAAGCUGGUCGAACGAAAUUGUGUUGGUUUAAUCAUGUUGUAUAUGAAUUGAUUGAUGGAGAUAUUAUUAUUUGACGCAACAAAUCUGAGCAACAGAAUACGCGUUGUGUUGUUGGUGGGUUGUUGUGGCUGAGAUCCUUACUUUUUGGUGGCGUGCCUGUGUUUGCAUGUGCAAGUGAUCCGAUGUGUCGCCAACGAAGCCACCCAUAAACUGACGAGAUAAGUUGUGUGGAGGCGAACCUCGCGAUUUGAAUUGAUAGUUGUUUUUGGUCAUAGGUAGCUCAAGGAGAGGAGGAACGAGGUGAAGAUCUUUGUAGUUCGUUAGUCUGCAUUUUCUUUCCUUAACACUUUGAUUUCUGCAUUGAUUGAUUCGAUGUGUAUCGCCCUCUUUUCAGGACUUGAGAGAAAGAAUAGAUGUUGUGUCUGAGCCCGUUGUUGAAUCGGGUAAGCUAAUAAUGUUUGUGCAGUUCUUUUCUUCUUCAUGUCUUAUUGGUUUUAUUCUCAGAAGAACAUCUGAACUGAUUCUUGUGAUAUAAAAAAGUAGGCACAGAGGAGAAUCCUCAGAAUGAUAACGUCUUCCUAGAUGAUGUUGAGUCUCUUGUUCCACCAGAGAGCAGUUUUGUCGCUCCUUCAGAAACCAGACAUGAAAGUGAGGGCACAAUGCCUGCAGCAGAAGAGGCAUAUGUUUAUGAUCUAUCGUCCUUGGGCUUCGACGAUUUUGUUCCUUCAGCUACUGCUGCCUCUGAGCUCCCAAUGAACUCAGAACAGACGGGUUAUGAGCAAACAUGUGUUUUGAACGAGGCAGGCAAAAAUUCAAGGGAGGAUGCUCCUGAAGUGGUGAAAAAGGUAAUGUCGUUUGAAAUGUAAGUAAGAUGCUAUACGACGCAUUUGUUACUAUGGUUGUAACCUGUUUCUCUCUCUCUCUCUCUUAUCAGAAUCGAGACAACAAUGAAAAGACUUCUUCAUUAGGCAGUGACGGGAGUGGCGGCAAGCUCUCAAUGCAGUUGAGGAAGCGAUCAGGUGGUCGUCAAGUUCUUAACGAGUCUGAGCCUGUGAGUGGUCAUGAUGAUAGCAGCUUCCUUGUUGAGUACCUGAAGGCCUCGGUACGAAUGGAGAUGAGGAUUAUGAAUAUCGGAUCGAGGAUUCUGAGGAUGAUGGAAAUGUUGAUGCUGGCGGGGAAAGAACUUCCAAGAAAAAGAAAGCUGCUAAAAGGUCAAAGAAAUCAGCUUCGGGUGAAGAGAAGCCUGGUCGAAAGCGCAAGAAAGCCAGUGACACAUCAGAACAGUUGGAGCAGAAGCAGCCAAAGAAGAAACUUUCCCAUUCAACUCGCCGAAGGAAAAGAUAUCGCAAGUUCGAUACUCUCUAUUAAAUAUGUGUCACUGUUUCGAUUCUUGACAAUGAUUUGAUCUUUUUAUACAGGAAAUGACGAGUUGCUUAAGGUGCCCGAAGAUGAAAUAGAAUUCCGGAGCUUGACCAUGCGGGAUAUAAUUGUUCUUGCUGAACACAAAGAACGGUUAGCUGUGAGUUUAUCGGUUGCACUAAAUCAUUGCUUAAGUUACUGCUACCAGGAUUGAUCUCGUUAAUGCUAAUUGUUUGCAAAACGUCUUUUGCAGGCUAAAGAUGCCAAAGCUUCUUUGCAAAUUCCUUCGACUGAUGAAAAGUAAGAAGUCAUUUGUGAUUAGUGGAAGGCUUUCUCUGAACCGUUUAUCUUGUUAAAUUAAUCGUGCUCACCUCAGAACCAUUUGUCUCAUCUUGUUUAAAUGUAUUACCCUGUGCAGCACCGAGGAAGCCAACGAUGAAGAGGAUAACUCUGAGUCCGAGGAACCUGUAGACGUAUACGAAACCCCUUUAUUCAACAGCCAUUCUUUCAUGAAUAGGACGCCCACCAUGAGAUGGUCAAAACCGGAUACUGAUUUAUUUUAUGAGGUAUAAACAUCUCUCUACAAUAAAUCGGUCGCAGAAAUUAUCUUCUGCUUUCUUAAUGCUUUCGAAGCUUCAAUAUUGCUGAUUGGUGGAAUCAAACCCUUGUAUGCGUGAUACAUUGAACUUAAUUAUGGUACAUUAUGCUUGUUCUGGGCUUUCAGGGAAUUCGACAGUUCGGAUCCGCCGACAAAUCAAGAAUAAAUUCAAAACUGAAGAGCGCCGACAUCCAUUCUUACUUUCUGACGCUCUGCAAAACCCCAACGGUGGUAAUGUUCUUUACCAUCACUGUGAAAGCCUUUUCCACGUCAAAUUGCUAGUUGAAUAAUAUAGCAGCAUCCUUGUCUUUUGCAGAUACUACGUAUUUUGAUAAGGUGUAUAAUAAGCUGGCGCAAGCUGCAGCUGAUGAAGGAAGAGAGCCUCUCGAUCUUACCGGAGAAAAAGAAGCAGAUUUGAAUCUGGAAACUAAUGUAUGCUUGCAGCCCGCUUCGAUUCCAAUCAGAAACUAAUUUGCUUCCUUUAUUCUAAUCCAUGUGUAAACGCCUGUAUGGUUGCAGGAGGAACCAGGAAAAAACUCGGAGCAGGACGAGCAGGCAACGGGUCAGGAUCCUGGAGAUAACCCUGAUGAAGCCCAUAGUAAUGAGAAGAUCGAGGACGAGGACGAGGAUGAUUUAUUCAGCUCGUAUAAAUGUGAAUUCUGAAGCAACAAGCUAAACAUAUUGUAGCUGUAUUAUUAUCGAGUCCAACGAUGAAACUAGAUAGCUUGAAACAGUGGUUAGUGAAUGAAAUAGAUAUUAGGUUCCUUCUCUGAUUACUUGCCUCUAUUUGUGCUUUAACACCCUACUUUUAUUUCAGGGUUAACAAAUGGUCCUUCGGGAAAGAUCAACAAUGAUUAUCGAAGAACGAGAGAACGAGAGAACGAGUUUGAAUGGAGCGAUCAUCGAAUUAGAUUUGAGUAUUCAACCUUGGUGUAAAACAUCCAGCUAACAAUCUCAUGUAUCACCAGAUUAGAAGGGGCUAUUAUUGUUCUAUUUGCAUCUCGAAAUCUGGAAGAAAAACGUACAUUUCAAGAAUCUACAAAAACAUUUUGAAUGGUAGUCCUUCCGUUGCUACCUCGAUAGACCGUAAAGAUGCAAAAAUUUGAGCACGAAAACGAAGACCGAAUGGGGGCAUCUUCAAUAUCAACCAUUAAUUGAUGGGUUUACUUGCCUGUCAAGUAACAAACUAGCAACCUUACACAAUCUUGUACAAUGCAGUCUUUCCAUUGCAAAACAUUCAAAACUCUUGUCCAGUUUUCCGGAACAACUCUGGGUCACGUGAUUUUCUGGAGAACGAUGCACCAAUUCGAUUUGUCGAAGAACUGAUCGACUAUGACUGCAUUCUUGAUUCCAGAUGUCAACCUGAAACAACAUAAGGUGAGAACAAAACCUUAUAGCUGAAACGAAUGCAGAAGGCAAAAGCGGUUGAUGAAACCCGACUUGUUACCUUUCGAGCUCUCCUUCGCUAAAGACGUGAUAGUACCGGUUGUAGAUGACUGCACCCUUCUUGUCAUCUUUCCUCGCCAAGCCGGAGGCCACAGCAGAGGCAGAAGCGCCCCCAACUUCAGCUCGAUGAUACGGCAGAUGCCAAGGCACGAAAUACUCGUGCUGACUUCCAUCCUCUCUCGAAACCACUGCAUCACCAGAUUCCGGGAUGCUUUUCAAUGCAACAGACGAAGGGGGACUCCGCCUCUCAUCGUGCAGUAUUUCCUUCCCUUCUGCGGAUUCUGGGAUGCUUUUCAAAGUCACGGACGAAGGGCUCCGGACACGAGGACUCCCCGGUCCAAUCCAUUCCUCGACAUACUUAUCAUUAAGAGGCGUCCACUUCGUAAGCAGCGACCGAUCCUCUUGCUCGGCAGCCCAGACAGUUAUCAACACAAGUCCACCCUUCUUCACAACCCUAACCAACUCCUCCACCGCCUUCUUCCUCCUGACCUCGGUGCUCAAAUGAUGCAGCACCGCAAUCGAAAUCGCAGCAUCGCCAAACCCGUCUCGGUAAGGAAGAUUCACAGCAUCUGCAACCAGAACCUCGCUCCCUCGAUCCGCACAAAUCUUGAUCAGCGGGCUGCUGAUAUCGCACCCGAUGAAAAAGCAAUCCGGAUUCAGCCCUAGAUACUUCCCGUUCCCACAUCCUGCAUCGAGCACGAGCGAUCCUACUGGCAAAUUGUUUAGGAAAGACGCUACCUUUGGCCAUUUAGCGAACCUCGUGGAGCUGAAAUGAGGCGCUAUCGCGUCGUAAACUCGAUGCACAUACUUCUUUUCAAUCUCCGGGGUCGAGCCGAUACAUGAAGCUGCCUGGUGAUCUUCAGCAUUGGAGCAGAAGCUGGCAGCAGAGCCAGUCACCUUGAUUUCCUUCAUCGGUUUUGAGAUCUGAGCAGCUAGUAAACCGUAUGACGAGCUACUUGCCCUAGUGAAUCCUAAUCGCAUCAGCUACCCCCGCCUGAAAUUGUACUCUCCGAUGAAAUGAAAACGAAUAGACCAGCUUUUUUCAGCUUUCUAAACUUAGAAUCGUACGGUUGGAAUCUGAAUACUGCUGAAAUCGAUAACAUGAAGAAAGGAAACUGAAUAGCUUACCGGCUCUGGCAGUUCGGAUCUGCAGCGAUGACGACUGAAUCCCUUAAUCCCUUUCUCCCCUAAUCAGCGGCGAUCUGGGAGGGAGUGGGGUGGGGCGAAAAGGUAGAAUGGAUUGAAAUUAGGGUUUUUGUAAAAUUAAAAAAUUGAUGAUUGGGGGAUAUCUCGGGAACUGGGUGGUAUUAUUAUUGUACAGCUACUGAGCUUAGCCAAUUUUUAAUUAUUAUUUUAUUCGCGGGUGCUAUACGAUCUCUGUAUCCAUACCGUAUACAUACGAGUAUACUUGUGUGAAAUUUGCCAACGUAAUUUGUUUCUCCUUCACACACUCUAUUUUUAUUAAUAUAGUUUGUUUUACUACAUAGUUCCUGAACUUCUCAAAUUUGUCUUUCAUUAUCCAAAUUAUUACGACGUUUUCACUGCCAACUCAUCAUCUCCACAAUUCCCACAAUAUUGCCAUAAUACAUCUUAGUCGAUUACUAAAGUGGCAAUCGAUGUAGAGACAUCAACAAACAAAAGAUAAAUUAGCGACGAAAUGACAUCAUAAUUUAACAAUCUAAUAAAAAAAAUCUACAAACAAAUUAGGCGAUUGAUUUAUUCCGACCUCCGAACAAUAUGUCUUUAUGCCAUUACUUACCAACUAGAUAAGUAAAUGGACCAAAAGCCAAAAAAGAUGAUUGAUUUACAUUCACACUGAAUAAAUAAAUAAAAACCCUAGCUAGGUAGCAUUUGAUUGAUAAUAAAGCUUAAUGAGUUCACUUUUGUUAUGUGGUCAAAUUAAGGGGGACAAUUUGAAUAUCAAAGAUGGCCAGCGAACUAGUAGUCGGUGGAGUGGAAAUAAUGUUAAUUAGUUAAAUUAGAAGCUUCUUUUAAGCAAGUGGCAAAGAUGGAUUCCUCAAUAGGGCACAAAAUUGUUUUUAAUUUUUAUGAGGAUAUAGUAAUUAUUGAUUUAUAGAUAGAAGAUAUAGAAAAGUUAGAUAUGUAUANNNNNNNNNNNNNNNNNNNNNNNNNNNNNNNNNNNNNNNNNNNNNNNNNNNNNNNNNNNNNNNNNNNNNNNNNNNNNNNNNNNNNNNNNNNNNNNNNNNNNNNNNNGUAUGAUCUCAUUUGUGUUGAACGAAUAUUGGCCUGAUUUGACUUGAGUGAAAACUAUAAAUUUAUUAGUCCUUACAACUUGUAAGAUACACGACAAAUAACUUUCUCAAAACGAGUAAUCUUUCAGAUGUUGAUAUGUACAUCACUCAGCAAACAAAUCUAAUUCAAUAUUCAGUACCCACAUUUAACUCUUGACAUAUUAAUCCACCCGAACUUCCAAGAAGAAGAGACAAAACAAUGAAAGAAUUGUUCACAUUUGAAGCUUUUAAUUAUUGAAUUAGAUUUCUUUAGUUUUCUCUAAUAGCAUUCCUUCUAUUUGUUUUCAUUUGUAAGUUUAAAUUAGAAGAAAACAAGUUGUUUAAUUAUUUAAACAAAACAAAAUCUCUUAUUGUUUGGUUGAAAUAGAACAUAAAAGUUUCCACAUGUACAAUCAAUUAAUUAGCUGUAAUUUUGGUGUUAGUGACAGCAAAUUAAUAAACAAUCACUAAGUACCCAACAAUUACACGAACCAAAAUAGGAAAAUGAAAUUCUUCCCAAGUGGCACCACGUCAGCAUUGUACUGAUUUUUUUUUCUAACUUUCUUCUUUGGUGAAGUUAGAACAAAACACAAUUAUCUGUUUGUGAGAGAUUCAUGAUAUCAAAAUACAUAUAUGAAAAUUACAAUGUUGAAUUUAGCGAAAUUGUUUGAAUUUAUUUUUGGCGAUGGGAGUCAAAAUCGUACAAAAUGUUUUUGAAUGUAAUUCGAAAUCUAGUUUUUUUUUAAGGAUUUUAAUUUCAAAAUCAACAUAUAAAAACUAAAAAGACACUAGAACAUAAUAGACUUUCAAACAAGGUAGUGUACACAAUUUUAUAAGAAAGUAAAAGAUUGAAAAUGGUAAAAAUAUUAACCCUAACUCAUCCUUGUGGAUCAAAUUAUCAACGAUACCUUACAACCCAUUAAACAUGUGAUUUUAUAUAUAUGAUAUAACCCAUUUAACCCAAAUAAAACACUCUCAACCCAUUAAAUAUAUAACUUUACGUUACCAACUUAGAACCCGAUCAACCCGACACUCGAAAAUAAUGAACCAGCCAGCCAUACAAUAGUCAACAUUAGCCAGCAGACAUAUCUGUUAAUUUAUUAUUAUUAUUUUAACUACGACCAAAAUUUACCUCGCCACGUGGCACUCUGGUGAAUAAAAAACGUAUGUCGGUGGACCCUACCCGCCACCAAAUUAGGUCUCCUACUAUUAAACCAAAUCUUCCCAACGCUCUCUGUAUUUCCUUCUUCUGCCGUAAUUUAAUUUAUUCAAUCGGCCAGAAGAGAAAUUUGAUGUUUCAGUUCCUCUAAUUUUUAAUUUAUUCCUCCCGAAGAUCAUAAUCUCCAUUUUGUAUCUGUAAAUUUCUGAUUUCCUAUCCUCUUUACCUAAAUUUACGCUGCAAUUUUCGUCUUACCAGAUGCGAUUGUUCUUGAUCGUUCGAUCUUCCUCGUGAUCGGCGCUCCCACCCACACUGAGUUUCUCCUUAUGCAAUCAAUCAUAACCCCAAAUUUCAGAUUCUGAUAAAGUGGUCAAAUUUGAUUUCUCUCUGUUUGGCUGGCUAAGCAUUUUAUUUUUCGAGCUCUGAAAGUGGGGGAGUUGGCGAAGGACACUGUCUCCCACUCGAAUUGUAAAGUUUUCCACUGCUAGGGUUCGUAAGCUUACUGCAUUUGGUCGUUUGAUCUGCUCUCUCGAUCGGUAAUUUUGGUGGUGCGGAGGAAAAACCCCUUUUUCAGACUGUGUGAGUCGUUGAUUUUCGGCGAAAGGAAGGAGCUUUGAAAUGUCUGGUCCGCUCGAUCGGUUCGCUAGGCCUUGUGAGUGCAUUUUUUAAUUGUGAUUUCUGACUUUAUUUAACUUUUUUUUUUCUUGGUUGAGCUAGGGUUUUGAGCUGUUUGUUACAGUGAGUUCAGUUUUUUAGAUCGGAUUUUAGUGCUUUAUAGCAUAAUUAUGAGAAUGCAGGUUCUCUGAAGUGAUUUCUGUUGGAAGAGAAGUGGUAAUUUGUUACUGAAUGUGAUUACUGAUGAUGAAUUGUUGUUAUGUCGCGUAGGUUUUGAGGGUUCAUCAGGGGGAGAUGAAAGGAGGGAGGAGAGGAGGGAGAGGAGAUCUGAUUUUGAGAACUCCGAGGACGAGAGAAGGACGAGGAUUGGGUCGCUGAAGAAGAAGGCAAUUAAUGCUUCUACCAAGUUCAAGCAUUCUCUGAAGAAGAAGAGCAGCACCAGGCGAAAGAGUGAUGGCCGGGUUAGCUCAGUUUCCAUCGAAGACAUACGGGACCUCGAGGAACUGCAGGCUGUCGAUGCAUUUCGCCAGUCGUUGAUCAUGGACGAGUUACUUCCUGAAAGACACGAUGACUACUACAUGAUGUUGAGGUGAACCCCCCUUGAUUAUGUGUUCAGGAUAGAAUGUGAGCUGUUCCUGAACUUGCUAUGAUUAAUUAGGCAUGUUUAUAGUAUACAUAUCGUCCUGUUUUGGGCAUAAUGAUCAAGUCCACUUUCAUUAAUGUAAUCUUCGGUUGCUUGUUUGUGUUACUCUUGCUAACCCUUUUAUGUGUCUCAGGUUCUUGAAAGCUAGGAAAUUCGACCUUGAGAAAGCAAAGCAUAUGUGGGCUGAUAUGCUUCAAUGGAGGAAGGAAUUUGGUACUGAUACUAUCAUGGAGGUAAUUCCGACUUUCAAUGAAUCUGGAGUUGAUAUUAUCAGCUUCCCCUUGUUUAGAACUUCACUUAGUUUCUUUUCUUGUAUCAGGAGUUUGAGUUUCAAGAAUUAGAGGAAGUUUUGAAGUAUUACCCACAUUUCUAUCAUGGCGUGGACAAAGAAGGGAGACCUAUUUACAUUGAAAGAUUGGGGAAAGUUGAUCCUCACAAACUUAUGCAAGUAACAGAUCUCGACCGCUAUGUGAAAUACCAUGUCCGUGAGUUUGAGAAAAGCUUUUUGGUCAAGUUUCCAGCUUGUAGCAUUGCUGCAAGGAAGCAUAUUGACUCUAGCACAACAAUUCUAGAUGUUCAAGGAGUGGUAUGUUGGUUACUUAUUACAAUUUGUUACGCUUAUUUCCAUGAUGUAUUAAAGAACAAUCUCUUCGUUUUGUAUCCCUAGAAAAAAGAAUUCACCUUUUUCAUUUUACUCGCUUACAUUUAGGGAUUAAAAAACUUCACUAAAUCUGCUCGGGAACUUGUCAUGCGGCUGCAGAAGAUUGAUGGUGACAACUACCCCGAGGUAAGAUAAUUUCGCUUGUAUAGCUCUAAACGGUUAUUACUUAUAUAGUUAUAUUUUUAUCCUUUUGUAGAGAAUGCUGACUUGUUUAUACAAUGUGACAUUUGUGUCAAUACUGCAGACUCUACACGAAAUGUACAUUAUCAAUGCUGGGCCUGGAUUUAGGCUUUUGUGGGGUACCAUCAAGACAUUUUUGGAUCCAAGAACCAGCUCCAAGAUUCAUGUAUGAUUGUAAUUAUAAUUGUGUUAUAUUUACUGUAACUAUCCUGCCGAACCAUCCAAUGAACAAAAUUUGUUGUGUGAAUAUGUAGGUGCUUGGAAACAAGUAUCAGAGUAAAUUGCUCGAGGUAAUCGAUGCUAGGUAAGCAUGUUGCACUGGUUUAUAGAAGUGCCGAAUGCUAUUUUACCGGGAUGUUAUGCUAAUUUCUAACUAGUUGCUAACAAUGUGCAGUGAAUUACCCGAAUUCAUGGGUGGUGUCUGUAAGUGUGCUGAUCAGGGAGGUUGUCUUCGCUCUGACAAAGGACCAUGGAGAAAUCCAGAUCUAUUGAAGGUAUGCGGUUUCCAUAAUUUUUUUCCAUGAAAUUUUGUUCUUUUCGGGAAGUAACAAAUCUUACGUUUCUGCAGAUUGUUCUAAGUGGAGGAGCUCGUCGCUCAAGGCAGGUUGUAAAGAUCUUAAACAACGAGGGUAAGGUCAUUACCUAUGCAAAGCCUCCUUGUUACCCGAUGGUAAGACAUCGAUAAUGCUCCCUCGUUUUUGAAGGAUUAUGUGAAGGAGCAGCUUUGCUAAAUUGCCUUGGAAUUCUUGAGACAGGUCAGAAGUGAUUCCUCUGCUGCUGAAUCUGGAUCAGAAGCUGAAGAGAUUUCUUCCCCCAAGGCACUAAGGUCUUACUCGCAUCUGCGCCUGACUCCUGUUCGUGAAGAAGUAAGUUUUGGCUGUUCAUGCAAAAUGGUUUUAGUUUUUGGACUCAAAUUUUCGGUCUUCUGAUAUCCAGUUUGUUCAUUUGGAAUCUUGAAUGUGAAGUCUAAGAUUGUUGGGAAGGUGAAUCACCCUAGCACCUUUUCUGGGUAUGAUGAAUACGUUCCGAUGGUCGAUAAAGCAGUUGACUCUACCUGGAAUGAGCAAGCAGCCAUUCAGAAGCUUGCAAUGUCUAAAGGUUAGAACUUUAGUCGUUCAUUCAUGUUUCCUGCUCUAUUGAUUAUGUUAAAUGAAUAAAACUGAUAUCAGCUUCUACCACAGCAUCUGCAACUGUUCCGGAGACUCCAAAGACGUCAGCUGCUAUCCACGUUAGGCUUUAUUUGGCAGUUCUGGCUUUCUUCAUGACGAUUCUUACUUUCAUCCGUGUGUUGCCAUCGCGGUUGAGCAAAGAGGGUACUUCAGCCGGAUUAACCUUAAACACUCCAGAGAAAGAGCUGACACACCCACCUUCGCCAACUCCAGCUUACUCGGAGACCGACCUGCUCACUACUGUACUGAAAAGGCUGGGUGAACUUGAGGAGAAAGUUGACACGCUUCAAUCAAAGCCAUCGGAGAUGCCGUACGAGAAAGAGGAGUUGCUAAAUGCUGCUGUUUGCCGUGUUGAUGCCUUGGAAGCCGAACUCAUUGCAACUAAAAAGGUAACAUUGGUUUUGUCAAGCAUAGCUUCAUUCCGUUUUGUACUAGGUUUGUAACACAAUCUUAUGUUGUUGCAGGCCCUACACGAAGCACUUAUGAGACAGGAAGAACUGCUUGCUUACAUCGAUAGUCAAGAGGAAGCGAAAAACAGGGUAUAAUUUGUUGAAAAUAUGAAUCUUUUCGGCUUAACGACAUGCUAUGUGAGUACAAGUUGCUGAAAAUCCAACUGCUGGAAUGUUUUUUUGCAGAAGAAGGGUUUUUUCUGCUAUUAAAGACUUCUGCAGUUUGAGAGAGGGAUGAUGCAACCUGGGCGAGUUCUCGGAUGUGAGUGAUGCAUAUGAAAUAUAUUUCGGCUUCUAUUGUAUGUGGAUAAUGAGAUGUAACUACUCUUAUUUGAAACAACAUUGUGAGCAGACUUGCUCUUGUAAGACCUUGUGAAGACGUGUUCUUAACUACACACCUGCUAGACUUAUAAUCAUGAAUGCUGCUGCAGUUUGGUCUCUGUGAUGAUCUCUGCUAUCUUCUUACUUCAUUGUGGAUAUUAUAUAUUUACUUGUGGUAUUUCUGUGUUCUGAAUUUGUCUUCUGCGUCAAUUGUCUAUAGUUCGUAUCCCACCGCUGCCACUUAGUUAACACACUUAGGUUUGCAUAAUUCUCGAUUGAUUGUGGUUAGUAGGGUUAACUGCUGAUCUCGAAACCAGUCGAUUUCUCAGGGAAAGAAGCAUUAAUUUUUAUAUUGGUUUUUGCAUUAACCCCAACAUUACAUUCAGAUUACAAGAAAGUUUGUAACAGUCCAGAUUUUGCUCUGCUUUAUACACGGCUGAAAGCCUGAAGAGAGUAGUACUAUACAGAUAACUAAAUCAAGAAAUGCCAAGUUACAUCAGAUCCUCAAUUGGCCUUUGUCAAGUUGUCAUAAGAUGAACCAUUUCCUCCUUUAGAAUCUGAAGAACUGCAUUCCGAAACAGAGAAACCAGAAAAGUUAGCAGCUUUGAUAUAAACAGUUCCUGAGUUCAUGAUCCGGGCUGGGAAAGAAACAUUUUACCCUCUUCUUCUUCUUGUUCUUCUUGUCCAUGUAAGCCAGGAGUUCUUGCUGUUUCCCUACAGCUUCCACAAGUAACUGGAGCAAAAAAAACGUCGAAAAAAAAGAGGUUAAAGGUUCUUCCUUUAGACACUGCAUUCUGAGUUUGGUUGAUUAUUAGUACUUACAAUCUUUGCAGCAGAGAGCUCCUUCUCGAGGGCUUCAGCGCGGUCGAGUGCGUUCAUCAGCAUUGCCUCCUUCUCAGCCGGCAUCACUUCGGGUUUCGAGCAAAGGGCGUUCAGCUUCUCCUCGAUAUCUGCCAUCCUCAACAUCAUGUUCUUGUAAUCCGAGGAGGAGAUGGACGAUCCCUCCAUCCUUCCAGCUGAAGAAGGAUGGUCGUUGAGCGAUUCGGAGUAGUAAGUCUUGCUCCCGUAGAUUGCUGCCUCGGUCAGCUUUCGAGGCAUUGUCUUGGUCAUCUUGAUCAAGGUCACUACUCCCAUCACAACCGCCAUGAUCCCACCCAUCACCUGCUUCCCGUUUGCUGGCACAAGAGCAUCCUCUUGCAUACCUGUAACGAAAGCAAGUUUUCGACAGGUUUAGGGUUUUUCUUACCAUGUUCUUGUCAUGAACCGUUGCAUCCCAAUAACGAGUUUUUGAUAGAGGGUUCAUAUCGGUUUUAUAGUUCAUUAACAGUUUUGUACGCUUUGCCUUACCCUUUCCUGAAGAAGCUCUCCAGUCAGUGUUGAUGGUCUUCUCCACGACUUGGAUGGACUUCUCGCAGUUUUCAGUGGUGAGCCUGUUCACGGUUAUGAUCGGAAGAUGGUGAAUUACUUCUUCUUCAGGAACGGGAGAAGGUUUCAGGUCCUGAAGUACUUCGUCGUUCAAAACCUUGAUGGUUUCCUUGUCUUCAGGAAUUGGCUUCUCCUCAAUUCCUGACAGGAUUCUCCUGUGGCAUUUACCCUCACCAUUUUCAACCAUCUGCGACAAAAAGAUUGGAUUGAAAGAAGAUUAUCAUCAGAUCGAACGAGAUUGUUCUCGUAAAACCAGUCCUUGGUGCAUUAGGAUUACUCACCUUCAGGAUGUCAGGAUCAUUCCAUGGACCUUUGCUGGAGCGCAUGCAUCCACCCUUGUCAUCACAGUUGCAAGUCCCUCCGAAGAACGAUGGCAGCUCGCUGCAAAAACCGAUCCAAACCCAGAUUUCAGAGCCAAAAUAUCGGUUUGUAAGGGUUAAUUAGGAACAAAAGUCGGUACCUGGCAUCAAUUACUUCAAGCAACUUGCUUUGAUAUUUGGUGCCAAGAACCUGUAGAAAAGGUUGACUCUGGAUUAUAAAGAGCGACUUGGAAAGUAUCAGAAACAGAAUCAACAUUUAGUUCUAAAGCCAUGAAACUGACAUGGAUCUUGGAAGCAGUCUUAGGGUCCAGGAACUGCUUCACAGUGUUCCACAGUAACCUGAAUCCAGCCCCACCAUUGAUGAUGAACAUCCUGUUCAAUGUCUGCAAAUGCGGACGAAAAGAUCGAAACUUUACUCAAUUACUACAUGAAUUCCGUGAAUUAUUCACAUACCUCAGGAUAGUUAUCGCCAUCGAUCUUCUGGAUCCGGCUGAUAAGUUCCCUGGCAGUUUUGGUGAACUGCUUCAGACCCUGAAAACAGAUUUUAUGAUGAUGAGAAAUCGUCGAAACAACUGAAUUUUAGAACUCUAAACAUAUAGACAUUACCACUCCUUGAACAUCAAUGAUGGUGGUGCUCUGGUCGAUGUGCUUCUUAGCAGCAAUGGAGCAAGAUGGGAACUUGUAAGUGAAAGCUUUCUCAAACUCCUGAACAUGGUACUUCACAUAUCGAUCCAACGAUGUGACCUGAACCAGCUUGUUGGCAUCAACUUCGCCGAGCUUCUCGAUGUAGACUGGCCUCCCAUCUUUGUCUACUCCAUGGUACCCUUGUGGAUAGUACUGCAGGACUUCAUCUACUUCCUUGAACUCAAAGUCCUGUUUCAGAAAAAGGAAAAGAAACCCACAACGUUCUUCAGAACUGAAUGAGGGCAAAGUUGACAACUUUUUCCUGAAACCAUAUCAUGAUUGGACUCAUGUAGAGUACUAACCAUUCAGGAUUUUGCCGUAAAUCGUGAUAACAUGACUAAUUAACCGGUCUAACCUGACUAUACUUAGAGUUGGGGAUUCACCAAUUCGGUUUAACAUGACUCAUUUGAUUUUGUUUGUUUUACACACCACUCACGACCUUAAACCCAAGUCGAUAACAUAAUGGAUUGAUAAACAAUCGGUAGUUCUCCUUGCUCGGCUAACACGAAACGGUGAAACAUGUUAGAAACUGAGUUCCAACUUAGUUUGAGUUACUCGAUAAUCAAGGAAAACCAAUGUACUUAUCUUGACAUCGAAUAUCAGGAUUAAACCAAUGAGGGGAAACCAUUCAGAACCUAACGAGUAUCGGUUUAGCCUCAAUUACGAGUCCUUAGGCCUAGUUAAACCGAUCUAAUAACUUGGUCAAUAGGGUCAGAUUCAGUGGUUCGGUUUAGCUGAAUAGAUAGAAAUAUCGAGCUCCAACCAAAAAUCUGUCAACUAACCAACCAAACAAAACCUAUACGACAACCGGUUUCACAAACACUAACAAAUCAACAAAGAAAGAGAAUUCUAUGUAUGUAAUUUUACUUACCUCCAUGAUUAAAUCAGUACCAAACUCCUUUCUCCACUGGAUCAUAUCCCCCCACAUCUGUUUGGCCUUGUCAAUGUCAAACUUCCUGGCCUUGAGGAACCUGAGCAUCAUGUGAUGAUCAUCAUGGUUUGAAGGAAGAAGCUCAUCAAGGAUGAGUGCCUGCCUGAAUGCAUCCACAGCCCUGAGCUCCUCCCCGUUGAUUUCGUCGACUAUCGAGACCGACAUUACCCUGCUGUUCCUGCGGCCUUUCUUUGUCAGGGAGCUCCUGAACUUGUUGGAGGCAUUGAUUGCCUUCUUCUUGAAUGACUGCUUCUUCUUCUCAUCCUCUGAGAACUCUUGAUUCUCAGGUCCUCCUAAUAAAACAGGGUCAAAUAUCUGAUUCAUCCCCGUAACUUUGGACCAUUGGUUCAGUAUGUUCAAUCCGUAUAGAAAAUGCUGAAACAGCAAAAUAAAAAAAAGUUGUAUACCUAGUUUAGGAUUUUUGUCCGGAAGGACUAUAGACAUUGCAUCAGCCAUGAUGAUUGGUUCCUGGCAAUGAGUUUCUUAUCAGAGAUUGGUUGGGAAUGAAAAGGGUAUUGAAAAGUUUGAAACUUUGUUCAGAAUCCAUCUGGGGAAUUGAGCAAUCAACGUUGAUCCAUAUGAUCAUAUGAAUGGCUAAAAAGCCAGAAUCAUCAAAUUUCUUAUCGGAUUAGGAACAAAUGAUAAGUAAGUCUGAAACUUAAACCGAAAUCCGUACGAGAUUUGAUAGUCAGGACAAAUCAUAUAACAACGUUAACGUAUGCCAUCAUUCAUUUCCUCAACAAACACAAGAUGUAAACCAGAUUAUGCAACAAAACUACAUGUUAUCCAUAACUUCAAAAUCCGGGAAGAUGAAGGGAGAUCAAGAGUUACCUAUUGGAACUAAUGUAGGUGUGGGGAAGAAGAUGGACAAUGUUUUUUUGUGUUUGGUUAUAUGUAAUUACAAGAAGAAAGGGAGGACCUUUCUAAAACUAAAUCAAAAGGAAGAACCCAAUUUAAAACUAUAUACAUAGUCUUGUGUUUGAUUACUUAGAGAGAGAAGUGGGGAGGAGAGAGAUUUGAAUCAAACAAUAAUAAGAAUAUAUCAUACACACAAAUAACAAACUAAUUAAAAUGGCUAAUACAAGUUAAUCCAUUCAAUGGUUGACCUUCCUUAACCAAUCAUUUUUCCAAAAUCUUUUGGCUAAUUUUAUGCUAUUUAGUUAUAUGACUUAUAUAAAGUCAUAUCAAAAAUAAUUUAUUAUCUGCCGUUGAAUAUGUUGAAACCGGUCAUAGAUCAUUUGUAAUCUAUUAUGAGUGUUUUAUUAAUCUAACAUUUUUUUAUAAAUGUUCACACUUGUUUGAAUUAAGUAACAACUAGCUGGUGUCAGUUUUACAUUAUACGAUAAUUUUUUUUGGAAAUUAUCAACACAAUGUGGUUACUUUUGUACAAACUUCUUGUGACAUUAAAAAGCUUAUUGGAGUGUGAAACAAGCUCUACUUGGCUAUUUUCAAUUAAAAUUUCGAGACUAAUAUCAUAAAAUUAGGCUCGACACAAUAAUGUGCAUUAUGUGUGAAAAAAUUAAAAAGUGACACAAUAAAAAUAUACCAAUACAUUAAGUUAUAAAGGUUCAGUGACCAAUCCAUUACUUAACUUUAAAUUCAGUGAGCAUCGAGUAACUAGUCCAUCAUUUCUGUUCCUCUGACCCCUUUCAUAAUAGUCUCCAAUCAAGCACAAGCUUUCAACCUUCAACCCUAGCGCUUAUGCUCUAAAAUGGCGUCUUGUACCCACUUCUCCCAGCCGUUAGCUUCAUCAAGAACCCUAACUCAAUCCCGCGCUCGAAACCUAUAUUCAAAAGCCUUUUCUUUAUCCACUCCAAAUUACUCUUCCAGACAAUCCUUAGCUCUUCGUGCAGUUCUCUCGCAAAACCCUACCAAAACCUCUCCUCCACCGAAACUCGACAACCAAUUCGAGCAUUGUUUCUCCAAAUUAUCCGAUGGAUUUCUCUACUGCGAGAGCGUCAAGGUCCAGGAUGUCAUGGACACUGUUGAGAGGCGGCCGUUCUACCUGUACAGCAAGCCUCAGAUCACUAGGAAUGUUGAGGCCUACAAGGAUGCUUUGGAAGGAUUGAAUUCAGUAAUUGGAUAUGCUAUCAAGGCUAAUAAUAACUUGAAGAUUUUGGAGCAUUUGAGGAAGUUGGGAUGUGGGGCUGUUCUGGUCAGUGGGAAUGAGCUCAGAUUGGCUCUCAAGGCUGGGUUUGAUCCCACAAAGUAGGUUCCUUUAUUAUGUUGCUGGACUGAGUUUUUGUUCCCCCGUUCUGAUUAUGGCUAUUCUUUCUGGUGAUGGGAACAGGUGUAUAUUUAAUGGAAAUGGGAAGCUGUUGGAGGAUUUGGUUCUGGCUGCUGAAGCAGGUGUCUUUGUUAAUGUGGAUAGUGAAUUUGAUUUAGAAAAUAUUGUGGCAGCUUCUAGGGUUGCUGGCAAGAAGGUUAAUGUUUUGCUUCGGAUCAAUCCUGAUGUGGAUCCUCAGGUAUACAAUACGAAAUCAGAUAUAACAUGUUAUUUUGUCGUGCAAGUGUUUGAUAGGAGAGGUUAGAGAAGUUGUGAGGUUCUUUGGAGCCCAAAGCCAGUAGCUUUAGCUGAAAUUUUAUGUUUUCUUUCAGUUUUUAAGUUCUGCCGUAUGCUUUGAACAUAUUCUACUGCACAUAAUCCUUUCCCCGAUUGAAGCCCGGUAGCUAGUUGUAUUGGUUUUCGUGAUGUUUUUCCGAGCUGAAUACCAGUAGUGCCAACUGAAAGUGUUAUACUUUUUAAUCUGUGUUUGAUGAAUUUCUUUGAGUUUUUAAGCUAUUUUGUAUAAUGGGAUUUUAUUCGUAACCUCCUUAGACCGUGUCCAAAACAGUUGGACUAUUUAUGCCUUGAACCUAUUCUACUGCACAUAACCCUUUCUGUGAAUUUCUUCUACAUUUGAGAUCCGUAAGGUGUUCUGUAUUUGAAGUCGCUGAGUUUCUCUGGCUUACUAUUACUAUGUUUAUUUCAUGGAUUGCUUAGGUCCACCCUUAUGUAGCUACCGGGAACAAGAACUCAAAGUUUGGUAUUAGAAAUGAGAAGCUGCAAUGGUUUCUGGAUGCUGUAAGGGCACAUCCGAAUGAGCUGAAGCUUGUUGGUGCCCACUGCCAUCUCGGAUCAACGAUUACCAAGGUGUGUAGCACUGCAAGAUGCUUUUUUUUUCCAGUUUGUGAGAUGUUCUGUAUUUAAUAUGAUGAAUUUAUUAGCUCCCUUUUCACACUACGAACGGUGCCUCUUUGCAUUUAAUAUGAUGAAUCCUGUUCUGUAGAAACUGCCAUUGACUUAUCAUUAGCCCUUCAGUGAUUUAGUUCUUCCCAUUUUUUCCGUUUAGGUGGACAUAUUUAGGGAUGCUGCUGGUCUUAUGGUACACUAUAUCGACGAAAUACGUGCGCAAGGCUUUGAAGUUGAUUACUUAAACAUUGGAGGUGGUUUGGGGAUAGAUUACCAUCACUCCGGUGCUGUUCUGCCCAAGCCAAGGGAUCUCAUUGACACUGUAAGUAUCUUACACUUAAGAAAUCAUGUUCUAUUUGACAUCAAACGAUUCCCAUAAAGACUGGUUAUGCUCAGUGGUCAUGAUUUGUCACUGUAGGUUCGUGAAGUGGUGCUCUCUCGGAAUCUCAAUCUCAUUAUCGAACCAGGGAGAUCCCUCAUCGCCAACACCUGCUGCUUCGUAAAUAGGGUUACUGGCGUAAAGACAAAUGGCACGAAAAAUUUCGUCGUGAUUGAUGGUAGCAUGGCUGAGCUCAUCCGUCCUAGUCUAUAUGAUGCUUAUCAAGUAAGAAACCAAGUAGAGACUAGUUUGUUGAGCUGUUUAUUAUCGAUGUAUCUGUUCCUGCCAUUGAGACUUCUUCCUGCCAUUGAGACCAAGAACUUUGUUGUCCCUGUUCUUGCAGCACAUAGAGCUAGUUUCUCCUACGCCACCAGAUGCUGAGGUGUCAACCUUCGACAUUGUUGGUCCUGUGUGCGAGUCGGCUGACUUUCUGGGAAAGGAGAGGGAACUUCCUACUCCACCCAAGGUAACUUACAUUUUGCUUUCAUGGAUUUUUCAGUAGCUGCAAAUAUUAUUGAUUUGCACUUCUUACAGAAACAUGCAUUUGCAGGGAACCGGUCUGGUGGUUCAUGAUGCUGGAGCUUACUGCAUGAGCAUGGCAUCAACUUACAACCUCAAGAUGCGCCCUCCCGAGUAUUGGGUACGUAGAAUCCCAUACCACCACUCUCUUAUUUCGAGUGCUCGUGUUCUCCUCUUGCAUGAAACUGAUGAGAAUUUGUUAUGUGACUGUUCAGGUUGAGGAUGAUGGGUCAAUAGCCAAGAUUCGACAUGCAGAGACAUUCGAAGACCAUAUCCGGUUCUUCAAUGGGCUGUAAUUUGUGAGCUUUAGGUUCAAUCUACCAAGCAAUAAAGCCUCUGAGCUUGUUUAAUUUUGUACUGAAAUCGGGUUAUUUUGUAAGGCAGAAGUGUUGUUCCUUGUUCUAUAAGUUAUCGAGUUACCAUUUUGUUGAAAAUUAUCUCACUGGAUUUGUAUCUGCCUAAAAGUUAAGUGACCCUGAGCCUUUUUUCUUACAGUAUUGACCCGUGUUGUUGAAUCGGACUGGAUGGUGUACUAGACUCGUAACUCAUAAGAUCAUAAAUCGGUUGUCAAUCGGUUCUAACUGAUAAAAAACCAUACAUCCUUCAAAGAUGAAGAUAACGGUCAUUAGACAUUAUAUACUAAUCUUAAUGAUCUAAUGAAAUCGAGCUAUAAUGAAAUUGAGCUGAUUUUUUCACUAAUUUUUUAACCGAUUUAACUUCUUCCGUCAGAACCCCCCUCCCUUGCAACUUACAACUCACGAGUUGAUGCUCCGAUCCGGAUCUAGGAAUCUGAAUACCAAGUUAAGUAUAACUAUUUCCCAUAAUUUCCAUGAUAGGAUAGUUAAUUAAUAAUUACCAUCUUUUUUAGGUACCAAUUUAAGUAAUUUACUAUCUUCUUAGGUACCGUAUCUGCGAUUUUUUUAUACUGUAUUUCGGUAUUUUUAUUUUUUACAAUCUGGUGCAGCCGCCAUAUAGUCGUUUUGGCGGCACUUCCUUUUUCCACAAAUUUCCGCGGCAUUACCACUUCCUCGUUACUGCUCAAGAAACUCGAAACCCUAACUUGAAGUUGUGGCGCGAAGAUUCCAUUUCUCCCUCUCGCGAUUCUGCAUCGAAUCGGUCAGUAACAUUCCCCUCUCCUUCUCUGUUUCCGGAUUGCAUUUCGUAUUCUUUUUCCGUUCAUCUGAGCGACUUCGAUUCGGUUCAAUUGCAUGCAAAAUUCAAAGUUCUGAGUAGUAAAAUGUGUUUGGCGGUGGUCGAGGAUUCGAGAUUGCAUUGUCAAUUUUUCAGCUGCUGUAGUUUUCUUUCUUGAAAUUGUCCGUUGAUAUCGUCUUUUUUGUGCCGCUGAUUUCAGUUACCACAACAACUGUUCUGCAAGACUCAGCCUGCUAGGUCUCUCAGUUUCUGGAGAACUCUCUCUUCGAUGGCGAGUUCUGUAGCCAGCCUUUCCAAUGGCGGUGUUGGUGGACAGCCAGAUCCACAGAGGACUUACCAGGUUGUCGUGGCUGCAACUAAAGAUUGGGGUAUCGGGAAAGAUGGGAAGUUGUCUUGGAAGCUGCCUUCUGAUCUCAAGUUCUUUAAAGAUGUUUCCUUGACGACUUCCGAUUCCGGGAAGAAGAAUGCAGUGGUCAUGGGUAGGAAAACAUGGGAGAGCAUCCCACUUCAGCACCGUCCUCUCCCUGGACGUCUGAACUUGUUCUCACUCGAUCGGGGAGCUUCAAUAUCGCUACUGCGGAGAAUGUUGUGAUUCGUGGGAGCAUGCAUUCUGCUUUAAUUGGCUGCUUCUCCUUAUUGUCUAUCUAUUGAGAAAGUCUUUGUGAUUGGAGGUGGCCAGAUAUUGAGGAUUUUAAAGUUUUUUGGGUUUCCGUAACUUUUACAUUUUGUUUGUAAUGCUGGUAGUGUUUGUUUGUUUGUUUGUCGAUUGAAACGUGUGUUCUUUGCAGGGAAUCUCUUAAUGCAGCUAAGUGUGAUGCACACUUGACGGAGAUUUGACGAGCUUUGAAUGUGAUACCUUCAUUCCUGCGAUUGAUUACUCAGUAUUUCAGCCUCGGCAUUCGUCUCCUCAUGUUGUGGAGAAUGGCAUACGGUUUUGUUUUACUACGUAUGCUCGAAUAAGGAGUUUGGUUGUUGAGUCCGAGAGCGGACAUGAUGACAAGAUAUCAAGUAACAGCUGCGAAAACAGUAAGUUUGAGAUAAAAAGUUCUCGUUCCUUCCCAAGACGGUUUUUGAGAAACACGAGGAGUUCUUGUACUUGAGAAUGGUACAGGAGAUCUUGUCAAGUGGCAACUCUAAGGAUGACAGGACGCAAACUGGUACUUUGUUUAAAUUUGGUUGCCAGGUAAUGCACUCGGCUGUUUAGUACUUGUGGGAUAUGGUACUCUUUAAUAACUGGUUAUGUCAAGAUAACACUUACAAUUCCUGUUUACUUACAGAUGCGGUUCAAUCUUCGGAAAUCCUUUCCUCUUCUGACGACUAAGGUUUGUUACUUAUAAUGCCUUGUCCAUAUUUGGUUAAACAAUAACGUUACCAUCAUCGUUCCCUCUCUCUCUUUUUUUGCUAAUUAAUUAAUGAUCAUUUGCAGUUUUACGCGGCGAACGGGGAGCUGUCGUGCCAAAUGUAUCAGCGGUCCGCUGAUAUGGGCCUUGGUGUGCCUUUCAACAUUGCUUCUUAUGCACUCCUGACUUGCAUGAUUGCUCAUGUUUGUGGUAUACAUUUCAUCUCUCUUCAUUGCUCCAUUUAUCGGAGUAAUAGUUGUUUUGUAUCAUCAAUGUCAAUGCUGGGAGGUUAACUCUAUUCAUGUUCAUAUUGUUGCAGAUUUUGUCCCUGGAGAUUUCGCUCACGUAUAUCUUACUCAUGUUGGGCCUCUGGAGGAGCAGCGUAAGAAAUCACCGAAUACUUUCCCGGUAAUCGCAUAGUGGAAGCAGAACUAACUAGCUCAUCUUGUUUCUCUGUUACUUUGCUUCUAUUGUUGGUACUGGAGGCUUCACAUUUAAUCUCCUCUCAAAAAUUGGUUCUCAGAUUUUAAAGAUUAAUCCAGAGAAGAAAGACAUAGAUUCCUUUUCAGCAGCAGAUUUCAAGCUCAUAGGCUAUGACCCCGAACAGAAGAUCGAAAUGAAGAUGGCAGUUUAAAAGGCCUUUUACUAUAGUUCCAGUCAACUUUCAAGUUUAUCUAUGUUUCUUAAUACUUUUGAGGUACUUCUUUACUCAUCUUCCGGUUCUUGUUCGUUCACCUGUAACUUACUUCUUAGGGUUUGACAACUGUUCUUCCUUGUUUCCAGGUUUCGGUAUGGGAAGAACGAUCGAAGUUUUGUACAAGUGUCGAAUAUGAACAUGGUAAUCUGAUGGUCUUAAAGAGUUUUCUUUUUUGCUGGUUUAGUAAUGUGGAAUAGUUCGCCCACCCGGUGAUCUGUGGUGAUUUAGAUCAUGGUAGAACUUGGUAUGAACUCUGUAAUGAUAAAUGAAUUCCGGCUCAGUUAGAAUGAGGACGAGAGUACUGAAUUCAAUUUGUCUACAAUAAGAUCACUCGAAACAAACCAUUUACAGAAUGGAAUUGGGUAGAAGGUGUUACACAACUGGCUUACAUUUUCCUGCAGAUUUUAGGUUAAGAAUAUGCUGCAAGAGGGGGGCACAGAAAAAAAGGAGAUGAAAUAAGUACCUCCCAUUUCAUGCUAAUUUUGCACGAGCAAGCUCCAUUGCUUAUCCAAAGUUUGCAUGUGACUGAUGGAUCCAACUUGACUGAUGAGUGAACCACAGCUCAUCUCCAAGUACAUCCAUAGCUUUAUACCAAAGAACCUGCUCCCCCAACAUUUCCCUUUUCCACUUCUUGCCUGGUUUGCAAUGUCUUGCGUUGGUUUGGAUUGUUGAGGAAAAGAAAAGAGCUUUCAUAUAGCUUGACCAAACCGAAAAACAAAAUGUUAUACGAGUGAUGUGCUUUUCUUUUACGGUUUCGCUAUUUUAUCGUGAACGGUUAGGCUACAAAACAGGAGGUUGAGUGUCCCGCUUCGUUAAAUGGAACUAUUGAUCACAUCAUCAUCAUACUAGUCCCGCAUCAUUUCGUCUCGCGAAAUCUAACCUGAGUUAGGAAAGGUUCGAGCUAUCAUGAUGGGUCAAUCUGAGCCAACAUAGUGAGUCAGGAAUGAAUCAGCUCUAUCAUGUUGCUGCAUGGGUUGAUUCCAAAUUAUCACAAAUUUUAGACUUUCUGUCUUUUCUUUUUUAUUCCUUUUUUCCCCUGUUUGUCUGUCAAGUUUACCCAAUGAAGAACAGUUCUCAUAAUCUCACAAUCAUCUGGGUUUUCCUCUUACUGUUCUUUUCUUUCACUUUAUGGAAACAGAACGUGAGUUCAAAUUCUUACCACCACAUCUGUUUUUGAUCCCAUCAAGGAGCAUAUGGUGUCAAGUUCUGUCCUUUUACCCUUUGGAAUCACAGCAUAUAUUUCAAUUCCAUUCUCCAGUAAAGCUGUGGAACUUUUCACAGUUAAUCUAAACAAGCUCUCAGCUGGAGUCUGGGUUUAUCUGGAGAAGUUCGUAGCUGUAAUUAGGGAUUAUCUACAAAUCCAGACAGUAAAAAGUGGAAGCUCACGAUGGUAAAAAAACACAACUUUAUAGCUGGUUUGUUUGUUUUUACAUAGGGGGUAUCUGAUUUUUCUCAUUACAAUGUACAAAACCAUUCAAACAGGCUCAUCUGUAUAGAAACUAGAAAAGAAAAAGAUCCAAACUACCCAAAAAAGGUAACUUCAUCGCAAACUUAUGCUUAAGCUAAACUGUCACACAAUUACAGAGUUCUCCUCGUCUCGUCGGAACCUCUUCUGCCUCUCGAUGAACGCCUCGAUCGUACUCUUGAACUCCUCACUGGUCAAAUUAUCCUCAGGAAACUUAUCACCACCCUUGUUCUUCUGCUUCUUCUUUGUCAAAUUCUCAGUUGCAGAUCGCCUCAAUUCCUUCUCGGGCUUGUGAUAACUCGUCAGAUUCUCGGACCGACUCCUCUCGUAGCUCUUGACGAUCAUCGCCGAACCAGAAACAGAGCUUUCUUCCUUGACAGUGGCUUCCAGUUUAUCACUCGGUUUUACUCUGUUUUCUGAAACUCUAACAACGGCUUCCAAUUUCUCACUCUGUUUUCCUCUGUUUUCCUGAGCAGUACUACUGCUUUUCCCACUCAUUUCGACGAACUGUUCAUAAAGAUCGGAUUUUUUCCCGGUGCUCCCCCGAAGGUGGCCGGACUUGACGAAGAGGACGACGACGAUCACGUUCCCGACGAUGAACACGAACCGGGGGCUGAUGAGGACGAGCAGAAAGUCCUUGAUGUAGUCGCCAGAACCCUUGAGGGAGACCGGGAGCUGGACCGAAACCCGGGAUAGAACCGCCAGGACUACCAGGAUUUCCACCAGUCUCAGCAUGUUUGUGACGUUCUGGAUCUUCCUCUGCUUCUUCAUCGCCUUCACUGCCCUGACCGUGAACGAAUCCAUUUCCGUCUUGAAAGAGUAUCGAACCGGUGAAUAAUCAGGAUUCCUGUAUUAAAGUUUCUCAGGGGCUCUUUCAGUUCAAAUUGGCCUUGGAAGUAGCUGUAUACCCGAGAUGAGAUGCGACGAGAGGACGCCUUGAUUCGAUUACCGGUGUCGGAUUAGGGACGGAGGAUUUAAAAACAGAGGAUGCUCUGUGUUUUUGUGGAGAGCUUGUUGUGUUGCUCCUUGUAAGGUUUAAGUUGUGGGGAGUGGGGAUAUAUAUAGCUGAGUGGGCUUUGUCUGUACAACAUGAUUAAUAUCUUUUCUUUACUUUUUGUAACUAAUAUAAGAUUCUAAGCAUAUAGGCAAGCCUCUAUGCUCAUAACUGAAAUUCGGGACGAAAUUGAGUACCCAAACCCGUACUUCAUGGAUACCCAUCCCAUAAGAUUCUAACUUUGUUUUCCAAAUCCUAAACCUGUUCAGGAUUACGGGUAUCCUUAACCCGGGAGAGUAGCUCAGAUACAAGGUCGGGUACCCAUUCAUCCCAAACGAUAUGCAACAAACAAUUUAUGUUUCCUAACAAGUUCACAGUCAUGUAAGUUAAUAAUGCGUUUCUACAGAAGAUGCAAUUAGUUUUACUAAUUUCCAAUCAACAUUAGGAUUAGGAAGUUGUUAUACUGUAGUGCUACUGUUGUUUGGCACUGGGUAGCCAUACCUCCACUGCAUCUUUCUCUCUUCAUUCCAUCGUACCUUUCUCUUCAAUGCAUCUUUAAUACCCUACUAAACUCCCGAUACAAUAAUGGCUACGAGAAGCAUGGAGCCUCUGCUCAUGGCUAGCUUGAAAUUAUGUUAGUAGGAACAAGAACUGGUAAAUAUCAAAUAAGUUAUUGGGUGGAUCAGCGGGUUUUUGAUUAGGUGGGUUGCGGAGUAGAUUAGGAAUACGGGUAAAACUGGAUUAUGGAUUAACCUGCACGGGUAAAUGCGUACCAACGGGUACUAAAUUACACAAAUAUGCAUCCCAUGUCCCGAAAUCAUUGAUAAAGCAACCUCCAUACAUUUUAAAUUAUUGUGAUGUUUAUAUAAAUUAAUUAUAUGAAGGGUAUAACACUCGCAAUUGAGUUAGAUAAGUCAUGUCCCAACAAGUGUGAGCUAAAUAGGUUACAAUCAAUCAAAUAAUAAGAUAUGUAUGUUUUCAUUCUCCGAAUAAUGAUAUAGACAGAGGCUCAAUGAUUAGCUUCCAUACAUAUCAUGGGCUGCUUGAUUUAGUCAUGUUUGGUAAGAAACUUUAUAAAAAGGUUUGAAUCAAAGGUGACAAAUAGGGUUAAUUGGGUUAGGUUGAGCGGGUUUAUCCAAUCAUAUCGUAGUAUAUAACAUGUAUAUAGAAAAUAGUUAAUUUUAUGCAUUUUCAAUGAGCCUUAAAAUUGAAGAAAUAUAUACAUAGUGGAAUAUUAUUUUAAUUGGUCUGUUGAACGGACGGACAAAAACUAGUACAAAAAAGAGUUAUUCUCAUGUAAAGCAAGUGCAUCUAAAAAACCUACUACUUAUUUGUUUCCCUCUCUCAUAAUACAUAUAUGACGCUUCCUAGCCCUUGUUCGUUAAGUAGCUUCCAUGAUUGUUUAUAAUAUCUAGUAAGACUAGAGUAUUCAAAUUCUUUUAACUCGAAUCACUUAUUUCAGCUUCCGAAUCAAUGGAGCGAAAACACUAAAAUUGAAACAUUUUUACCCCUAGACACCUUAAGGUAAAGGAAUUGCAUUCCCCACCAUGCCAUUAUUUUUCUAGCUUUGUUGAAAUGGUUGUGGGAGGCAUUUCUUCUUCAUUUCUUUUUAUUGGCCCCCUUUUUAGGCAACUUUUUCCCAUUGAAUUAUUGCUCUUUUUUUUGUGAAAUUGAAAUGGGUUUGCCUUGAUAUAUUCCCACCACAUUUGGAGCUGAAUCAGCAAAAGCAUCAGAUUUUAUUUUCUUGAAGCAUAAUGGCAUGCAAGCAGAAUGAAUUCACAAAUCUAUCCAUAUUCUUAUUUGUGAGAAUAUCCCCUUACCUUAGUCCUAAGAACCCUAGAAUUGUGUCAUCUUAUUCUUUCUGGAUAACAUUAUUGUUACUAGUUGACACUCACUCAGUGUUGUUUGCGCGGAAGGAUAUGGACAAAGAAUGUCGAACCGGUUUCGUGAGUGAAUUCCGAGUUGAAUAGUGUGGUCUUUGUUCCAAAAUUAUUUAUAUGUUCUAUGUUGGUUUAUUUAUAUUGGUUAGGAUUUUCGUCUAUGGCAUGAUUAGCUCUUAAAAACUGACCGAGAGAUCUCCUCUUAAAAAUUAGAACAUACUAUUGAAAUCCAUUAUGUCAAUUAUUACUCUAACCACCAUUCNNNNNNNNNNNNNNNNNNNNNNNNNNNNNNNNNNNNNNNNUUAAAAAUAAUACAUAGGCUUCCACAUAUAGCCUAUAUUUUCAGACUAUUCGUCAAUUAGAUAUUAAAGCCGCUCAUCUAAUAACACAUUUAAUUCUUAGAUAUCUUCCAGGAUUAUUAUAAAUAGUUCUCACUCUAUCAAAUCAUAAUUAAAAUUAUUUAUAUUUGAUAUUUUUUUAUCUCCAAAAAAAGCUAUAUAAACCAGAAAAAAUAAUACAUAAAUAAGAAUACAAGAAAUGUGAUGGAAAAAAAAGUAGUUACCAUGGGAAAAGAAAGCAGAUAAGAAAUGGGCAGUUACAAAAUGGGGCCCACAAAAAAGCCCAAAUGGAAGAGUAACCAUAAACAUUAUCAAUUUCCUUCAACACUAAGAAACUAACUGCCCACAUAACAACCACACUAAGUAUUUGUAUGAUGUGAUUUAUGUCUCCGGUAAUUAAUUAGUGGGUUUUCUAUUUAUGAAGUGUGGAAUAAUAAAAUUAUUGAGUUAUAUAGUUUGCUAAUAGUUUACUAUAGAGUUAAUAGUUUAAUUUUUUAAAGUAUUUUGGUUAUAGUUACAUCAAAAUUCAUUAAAAGAUAAACGAAAUAUGAAUGUGGUAUGAAUUUUACUAUUUUUUUUACAUAGUUGAUAGUGUUAGGAUUGGUAGCGAUUAUCUUACCCUAUAUGCAUGCUUUUUGAGUGAAUACUAGUUUGUUUGUGCUGCAAUCCUGUGUGAUUUUGUGUUUUGGCAUUGCAUGCCUAUACCCGUUCACUUGGACCGUUUCGGUCCAUUUGAUGUGUUUCUUUGUAGUAUUUAUUAUCCACGGAUACUUUAGAGACAUGUGGUUUGGCUAUGAGGCUAUGAACGCGGAAUAGAGCAAGGCUGGAGCUCAAACGGAAGGACGGUGCAAGAAUUGAUAAAGAAGCAGGGCUGCAUGCCGUGCAUCUGUGCACCCCGUGCAGGCCCUCAGGCUGCAAUUACCCUCGUAGAAAAAAGGGGUGCACGCCGUGCACCUCCCGGAUCCAGCAAUUUCCAUAUAAAAGGAGCAAUUUGAGAAAAGAGAGAUCAUCUUCUCCAACGAAAUUCCUUCGAUUUCCCCGACUUUCCUCUGCAAAAACACCAUAUUUUCAUCCCUAAAAGUUUGAUUGAAGAUCCGAAGAAGUCCCCAUUGAAGAUUGAAGUUAGGAUUGAAGCUAGAAGAUCAAAAGUGAAGAUUGAUCCAAGUCUGAUUCAUUGUACCUUCAUCAAGAUGGUGGUUAGGUCUUUUAAUAUGUCCUCUUCUUCUAGAGUUAUGAGUAGCUAAAUUCUUAGAGUUUUUGGUUGGGAUGUAGGAUUUAAGUCAUGAUACUCUCCCUAAAAGUAUAGGGUCGACGAUUGUUGGAUAUUUGGAAUUGAAUGAAAGAUUGCUUUGAUUGUUGAGGUUUCAACCUUGUUCUUGUUACGACUUGAAUUAGGUCAAANNNNNNNNNNNNNNNNNNNNNNNNNNNNNNNNNNNNNNNNNNNNNNNNNNNNNNNNNNNNNNNNNNNNNNNNNNNNNNNNNNNNNNNNNNNNNNNNNNNNNNNNNNNNNUUUUCGUGCUUCUUUUGGUUUUAAAGGUUGUUAAUCGAGUAAUUAGCGGGUCUCUGAUUUGCACAUAAUGAACCAAGUUGGAUGUAGUUAUCAGUAGUGUAGAUGUUGAUGGACCAAGUUAACAUUAAUUUCAAUUAAAUGUGAUUUCCUUUUAAUUCCUAAAGAGCACCUUAUCACUUUGUAGAACUUCUCGGUGUUCAUCACUGGUUAGUCUAGUUGAGGUUAUUCCAACCUUGAUUGGAAAACUAGUAGUGGUAAUCCGCGUACAUGAUCAUACUAUAGAUUCAUACGAUUGAUAAUAGUUUUGAUUCCACUUAGCACUUAGAUUAUAUGAAUAAUUAUUGAUUGGAGAAUUAACAAAAGAAAAGCACCAAUUUAGAGAUAAUUUCAAUUAUAGUAGGGAUAAUUUCACAUAUUUCAAUCAAAAUUACCAAAUAUUGCGAGGUACUCGUAACUAAAAAUAGGAGAUAUAGCCGGUAAUCGAUCAUUGUCAAAUGUAAGAGAGAUAAAGAAGUAUGCGAAUGUCUCCUAGUGGAUCACCUUCAUUGGUAUUGGAUUUGAAAUUCUAUGUUGUAUAGUGUACUCUCAAUUUGCCUCAUAUGAAAAAAUGCCAGGUCUUUGUACCAACUUUUUUUAUCGUUCCAUGGGUCGAAUAAGUAAAAUGCACGGGGCGAACACCCGACAUCCGUCAUUGUGUGGCCGGUCGGGAUGACUUUGUGAACUGGCGGAGGAUGAACCUAUCAUAAUUUUCUCCAAGUUUGAUCGGCCAUGUGGCUAUCGGGACCAUAUCUCGCUGAGCCCUCAAAAUCAUAAUGGCUACAAUUUGACCUUUCAACAAACUUUUAAGUAAAAAUCUCAAGCUGGUAUGAACAAACUUUAUCAUUUAUUCCUAAACAUAUAUUCAAACAUGGUAUUUUCGAUCGCAAAAAUCUUAUAUUAUUUAGUAUUUAGUCACAAAAGCAAAAAAGAAAACACAAGAACUACACGCUCAAACGUCAUUAAAUCAAUUUCAUCAAAAGUGUGGAAUUAGAUUCUGUAGCAACGAACUCGAAUUGAAAUUUCGUUUUGAUAAUGGCAUUAGUGGUUCAUUUCAGUUGCUCAUAUAUUUUUAUUUAUUUAUCAUUUCAUAACAAAACCAACGACAAUAAAAUAAUAACAUAAUUAAACAAGGCAGCCAGCAGGGAAUAUUAUUUAUGAUUUUCUUUUAAUUAUCAAAUCCCCGUGCCCUUUUGAAAUAAUUAAAUAAUUGAUUAAGCAUAUUUCUUGUUAUUCAAGUUUGAUAUUCAAGGAAUAUAGUAGAAAACUAUAUAUCAAGUUUGAUCUCUAAAUUAUGUCUCAACCAAACUUUACUAGAUUCCAAUUCACUAAACACUUGUUAAAAUGAGACAAGAUAUUAUAUCGAACAGGUAACGUUAUUAAAAUUAUUGACUUUUGAAUCUCUCCCUACUUUCUAUUGACUUUUUUAUUGAAUAAUAUGCACAUUGGUGUAAGUGUCUUGUACCUUUAUAUGAGUGGGUCUACACCUAGAGCCAUCCUCACCAAAGUACAAAACUACUUAUACCAAGACGUCCAUAUUUUCCAACAAUCAUAUAUGGCAAAUAUAUAUGUCGCCUCUUUUGGGUUGCGAUCAAGACACCCGUGUAAAUUUUGAUCGACUGACAGUUUCAAUGUAUUAAGUCGAGGACGAAUAAACAUCGUUCUUAAUAACGUAACUGACCACAUCGUCAUACAAUUUCGAUCAAAUUCACACAUUGCAAUUUUGGUCCGUUACGUGAUUUCCUUAAUCAUUUGUUUUGUGGUCUAUGCCCUUGUUUUAAUAAUAACACAUUACCAUCUUUUUGUUUUGUGGGUCGUCUAACUUCAACUCUAAUCGACUACAUGACUAGUUGUGGUAAGGCCCACCAAUAUACGGGCCUCUACUGGGGCUAAGGCCCACGGAAAAGGCGCGGAAUCCCUGAACCAUCGUCGUUCAGAUAUAUAUUUGAAGAAAACCCUAGAAAUCCUCAAAAUCCUUUUGAUUUUCCCAGGCGCCGAACGAACAACCUUCUGCUUUUCACUGGCGAUCUCUCCUCAUCAUCACAAUGGUGUGAUUCAGCUUCGUAGAUUUGUGUUGUUGUUUCCAUAGUCAUCUACACUUUAUACUUAGUCUGUGUUCUGAUCGUCGAUUUUGAUUGGUUUCUUGUUGCAGGCUCCCAAGAAGGAUAAGGUUCCGCCGCCGUCGUCGAAGCCAGCCAAAUCCGGGGGAGGGAAGCAGAAGAAGAAGAAAUGGAGCAAAGGAAAGCAAAAGGAGAAGGUCAACAACAUGGUCCUCUUCGACCAAGCUACCUACGACAAGCUUCUCUCUGAAGCUCCCAAGUACAGGCACAUCACUCCGUCAAUCCUCUCCGAUCGUCUGAGGGUAAUUUAGUUUUGCCUUGAUUCUCUCUUUUGACUUUUAGUUCUGUUGAAUGGUUUGCAGGCUGAGCUGGUUUAGUUGUUAUAUUGUUAUGUUAGACUGACUAUGGAUUAGUCGGAUCUAGGCUAUCUUUGUAAAGCUGUGAAUCUGUUCUUGCUCUGGAAUUUCCGGCCAUGGUCAUCGAUUUGUGGACAUAAACUGAUGAGUAUUGUGGCUAUAGUUCGUUAGGUUUUGAAUUGCAUUCAUGGUUUUGCCUGGCCAAGAAUUUGAGCCAGCUGCUUGGUAGUCUAAUGUGUUUCUGCAUUUGUAAUCUAAGUAUGAUUAGAAAGCCAUUGCCUUUAGCUUUUUGUAUCGCAUGGUUCUAUCAACGAUAAACUCUCUAUCAUGCAUGCAAAAGAUGAUGAUUUCACUACGCAGUAAACCCAUGGUAGCUCAACAACUGGUUGUGUGCUUUAUAGCAUUUGGUUAAGUUAAUCCUCUCAUAUCAGUUUCAUGCAUGCUAGAACCUCUGUAGUUUCAUCGAUCUUGCUUCUUAUGAAUUCGUUGCAACUUCUUAACUCGAUUUGUGAAUUGGGGAUGUACCUGUGGUUCUUGAAUCCAGAGCUAUCGGACUAAUGGUUUGUAGUAUGAAUUGGCUGUUUCGGUUAACUUGAUUGUGCAAAUUGGUUUACAUACAGAUCAAUGGAUCGCUUGCAAGGAGGGCAAUCAGGGAACUCAUGGCAAAAGGAUUGAUCAGGAUGGUGUCUGCACAUUCAAGCCAGCAGAUUUACACUAGGGCUACAAACGCCUAGGUUUUCAACGUCUUAGCACCUUGAAUGUUCCCCCAGAGAUGGAAUCAGUCGGUAGUUUCUCAGAGUUGCUGAGUUAUUGCUUUACAUGUAUGGAGUGAUAUGCGGGGAAUUUUGGUCUUAAUGUACACCUUGAAUGUUUGGAAUUUACCAUUUUUGUUCGAUGAGGUUAGUACAUCUUUGGGUUGGGAAUGGCAAAUCCUAUGAAUUAGGAAUGACAAUGGGUUGAGUUUUGAAUAUGGGAGGUCGUUCCCAUGUUCAUUACUGGGUUGUUGGUCAAGCAAGUUUGAUCCAAAUUGGUUAAUGACCUACUAGGUGUUCGAUUGCGAAUCGAGUUAUCUUGUAUGAAUUGUUUUCCUUAUCGAACAUGCCAAGUUGCCAACUUGUCAUCCUUAGAUGAUUCAAAUGCUACGGUUAAAUUCACAUCAAAAUAACCUAAACGAACAAACGAUUCUAAUCUAACAAAGGGGUUGCGGGCAGAUGACUCGAAUUACACUUCUAGAUUUCUGUUCCGCAAAUAACCAAACCGAAUGAUGAAGCAUGUUGACUCAGGGCCGGCCCAGCCCAGCCCAUCUCCGGCCAAAAACUCGCUUCUCCCGUAAACCCCCAAAUUUUAUUAUUUUGAGAAAGUAAACCCCAAUUUCGUAUUACCUAAAGAUAGCCUUUCACCUUCUUCUCCGAGGCGAUUUUGUUCACUUGCAGUUCUUCGAUUCACUACCUCCACCACCAGAUGGCCCGUAUCGCCGUCGCUAGGUCUUGUCGACUGAAGCCAAGGCUGUAUCCAACUCUUCUCACCACACCCGCUGAACUAGCCUCCGUGGAUCCUCCACCUCACGUGCCUAAACCUCCGCCGAAUCAUGAAUCUUCUGAGAAAAUAACGCUGCUGUUGAUGUCCUCAAGGGAAUGAUUGGGCUGAGCAUACCAACAGAGGCAGGGCAUUUUGGUGUUUUGAUAAAGAACUUGUGCAAGGCAGGAGAGUUUGAUAGGGCGGUCAAGUUGUUGGAGAAGCUUAUUGAGAAGGAAAUAAUUUUGAGGCCUCGGAGUUCUUUAGAAAUGGAAGACAGUGCGUAUAAUCCGAUCAUUCAGCAUCUAUGUGGCAAUGGACAUACAAAAAAGGCAGAAACUUUUUCAGACAGUUGAUGAAGAAGGGCGUGCAGGAUCCAGUUGCAUUCAAUAAUUUAGUAUGCAGGCAUGCAAAAGAAGGAUUUCCUGAUUCUGCUUUUGUAAUACUAGAAAUAAUGGGUCGGAGAGGUGUCCCCCGAAAUUCAGAAGCGUACGGUUUGGUGAUAGAGAGUUAUUUGACUAAAGGCGAGCCUUCUGAUGCCAAGACAGCACUGGACAGUGUGAUUGAAGAAGGGCAUGUUCCAGAUUCUGUGUGAGAAAGGCAAGACUACUAUUGCUGCUAAAAAGGUGCUGGAUUUCGCACUGGAGAGGGAUGUUCAACUCGACUUCAAAAGCUACGACAAGGUGUUGGAUGCACUCCUUGAAGCAGGGAACUCGAACUGGUUAGAUCCAAUUUUCCAUUCGGAAAUGAUGAAUGACCUACUAAGUAAGUGUCUUGUCUGCAAAGAAUCGUUUUCUUCAUUCAAUAUCGCAAAUCGUCAUCUUGAUUCUGCCCAAAUGAAUGUGGAAUGUUUUUGAGUAAUGACCAGGUGACGCGGCUAGGAAUCUGAGGGUCGCUCUUGAUUGAAUCUGAAUCGAACCCAUUUCAUAUUUCGAAAACAUCAAAGAUCACAUCUUGGUUAUUUCCCUUAUGGGAACUCGAACUAUUGUUGUUGGCAUUAUGCUUUUUGGCGUUGAAACCCCAAUGGCAACAAACCCAUGUGAAGAAAAAUGGUUACCUUUCCAAUACUUGUACGGAUAGUCAUCAUCUUCUCCUUAAUGUCGUCUUCUUCUUCUCCCCCUAUUUGAUUCUUCUCCGACAAGACCCAUCUGCCUCCAUUCUUCUUUCCGACUCCCUUGUCUUCUUCCUGUCGUCGGGGAAGGAAAUGGUGUUCUUUAAGGAGUUUUAGCCACACCACUAUCAACGCCAAUUUCACGGGACAUUCAAAUUCCGAUAUAUCUCGACCGCAAUGACGCUACAUAUAUAUUGAAUUAUUUUGUUUAUUGGUCGUGAACUCGCCUUCGAUAUCCACGCAAAUCCACCACACCAAAUCGAAGAUAAUCCAUUAAAGUUCAGAGUAACACCGUAAAUUUGUACCGACAUAUUUUAAGUGGUGCCCACUAAUAAUACCAACACAAAUAUCUACAACAUACAUCAUAAAUUACAAUUGUUCAAUCUUUAUCAAACUAUGCUGUUGGGACACGUGUGCGGCGGAGAAAGAUGUCACCAGACAUGAGUGAAUGACCAAUCACCAAAUCAGCAACUUUAGGGCUUGGAGGGAUGUCCCAAAAAAACAGCACCAGCUUCACUCUUCCCGCAUUAUCGGAUUAGUACAUCAAUUCCCUAAUAGCAAGCCAACAAGCUCGUGUGUCCUUGUCACUCACUCAUUGCACCACCCACCAUUCCAACUAUAGCUUCAUACAUACCCUUCUUAGUGUCACGGAGUCGGAUAAAUCCGAUUAAUUUGGGGGAUUCCAGGUAUCAGUCUGAUGGAGUUUAUCGUUGGUUUUGCUAAUACAUUAUUGUGUAAAUAACUGGAAUGGAGGACGUAUAGAUGAUAUUACUAGUGGAAUUUGUACCAUCCAACCUAAAGAAAUUUAGGCGAUCCAUAGGAAUAAGUUGAAGUCUUGUGGGGAAUAGAACUAACCAUUUGAAUCAAAAUUUUGUCUUUCAAGAAACAAAAUAUGCAACAUUAUUCUUAUCAAAGUAGAAUGAUUAGGGUUUGUGAGAUUUGGUAGAGGCAGAGAGGUCAUGUGGGCCUAGUGAGAAGAAGGCACAUGAUGGUGGGCUUUCUCUAUGACAGUUUUGAAUGAGAGCCGUCCGUUUUGAGUUUAGGCAACAUGUGUGUCCAAACUCUUAAAUUUACAAUCGAUAAUAGUUUGUUUUUAUUUGUACGGAAAUAAAAAGAUAACAAGUACACAUAAUAAUUAUUUAUAUUGAUAAUAAUACUUAUAAGAGAUAUCUAAGAGUAGUAAGACGUGUCACUGAAUGGACGGUUUUGUUAAUUACAUGAUUGACGAGUAGUGUGAAGACAGAUGUUCGGCAUGAUUGUCAGGUGGUCCCGGAUCUCUUUGAUGAUAUCAGACGUGUCACUAAAUGGACGGCUCUCUUACGUGACCGACGAACAGUCUGAAAACGAGUCUCGGACGCGGGGGCGAGGAGUUGGAUCUCUCACUAGGUUGUUGAUGAAUCCGUAAAAACAUAAGUGGUGCGUAGCACCUCCGACAAAAGUGCGAGCAAUUUGAAGUUGAAGCAUCAUAUAUGAUAUCGGUACCCGCUUCCUGAAGUCGUAAGAUCUUCAACAUCAAUAUAGUUGGUUCUUCAUCUUAUUACUUCAUAUAUCUUGUACGAUCAUUUAUAGCGAAGGGCUUUGUUCUCUAAUGUUGGAUCAUGGAUGUAUAGUAACCCUAUUUUUGUAUCCAUGAAUAUUAAUCAUGAGUUGAAUUCGUUUAUAUAACUCAUAAGCAAGUUAUGAACAAUGAAAUGCAUAUUAAGAUGGUGAUUUUUUUUUCAAUUACAGAGAACAAUCCAAUAGUUGAAACGAUUCAACUAAUAAGCUCAACUCCAAUCUUUACUCUAAAUAAAAAGUUUAAUUGUAGUAACUAACAGUCCAACUCAUAUUCUGGAAUUGUUUACGGUGGAGAUGAGCUAUGGUGUCGUUUUCAAUUGCCCCUUUCUCUCUGCAAAAUCCAUGCAACAGUCUCACAGCUAUAUAGUCAAUCAAUUUCCUUUACUACUUCUCCAAUGCUUGUCAAUUUAAAGAAAGAAAUACCAAUAACUCCAAAUUGCAGGAUUUCUCGUGAUUUGCAGCAGCUCACAUGGCUUUCCUCCUAUAAAGGAAAGGAAAAGGAAGAGCCAUUGAACCCUUCACAAACCCUCUCAGAGAAUUCACGCAUUUCCAUCUCUUGUUCACAUUCAAUAAAAGAGUUCGAUUCUUCUUCCAUUCCGUUUCAGUAAAAGAAUUGAGGUAAGUUUUUUAAAGUUGUAGUGUCCUUAUGAACUUCUGUAUUCUGGGUAUGGAUCAAAUGAAACGUACCUAGAAAAGGUUGUUUCACCAUUUCUUGUUUCUAUCGAUCCAUUCUGCCUAGUGUUCAGUCAGUUUCUCCAUUUUCAUGCCAUUUAACAAUUUUGAGCUUGUGGACUCUCUGUGUAAGUUAAAGUUGUAACCUUUAUGAACUUCUGCAAUCUGGGUACGGAUGGAGGAGCAAUGCAGAACCAAGAGCAGUUUCACCAUUUUUGUGUUUAAAUUUAUUUCGUUUUGUUUUCUCACUCACUUUAUGUAAUCUGCACUUUAACUCAAGUUUCUUCGUUUUUAGAGCUGAUUUUUUUUUUCUAUCUGGGGAUUCGUUCCCUUUGCCUUAAAUCUUCGGACCCGUGAUCCAAUUUUCCACUUCUGGGUUUUUAGGCUCAGAGCUCUUCUUCCUCUGCAGAUGGGUUCCUGCUGCGUGGCGUUGGAAGCCAGUAACCUUCUGGUGAACAGAGAGCUGAGGAUUUCACACUCGCCGAAUGAUCCUUUCACUCGGUUGAAGUUUGAGAAGAAGCAGAAGAAGAGCAUCAAUAAGUCGAAAUCUCGUUUAGUCUCUUCAGUCUUGACUUCCAGUAAUGGCAGAGGAACUGUGGUAAGUUAUGAUCCAAGCUGUUUCUCUUAGUGGUCCUUUCAGUUUCUUUUUGUAAUGGAUGGUCAUUUAUUGUUGAUUGAUGGAGUCUGACGGAUUGAACAUUCAUGAGCAACUAAACUAAGUUCAAACCUUAUACGGGGUCACGGGGUCAGUAGUUUGGCCGAACUAAUCAGUUUUGUCCGUGUCGGUAGAUGGUUUGGGUUAAUCUGGUAGCUUGUUUCUGAUCACCGUAAUUGGUAUCAUCACACAACAUAGUAGUUGAUAUCUCUUAGCUUGGCAUCGCCUCAGACAUACUCUUCUCGCAAAGGGGAGCUGGGUUAACAAAUCCAUGUGUUCCUGCGUUCGUAUUUUUGUUCGUGAUUGCGUUUUAUUCCAUACAAUGUAGACCUUACAACCAGAGCCAAGGCCAGAUAGGAACAGAGUGGAUCCAAAAGAUGUGGCUUCCAUAAUACUGGGAGGAGGUUCUGGUGCUCAGCUGUUUCCUCUAACCAAAAGGACUGCAACUCCAGCUGUAUGUCUGUGUUUUAAUUUUCUCCAUAACAAUGAGAUUUGGUUAUGGUUUUUUACUUGGGCUUUUGUUUCUGUAUGGUUUUGAUCUUACUAGGUACCAAUAGGAGGAUGCUACAGGCUGAUUGAUGUGCCUAUGAGCAACUGCAUCAACAGUGGGAUCAACAAGAUCUUCGUCCUUACCCAGUUCAACUCGACAUCCCUCAAUAGACACAUAGCUCGCGCCUACUUUGGCAACGGCAUCAACUUCGGAGACGGAUUUGUUGAGGUUCUGGCCGCCACUCAAACCGCCGGACAAGCAGGAAUGAAGUGGUUCCAAGGAACUGCAGAUGCUGUCAGGCAAUUUACAUGGGUGUUUGAGGUGAAAUAAUUUCGUCGAAAAAUAAACCGCAAAGAUCCUCUCUUUCUAUACCGAAGACUGAUUAUUUUUCCUUAUCCUUGGUCGUAGGAUGCCAAGACCAGGAACGUAGAGAACAUCAUAAUCUUGUGCGGCGAUCACCUUUACCGUAUGGAUUACAUGGACUUCGUUCAGGUAAAAAUCGAUCUUAACAUUCUUCAUGCUCUAAUGUUUUACGGCAAGACCGGUUUUUUCACAAUGUGCAUGAAAACAGCACCAUGUUGAUAGCAAUGCGGAUAUCACCAUUUCGUGUGCUGCUGUGGGCGAAAGGUACGGACUUCAUCUUCGUUCUUCUUUGCUUUGAUAUGUUCUUUACGUUCCGGUCUAAAUGUUCUUUUGGUGGAUUGGUUCUGCAGCCGUGCAUCAGAUUACGGAUUGGUCAAGUUAGACAGCAAAGGUAGAAUUAUCCAGUUUGCUGAGAAACCAAAGGGUGCUGACCUAAAAUCAAUGGUGAGUUCUGAUUUCUAAAUCAGGAUACUAACUUCGUUGCGGGAAAGUGAUUUGUGUUAUAUUUGGCAGCAAGUGGAUACGACUCGGAUAGGUUUGACUCCGCAGAAAGCGAAGCAGUCGCCAUUUAUCGCUUCGAUGGGAGUUUACGUGUUUAAAACCGACAUGCUGUUGAAGCUCCUGAAGUGGAGGUUUCCUACAGCAAAUGACUUUGGCUCUGAGAUCAUCCCUGCAGCAGUUAUGGAGCAUGAUGUCAAUGCAUACAUCUUUCGAGACUACUGGGACGAUAUUGGAACGAUCGAUUCGUUCUACCAAGCUAACUUAGCUCUCACCGAAGAGGUAAGGAUUUCCAACAAAUCGAUUGAUUUGUUCGUGGGGUUGAAGAAAUUAUAACCUGUUAACUGUGUGUGCAGCCUCCAAUGUUUGAGUUUUACGACCCUCAAAAACCGAUUUACACAUCUCCAACGUUCUUGCCGCCAACCAAGAUCGAUCAAUCUCGGGUAUGCAACUUGGAUCGGAGCUUGAUAUAGUGUUGUUGCUUUCUCGUUGAUGUAUUCAUCUGUCGGUUCUUUGUUGCAGAUUGUAGAUGCAAUAAUCUCCCACGGUUGUUUCUUGAGAGAUUGUUCUGUCCAGCAUUCGGUUAUUGGUGAGCGAUCUUGUCUGGAUUCUGGUGUUGAGCUAGCGGUGAGUUUGCCUGAAAUAUGUUCUUAAGAGCAUUUUUUCCCGAUUUCACAACGAGAUGCAUGAAUGGCUCUCAACAUCUUUGAUCUCCAUUUUUUUACAGGAUACUGUGAUGUUAGGAGCAGAUUACUAUCAAACCGAAGCUGAAAUAGCAUCUCUUCUGGCAGAUGGAGGAGUCCCAAUUGGCAUAGGGAAGAACACCAAAAUCAGGUAAAGAAAUCAACUUUAACUUUUGCAACUUAGACAAAUGAUCGUCCCGAAUCUGAAAUGAAUCCGACUCUUGCAGGAAGUGCAUUAUCGAUAAGAACGCGAAGAUAGGGAAAGACGUGAUGAUCGUCAACAAAGAUGUAAGUUCUCAGCCAAAAAUUGUCUUUCUCUGUCAUGCCGCCUGUUAUCUGAACGAAAGCUGUUGCCUUGCAGGGUGUAGAAGAAGCUGACAGGCCAGAACUAGGGUUCUACAUUCGAAAAGGGAUCACCAUUGUAGCAGAGAAGGCGACAAUCGAAGAUAGAACUGUCAUAUAAAACAUAAAUCCACACUUCGACAGUUAGAAAAAUGGUUCCAAUUCAGAUAUAUCGCUGCAGAUGGUUGAAACCCAGAAACAGAAGACACAAACUGCAACAUCAUCUACAUGUAACGUAAAAGAAACGAAGCUUCUUCCUUCUCACAUAAAAGUUGGGAUCUUUUCGGUCCUACAAGUCAAGUUAGAAGAGCAGAACUAUAGUAAAGGCAGCUUUUCAUAGUUUAUGUCGAUAAAAAGUUGUUUAAGAUUAGCCUUUCUGGAAAAGUUGGUAUCUUCGUGUAUGGGAUAUGAACAAUAAGUUACAUAACAAGACUGCAGAAUCUUGUACUGUUACCUCUUUUUUCAGAUGGAUAAUGUAAUAUUAUUAAUACUAACCAAACCAGUUAAACUUGAAUCAGCCAACGGGCUGAUAAUCACACUUACAAACAGAUCCUACGAAACAAAGAGAUUCAGUGGGCAUGGAAUGGCAAUUUAUUGCACAAAGAUUGUCCAUUUCCAUUGCUAACUCCAUAAUAGAACUAGCAUUUUGGUUGAACUGCAAGCCGACUUGAAAUCUCCAAAGCAUUGCUCUCGUAGAUGAACAAUUCACAAAGGCAACUGUGAGAUUAUGGUUCAGGUACAUACUUGUUGGAGCUGUACACUUAAUGUGAUCCUUUCUCGAACAGAGCAAUUCCUGAUCUUGAUGAUGACGAAUCACAUUGCGAAGUUUCGAACACGUAAGCUGCAUUGUUGAGUUCUUAAUGCACUUAGCUUGCUUUGUUAAUUCCACAGACUUAAGUUUUUGGGAUAGAUCUCUUCUCAAUAGCCCUUGGUACUCCAAACUAUAAGACAUCCCCUUUUCCUGAACUCACAAGGUUGAAAACCAGUCAUGGCCUUUCCCAUGAGUGCCAUAGCAGCUAUACUCGGAAACUGCUUCUCCGGUACUUCACCUGAUGUUCCCUUUCCGACUCGAGAUUCGCUAGCCAUCACACAAUCAGCUUUCCUUCUCAGGGAAGAAGCAACUGGGUUACGAGACCAUCGUCGAAUCCAAGGAUGCGAGUGGGCUUCGACGACGUCAUGAGCUUUCUCCUCAGAAUCGGUGGAAGUAGAUUCAGCAUUCCUUUCUGACAAUACUGUAGUAGGGCAAUCAAAUCCCGGAAGAUCAUUUCCAAUGGGAUCACUUAUCAUUUUGGUGAAGACUCCAUUCACUUUUCCAUGAGAGGCUUCCCCUAAGUCUGAACCUUUAGAACCGUAGGUGUAGGGCAAGAGUGCUGGAGCACUUGGCUUGAGACGUCUUACCCAUCUACUACAUGGAUCGAGCCUGACAGGGUCGGGACAAGCCCUUGACUUCAGAUUUCUGGAGUUUCCAGGAUGAGUGAGCAAGCAUUCCACAUCCAGACUUUGUGUUAUUGACGUGCUCGUCUCCUUAUCAUCUGCUGUCCCAGAUACAUCAGGAUGUAGACAAACCUCUUUGUUUAUAUCGGGUAACAGCUUUUUCACCAUUCUACCCGUAACUUCUUGGCCGACUGAAGCGAUUAGAUCUUGAGAUAUAGGUGAUGGUAAAUUUACCUUACUUGAUGGACGUGAAGCCAAACCUGAAAACAAAACAUCCACAAAGCUUCCUCAGUAUUUGAACAUAGAACAUCCUUGUAGUCUUCAGUGAUAGAUAUCAUACUUCAUAUCCAUACUAAUGGGAGUCGAUAAUAUAAUAUUCGCAAUAAUGGACGUACCAAGAAGUUGGUUAUGUCUGGCAGCAUCGAUGUCCAUAGUGUUGGUCUCGGAGGAUGAUCCGUUCUUUGAAUCAUGUAGGAAACUCUUGAUAGUUUCAGUGUCUUCUUUGCCCUCGCAUUCUGCGGAACUGUCAAGUUGUUGCAGCUUCACUCCUUGGUUAUUACGAGAGUGAUCAUCAGGUUUUAAACCGAACAAUUCACAUAACGAUUUUCCUUUGAACUUUGUGGAUACUGACGACUGUUGGAACAUCUGACCUUCAUCCAUAUCAGUCUUCUUUGUGAUGAAAAAGUGGUGAGUUGUAUGUGAAACCUUUGCACAACCGGCAGGAAAUUCUGUGAUGGAAUCGACAGUUGUACGUAUUCUCAUAGCCUGCACACCGUGUGCAGAAGAAGAGGGCAUUCCUGUUAUACUGUGAGAGCUACGAAAUGCCUCUUCGGUAGGGCCACUCUGGAAGGGAAAAUGAUCCGGAAGAGGCAUCAUCUCAGCAGCAAAGCCUCUUGAUUCAUUCUUGCUGGUUGAAGAGUCAUGCACCGAAAGAGCUCCACCGAAACUGAUCUUGUUCGAGCGAUCCCAAGAUGAAUUUCCCGCUUGAUUCGAAUUGUCUUCUACACGGGAAGCACAUUGCACUCUAUUCCUCCUGCUGUCAAAUUCAUAUGGAACAACCUGAGGACUGGCACCCGAAAGGUAGCCUCGUGAAGGAAAAACACCGACCCCAUUCCUCUGAGGUAGAAGUGGAGUUCCCAUUUCGCUGUUACCAACCAAUGCAGCAGAACCAGGCAAGUGGCUCUCAACUCUACUCGAAGAAGCAUCCAACCGAGAAAUAUCAACUCUCUUUUUCACUGGAGGCAAAGCAAUCUCCUCGUCCAGCGAAACACCUAGCAUGAGAUAAGGCUGACCUUCAGACGGCUCGUUCCUUAACCUCUCCAACCCGUCCCUCGUACUCGUACUACUCCCACACACAAAAUCUGCCAUCUUCCGCUUCCCCACAUCUCGAUACCGGUCUCCACCCUCGGAUCCUUUCCCAGAAAGAUCAAAUAGACGGUGAUACUUCACUCCAUGAUGAAUCUCUUCACUCACCUCAUUAGUCACUGAAGUUGCUGCUGCUUCAUUUCCCACCCUACAAUUCCUACCCAACCAAUGACCAAUCCAUGAAGACUGAGACCCACCACUUCCAGACAUCUCAUCCUUCCCGUUCGACAUUACAACACUGAAAAUUCAAGUCAACACAGUAACAAAAGGAAAAAUUCAUCAUCUGUCACCUGAAAGAUGCAAAAUUUAACCAACCCAAAAUUCUGAAAGCUCAAACAAUGACAGAAAAACAAAACAAAUCCAUGCAGAGAAAAUGAAAACCCAGAUUCUAAAUUCUCUCUCCAUCUACUGAUAGAGCUAACGAAGUCAAAUCCCAGUCCCACAAACAUUUAAAUGAAGCUACCGCUUACCUGAAUGGAUCGAAGAGAAGAUGGAAUUAUUCUUCCCUACAACUUUCGGGAGGAUAUGAAUUCCUAAUUCAGCUUCUGAAUCGGAUGAGAAAGAAGAGGAAAUGAAUCCAUGGCUGAACCAGGCGUGAGAGCUUGAGCUGCUCCCUGGUACCCUUUUUUGUUCUGGUGUCUUUUUGCUUUCUCUUCAGUUUCUUUUUGGAUUAUGACUAAAAUGGCCCCUAUACUAUUACAAAUUAACAAUUGAGCCCUUAUAUUAUUUUCUUUCUAAUCAAACUCCUACAUUUUUCUCAAACCAUCAAAUAAGCCCCUUCUUGUUUUUUUGGCAAUUGUGAUGAUUUAACACGUCCAGUUGAACGUUUUGCUAAUGUGACAUUUAUUGAUUUUUAUUAAUUAUUAAUUAGUUAGGUUUUAAAUUUAACAAAAAAAAUAUUAUAAAGAAAAAAUAGAGUGGGAGAAAAAAGAGUUGUAGGCCGAUUAGAAUUAAACAAUCCAUCUCCUAAACAAAAUAAAAUUAUAUUUUUUAUACUUCUCCAAAUAAAAUCAAAUAAUUCUCUACAAUAAAAGAUCAAACUUUUUGAAAAAAAUUUUCUUAAACGUGUAAACAAGAAAUAUGAAUUUUUUUUUAUAAUCUGCUUCAAUUGACAAACACAUAUCAUGGUGCCAAUUGAAGCAAAUUAUAAAAAAUAAAUUCAUAUUUUUUAUUGAAACGUUCAAGAGAAAUUCUUUCAGAAAGUUUAAUUUUUUAAUCGUAGAGGAUUAUCUAAUUUUAUUUGGAGGAGUAUAAGAAAAAAUAUGAUUUUAUUCCUUUUCAGGAGAUGAAUUGUUUAAUUCUAAUCGGCUUAUAACUCUUUUUUCUCUCAUCCUAUUUUUUCUCCAUAAUAUCUUUUUUUUGUUAAUUUUAAAACCUACUUAAUUAAUAAUUAAUAAAAAAUCUCAAUCAACAAGUGUCAUGACAGCAAAACGUUCAACUGAACGUGUUAAUUCAUCACAACUGCUCGAAAAAAAAGAAGGGACUUACUUGAUGGUUUGAAAAAAGUGUAAGGAUUUGAUUAGAAGGAGAAAUAACAAAAAAGUUCAAUUGUUAACUUGUAAUAAUAUAGGAGCCAUUUUGAUUAUAAUCCCUUUUUUCUUUGACCUCUCCUUUAUUGUGAAUUUUUAAUUUUAUUGUUAUAAGUAAUAAUUGAUGGGCUCUCAGACAGCCACAGAUGCGGAGGGCCCACCAAUUAGAAGAAUGGGCCCCCAUUUCCCACUUGCAAUUAUGGGGUCAUUUCCGAUUUUUUUUCCCCGUGAAGAGAUAUUUUCUCGUACUAAAAAAUAUGCUUUUAUUGGAUUUCAAAAAGAAAAUUGCUUUUAUUUUUCUUCAUACGUUGUACCUCGACGGUAUGGGCAUGAGGGACACCGGAUCACUUUUCUUUUUGGGAUAUUUGUGGAUAUUUAUCAAUAUGGAUCGGUAGAUUUACGAUCGGAAGUAAUGUUAGAUUGAUAUUACAAUUUGUUUUUAUUUGAAUUCGAAAUAGAUUAUGAUUAAAAAAAAUAUUCAUAGUGAUGUAUGUAAUUCCUAGUUUCAUUGGUAUAAUGGCAAGUACCAAGCUAUAAAAGGAUCAUCUCAGGGAUAUUUUUUCGAAAUAAAUUGUUUGAUAUUAAUUGUGAGGUAUUUUUUCUUUUUAGUGAUUAAAAAUCCACAAACAAAAAAAUAAUUGAUAAUAUUUUUUUUUUGGGAGGAGACAAAACUUUAAUUCAUUAAAAUUCGAGGUAUUGAAUUUGGUUAGAGCGAUCAGAUAUAAAUUGUGAUAGUGUGAUAAAUCUAUAUAAAUCUACUUAAUUAAGAUGGAAAAUGAGUAACGGUAAUUAUUCACUAAACUACACCAAAAAUGGAUAGUUUAUAUAAUCUUUAGAUGGUAAUGUUUGAAUUAAACUUAAAUUUAGAUGGAUAUUUGUUAUUUUGAAACUCGUUAACAAGCUCAUUAUCACUUUAACCAGAAAGUCAUGAGUUUCAAUAUUAUUAUUUUUUUUUUGGGAGGAGACAAAACUUUAAUUCAUUAAAAUUCGAGGUAUUGAAUUUGGUUAGAGCGAUCAGAUAUAAAUUGUGAUAGUGUGAUAAAUCUAUAUAAAUCUACUUAAUUAAGAUGGAAAAUGAGUAACGGUCAUUAUUUGGCCACAAUAAAAAAUUGUCAUCUCAAAAGAAUUUGUACUUGAAGUAGGAAUAAAGUUAAGAUGAAUUAAACCGUUUGAAAAGUGGCAUAAGUAAUCGAGUCUCAAAUGAUAUCAAAAUAGUUUAAAAAUUUAUGAAUGUUAAAUAUACAUACCAUUUUGUCAAUAUGAAAACUGAAGAGUGACCUACAUAGUAAUUCUAGAUCGAUGACUGAACACCUCUCAUGUUUGUAAUUUUUCCUCGUUCGAUAUAAAAGACAUCAACCGAAAUAUAAUCUUCAGAAAAACCCUAAACCCUUUACUCCCAACUGCGCCACGGCAAAUCUCCAGCCAUGGGUAAGGUGAAAGGUAAGCAUCGUUUGGACAAGUACUACCACCUCGCCAAGGAGCACGGCUACCGUUCCCGUGCCUCGUGGAAGCUCGUCCAGCUCGAUUCCAAGUUCAAGUUCCUCCACUCUUCCCGCGCCGUCCUCGAUCUCUGCGCCGCCCCCGGAGGAUGGAUGCAGGUCGCCGUCGAGAAGGUCCCCGUUGGGAGUCUGGUGCUAGGUAUCGAUUUGGUGAGGAUCGCUCCUCUCCGUGGCGCGUUAUCGAUCGAGCAGGAUAUUACCAAGUCCGAGUGCAGGUCGAAGAUUAAAAAGAUUAUGGGGGAUAAUGGGGUGAAGGCGUUUGAUUUGGUUCUUCACGAUGGUUCUCCCAAUGUCGGCGGUGCUUGGACGCAGGAGGCCAUGUCGCAGAAUGCUUUGGUUAUCGAUGCACUGAAGUUGGCUACACAAGUGUUGGCUCCCAAGGGGAAUUUCAUCACUAAAGUGAGCUUGCGUUUUUUGUUACUGUUUGAAAAUUUUGGAAUGCGAGAUCAAGGAUUAGGAUGGUUUUUAUCCGCUUAGUUGCUAAUUUGCUAUUGAUGCUAUUAUAUGAGUCAUUGGUUGGUUGGAACUUACAAGUUAGUGAUGAUUCGUUGGAAGUGUUAACCUUGAUGCCCAUGUGGUUUUCGUUGUUGUAGGUGUUCAGGUCACAAGAUUACAGUGCGGUUAUCUACUGUUUAAAUCAGGUGAAUGACAAAAUUAAAGAUGGGGGUAGAGCGUAGAUCGUUUGCUUAUCAUGUGGUUCUGAUUAUCUUACUUGUGCUUUCAGUUCUUUGAGAAGGUUGAGGUUGAUAAACCAUUAGCCAGUCGUUCAGCGUCUGCAGAAAUAUUUGUGCUGGGGCUUAAGUACAAAGCACCUGCAAAGAUUGACAAUGACCUGCUCGAUAUUAGGAAGCUGUUUGCGCAUGUUGAUACACAAAGAAAGGUAGCUGUGAAUUAGAGAUGUUCAGUAUUUUCAUUUUAAUCGUCCUUGAAACCGUCUUUUUAGUUUGAAGUAUAUUCGCAUUCUUGUCUGAAUAAAAUUCUUAAUUGCAGCCUCUAGAUCCCCUCAGAGGAACAAAGCAAAAACGUCAUCGUGACGGGUAAGGAAAUCUCAAUUUAUCUGGCUGUUUAAUUUGUGCAAGGAACAUUCAGAAUGUAGUUCAAAUGUGUAGUUGCUGGGUGCCCAUAUAAAAUCUCACUGACUUCAAUUUUUGUUUGGAAAAUUUCAGUUAUGAAGACGGACAGUCUAUGAUCCGGAAAGUCUCAUCAGCUGCAGAUUUUAUCUGGUCCAACACCCCUCUUGAUGUCCUUGGCUCAGUUACUUCAAUCACCUUUGAGGACCCUGUAUCCUUGCCGAUAAAGGAUCAUGAGUUGACAACGGAAGAGGUGUCAUAGCUAUGCUUCCUUUGGUAGUCCACUUUGUGGGUGCUUUUCCUGAGUGAUCUUCAUUUGAAUAAUUUCUUCUAUGGCCAGGUCAAAGCCCUUUGUGAGGAUCUUCCUGUGUUGGGGAAGCAAGAUUUCAAGCAUCUUCUCAAGUAAGAUUUCAUGUUUAUUGAAAAAAAAUUAUCACAUCAGAAGGAACAUCUUUGUACAAUGAAGCAAAAUAGAGGAAUUUUUGAAUUAAAUCUAAGUUUCUUCCGAACUACCAUGCUGUGCUUCAAACUUAUCCUUUUCAAUUUAUGUAUCAUGCAGAUGGCGGAUGAAUUUAAGGAAGGCGCUGUCCCCUUCUGAAAAAGCUAGCUCUGCUGCUGCUGCUGACAGUGAGGAAAAGAAAGAAUUAGAUGAAGACGAUAAGAUGCUUAAUGAAAUGGAGGAGUUAACAAAGGCUAUGGAGCGGAAGAAGAAAAGAGAGAAGAAAAUAUCUGCUAAAAGACGGGAAAAGGUUAGUAAACUCUCGAAUCUACGAAAAGACGGGAAAAGGUUAGUAAAUAUCUGCUAAAAGACGGGAAAAGGUUAACAAAGCCUGUUCAUGAAGGCUUGCAAACUCUCGAAUCUACUAGCCAUCAGAUUAUGUGAAUAGGCCUGCUUCUUGCAGUAGUUCUUUAGUUAAUAAGGUCUCCAAUAUGAGGUUUUUUUCGCUGACAUUGAUGUUGUUAAUUUAAUUCCUGUUGUAUUCUCAGGACAAGGCCCGGAAAGCAUCUGGAGGAAUGCCAAUGGAUGUACAUGAAGAUGGUGGCUACACUGAUAUCGAGUUAUUUUCUCUUGCAUCAAUUAAGGUUAGUUAAAUACUUAACACAUUUCUCGUACGCUUUCCCUGCGUGUAAACUUUUUUCGAAUGAGGUCUCAAUGCAUGCCUCUUCUCAGCCAACUGCUGAAGGCACGACUAACCCUGAUUUUGAUUUGUAACCACUCAGGGAAAGAACGAUUUGGUUGCUAUAGAUAAUGAUGAGAAUGGUGACGCGAGGGAUAGUGACGAGGAGGAAAACCCUGACAAUGAUGCUCGGGAGUCAUCUGCCGAUUCAGAUUCGGAUGCAGAGCGUCAAAAGUAACUUUCAAUCCUUAUGUAUCUUCAAUCAAUCGAUAAGCAACUGUUUAUUAUAAUUACUCGUGUGGCUUUUUGUGUGUAGAUAUGAUGCUACAAUGGAGGACUUCCUCGACAAUCUCUAUGAACGGUUUGUAACCAAAAAGGAAGGAAGUACAAAGCAGAGGAAACGUGCAAGGCAAGCCUACUCCGAGCAGCUCUUGGAUGGGGAGAACGACAAUAUGGAGCACUCAGAUUAUGAUUCGGACAGGGAGCCGGCCGAUCGCGAAGCAAAUCCUCUCAUGAUUCCACUCAACGACGGCGAAGAACCGACAAAAGAAGAAAUUGCAAACAAAUGGUUCGCUCAGGAAAUAUUCACCAAAGCUGCCGAGGAAGAGGAUCUGGUCAUGUCUGACAGCGAGCAAGAGGAUGCCCCCGCGACGGAGGCCGCUGUGAUGGAGGUAGAUAAGAAGCAGCAAGAGAAACGGGUUGCUCCCAAGAAGGCUGCGGUAAAAACUAGUGAACCCGAUUUUGAGAUUGUUCCUGCCCCUGAAACUGAUUCUUCUGAUUCGUCCUCGGACGAAUCAGAAGACGACAGCAUCGAGAAGAAGGCCGAGAUACUGGCGUGUGCGAAGAAGAUGCUGAGAAAGAAACAAAGAGAGCAAAUGCUCGACGACGGGUACAACAAGUACAUGUUUGACGACGAGGGCUUGCCUGGGUGGUUCCUCGAGGAAGAGAGGAGGCAUCGCCAGCCUGUCAAACCGGUCACCAAGGAGGAGAUGAACGCAAUGCGGGCCCAGUUCAAAGAGAUCAACGCACGGCCCGCUAAGAAGGUGGCCCAGGCCAAGGCUCGAAAGAAGCGUGCCGCCAUGAGGAAGCUGGAGAAAGUCAAGAAGAAGGCCAACGCGAUCUCAGACCAGACCGAGAUUUCCGAGCCCUCGAAGAGCAAGAUGAUCGAUAAGCUGUACAAGAACGCUGCUCCAAAGAGGCCGAAGAAGGAGUAUGUAGUUGCGAAGAAGGGGGUCGCUGUGAAGGGUGGCAAGGGGAAAGUUGUAGUGGAUCGGAGGAUGAAGAAGGACGUCCGUGGAGUUAGCAAGAAAGGCAAAGGUGGCUCGAAGAAGAACGGUGGUAAGGGCCAGAAAGGCGGUAAUGGCGGUAAAGGAUCUGCAAGCAAAGGCGGUAAACCGAGACCCGCUGAUAAGGAAACAAAGAGAGGAUCUGCUCGACCGAGGUCGUUUUGACAAAUCUUUUUCUUAAACCUUCACUAGAAGGAUGAGUUGUUGCUAAUCCAGUUUUGUGCUUUUUUUUUGUUUUCAUUUCCCUUCUGAAAAACUUUGCAGUAACGUUAUAUCUUUGAACACACUUUCAGUAAUGAAGUUCAAUUGAUCUAUCUUAUACCUUGCUUUCUUAGGAUUUCCAAACCGAAUGGAACCCUGUAGGCAGUUGGUCUGAGCCGUGCAUCGAUCUUCUGUACACCUUGUCCCGGUGCUCCAGACUAAACUAUUCAGCCGAGCGAACCUAUUGUUGAUAUUGAACUAUCUGCCCGGACCUGGAUCCGUUUGCCCUUCUUCCUCCGACCUGGCUACCUAACCAACCAACUACCAGUAGUACAUCUGAAUUCAUUUGUCCUUCCUACCUGACAACUACCAGUACUAGUACUUACAUAAUAAAUUAUGGUUGAUUACAAGUACAUUGGUACAAAAGAUAAAGAAAGUUUGGAAAAGUUCAGUAUGUUUAUGUAGAGGACACGAAACCAUAAGAGUUUAAGAAGGCAGAUGGGAUUUGUCUAUGGAACAUAUCUGGGGAAGCAAACUAGUGUACUAGAAAACACAUGACAUAUUGGGUGCCUGCUGUAUCAUUUCUGCGGUAGCUGUGAAACUAAAACUGAAUCUUCAACUGUAAACUGAAUGUUAAACUCGUUGAUGUACUUCUACGAUGAGAAGCUCCGGUUCAGGGACGUCAUGGAUAUGGACAAGUUGAGGUACCGGUACGAGGAUGUGGAUGAAUGUCAUACCGAAACCUUCGAUCGCGCUUAGGUUAACCAAACGCGAACUCAGGAGGGAGAAGGAACAAGAUAGUAAUAUGUUGGAAAUGCCGUCCCAGGCCCAGCAUCUCCAACACAUUGGUCAUGUCCUCGACUCUCGAGUAACAAUUCGCGUGGUUCGGCCGAGGGCGGUCAGGACCCGAAAGGAGAAAGACCAAUUUGAAGAGAUAUUGGUGGUGGAAGGGAUUGUCGUGAAGGCCGAAGAGUUUGUGAACUUUGACGUGUACAUCAACGUGGUGAACAGGACGAUAAUGAGCGCCAAGUACCGGGAGUUUGCAGGGACGUUCACCGAUAUCCCGAUGGGGGUAUAGUUCGGUAAGAAGAAGACGUUGGAGCUCGGGAUUUCAGAGGUGUUGGAGGAUUUGGAGGCGGAUCGAGACAUAUCUAUAUGGGUGACAUUGAUGCCAAGGACACAGUAGUAACAAGGUUACAUUUGAUCGGCUAAGCAUCAAGCACAACAAGAAAUGAGUCUGAGAAAAAAACCAGAGGAUAAACUGUUUGAUGUCUUUAAUUGCAAGGAAUAAUUGAAUAUCUUUAGAAUGAAAUAUUAAUAUGCUCUAGGAGCUGAUGAAAUUAUCUAUCGUUCUCAAAUUGAUCCUAUGCUUUGUGCUCAUAUGGUUUCGAAACAGUCAAAGAAACCAAAAUGGAGUCGAUUGAUAAUCACGGUUUUGAAACAGUCAAAGAAACCGUUUUCUGUUAAGAGAUCAAAGCUUUGAUUUAGAGACCUUCAAGGAUCAGAAAGGGCGAUUCAGAACUGACAUCAUCAAAUCUGCAGAGCAUGCAAAAGGGCAGGAUUAUUCAAUUUACUGUGUCAUUUUGGUUUGUCAAAGGGAUGGUUUAUAGCUUUUAAGUUAUGGAUGCUUCAUCUUUCUUUGGUGUUCUGGAUUCCUUGAUUGUUUAUUAUAACAUUUCAACAGAAUCUGGAAUAACAACAUGAGAAAAAAAGCAAACACGUAGGAUCAAGGAGAUGACAAAGUUAGAGAUGGAGAAGGAGAAGAAGAAGAAGAUACAACUAAUCAGAAGAAGAGAACGAAGUCCUGAAGCUAGUAGUAUCUACCCAUCUUCAUUUUCUGUCCAUGGUCUCGCAGUUUACUCCUCCACCAUCACAUCAACUGAGGUUGUAGAUGGUGUUGGCUUAGACUUGCUUUUCUUUUUACCUGUCGAUUAGCAAGUAAAUGUCAGUCUUGAGUUUUGUAUUAGCGAUGGCUUCAGCCUGCAUUAUUACACCUCUAUUACAGCCGGACUAAGAAAUAAAUUGGAAUCUGACCUUUUAUACGGUCUAACUGCUUCAACUUGAGUCCCCUUUUUACGUUAAACAACUUGGUGGAAAUUUUACUGCUAUCUUUAGAUGAGCCUUCACCUGCAAAAGACCAUGUACCAAACUGCAUAUUAAAUCAAGCAAGCGAUAUCAAAGCCAGACUCCUAGGACAAUCCAUUUGAGUUUAUUGGGAAACACCUACGAUCAUGAUUCUUGUUGCCAAACCUAACCUAACCAUAGUCAAAAUCUCAACCUAACUAAGCAGCGUUCUUAAUGUCAUCAACAAACAGAUUAUGGAAGAGAAAAGAGGGCUAAGCAUCAAAAACUAACAAAACCAGCAGCACUCUCACUCUCCCAGUCGUGGACAAAUCAAGUCUUUAUCACAAACCAACAACUAUGGCAGUUUGGACAGAAGUUGAUCCAAGUUAGUAUGACUUGUUCUAAACAUGUCACGAGAAUCCAAAAUCCUAUCCAAAGCGGAUGCUUAGUCCAAUUGGCUGGAUUUCUGAAUGGGGGCAGUCACUCAAAGGCUGUAACACCAAGUAAAGCACUUGAAAAGAAGUGAUUCAAGAGAAGACAACAAUAAAUACCAUCUGCAACCGCCAUCUCUACAUCUUCCAUGGUGACAAGUCCUUUUUCUACAGCUUCUUUCUGGUCCUGUAUUGUAUGUAGUAAUUAACCGCAGCCAAAAUGAAUAUUCACCUAUAAAAACCCUUUGCUUCUGCAUUAGGGAAGGACAAAAGGAACAACAUACUUACUCUGCGCCAUUUGUUCAACAGCUUGCGCUUGCGUUUACCAGAGACGGAUUGAUUCUGCUGUUUAGCCUUCAAUUUAGCGGUGAGGGGAUCUCCGUGAGCGAUUCUCUUUUUAUCUGCUAUCGCUGCCCUCUUCCUGAUUGAACUUCGCCAUUGUUCUCUAUCUUUCUUUCUCCGUUUCUCUCAGAUAAUCAUAAAACCCUAAGCGAACACAUUUUUUGGGCUUACGUAUGUAUUAUAUGUAUGUGACCAAUCCCAAUUUGGGCCUGGUUUUCAAAAAUAUUUGGGCCUCUCCAAUCAAGAAUGUUUCGUCCAAAAUAAAUAAAUUUUGAGAAUCCAACCAUAGGUUUAACCCUUACUUUCCCGAAUUGCUAUUCGCCUUUCUAAAUUAUCGACGAUGAAUGUUGGGAUCGACGGAUGAUCGUUGGGAACUCGAAUAACAAUGCUGAUAGACGGAUGAUAGUGAAUGAUAUAUUCAGAUAAUAGAAUUUAGAAUUUGUGUGCUCGAUAAAAAAAUAAUUCUGUCAUUUAUAAUAAUUAGCGUGUUUUAAAAAAAAUGGUAAGACGGUGAAUGACACGCCCCUUACCAAUAAUUUUGAAAAUGUACCAUGCUCUAGGAGCUCAUGAUUUGUGCUCAUGUGGUUUUGAAAACAGUAAAAGAAACCGAAAUGCAGUUGAUCCAUAUAUAAUCAUACUUCAGUUCUGCGUGUGAAAAUUUAUUAACCUUCUGGCCAGUGUUAACAGAUGGCAUUAGUUUCUCUACAAAAUACCAGUAACAGAAACAACUACACAUACUGGUUCAGAUACUCAUCAACACUAGUAUACUUAACAUCAGGGUAAAUUUCCGAUGCCUCCACACCGAACGAAUCCUCUAUCUCGAAGCUUGUCUGGCAUCCCUUCACCAGAAUAGAAUGGUUCAGCGCCAGCAUCACAUCUCCUGCAAACCCACAACACACACAUUUAGGACCUCCAACAACAAAAAUUGAUCUAGCUGUCUUUAUAUAUUAAAGCUACCUCUAGUGUGCUUCAGAAUCUCUUCUUCAGGAACAUACACCCUUUCCAGUUUCUUCCCGAUCUUCCUCUCCCACAGAGACGCCAGAUCGUUGAACGAGUAUAUGUUGUUCGGAGGCCUAAUGUACACAAGCUUGUUUAACGUCCGUGGAUCGUCCACUGCUCGAAUCGUAUACGUCCCGAUAUCAUCCUCCCUGUUGAAAACCGCUGUUUUUUCGUAUCGAAGAAAAAACAUCAUCAGCACAAUUGUUCUUCAGCUUAAUGAUAAACUGAAUGAAAUAGUUUCAAACAUUCCAUCUAACCUUUGGCAUUGCCGUCUCCCAAGAUGAUAACUUUAUCCCUGGGAGGGACAUCACCAGAAGGCUGAGCCAAAUUGCUGAGGAAGUAACCAGCAAAGCAGUUGCAGGAGACAUAUGUGAAUGGGAUCCCUUCAGCUUCGACAGCUCGACGAAUCUGAACCUUGACAUUGUAUGCCGAUUGCGCUGGCUCCACUGCCACCACUCGAUCCACGUCGUUCCCAAACUCCGACGGGAAGAACCUCUGGUCAGUAAGAAACAUGGAAUCAAUCAGACAACGAACUAUUUCUACAUUCAAAUGAACCAAACCCUAGUAGCAAUUCUAGAUUCGGGGAGUUUGUGUUUACCUUGACGUUUCCAGCUUCCUUAAUAGCGGCUAUGAUUUUCACCUGCUCAGUCAGCAUCCCAUGCCCGACUGUUGAAAUCACCACAUCAACUUUCUUCAUUGCGUCCACCAAGCUUCCAUGAUCAUUCAAAUCCCCCUGUACAAGUUCCGUUCAGAUUAGAAAUGGAGCGGAAAUUUUAAAUCUGAAAAAACAAAACACCUACGAUUAGGAAAUUGACGCCCAAGUUCUUCAAGCUGCUGACGAGCUUGGAUCUUCUGGGAGCUGAGAGAGUCGAUUUCCUGACAAGGGCGUAAGUCGGGUGGCCGGCUUUGGCGCUGGCUUCCACGAUGAAUUUGCCGAUGUAACCAGUUCCUCCGAUGAACAGGAUCUUGCUCUUGGUGGCGGAAGCCAUUGGUGAAAGGAAUCGAUGAAUCUUCUUCUUUGUGGAGAAUUGGGGCUGGGAGGUGAUGAUGGAUUUAUUCCUAAGGUUGACUGAUGAGCUUAUAUAGUUGAAAUGUGGGAAAGAAUAUAGUAAAGGUGGUGAUUUUGGACGACGACGACGAACGAGAAAAGAAGAUUCCGGCGGCUGUUGGCAAUGGAGGGAAAUGAGAUUGGUUGCCAUUGUUGACCAUCGUAAGCAAACAACCCCACUGGUUCCGAACCCGCGGUUUGUUGUUAAAGCCGGUUUGGUUUGAUUUGGCUUGACACUUUGGGUCAUGAGCGGUUAGGAGAUUCGAACUCGAAAUUUUCCGUUCGUGAAAACUAGGGAUAAGACUAGUUUUCAAAACUCAUCUCCGUGCACAUAAUGUCUCGAAUACCCAAGCACAAUCGGUUAAUGCAUCCCUAGCCGAAAUGAACGGCUAUAAUCAGGUAAUGCCCCUCGAGAGUCGGGUAAUAUGAAAGAGAAUGUCCAACCAAAACCCUAAAUCAAAAUCGGUUUCUUUCCUUAACCACAAAAGUCCAAUUUCACUAACCACAAACACAUCGAAGCACAACGCAAUUCACCAUUAUGACCAUAUAUGGAACCCAACACAUCCCUGUAAAUCUUUCGAACUUGGAAAUUUUCAUUUCGAAAAGUUACCACUAACCACUGGAAUUCCGCGUCAUGAAAAUCGGUGAAUCAAACCAAGGAGGACAAGUACUCAGCAAUGGUAGUAUACUCAACAUCUGGAUACAGCUUCGAGCCUUCGACUCCAGUAGCAGGAUCAAUCUCAUAGUAGGUAUGAUCUCCUCUCACAAACACCGAGUAUAUGAACACCAGCCCCAUAUUCCCAGGAUACGAAAUCUCUGCACCAGUCCAAAAAACAAACCAAAUUCAACAAAACAAGCAGAUAAACCAGCAAAGGAAUCAAAAUCAACUACCCAGUAAGUAAACCACCAUUGAUUCUCUUCAACAUCUGUUCCUCCGAAACGUAGCAUCUCUCCACAUUCAUCCCAAUCAGCCCUUCCCAUAGCGUCACAAUCUCGUUCAUCGAACACACGUUCCCCGGAGGUCUCAAGUACAGAAUCUUGUUCAGCGUGGAAGGAUCGUCCACUGCUCUCAUCGUGAAGGCAGCUACAUCUCGUUCCUUCACAAACACACCUGGAAACCAAGGCAGACUCGUUGUUCGAUAUCGUUCGUCGAAUUGUUUGAAACUAGGUACAUGUACCUUUGACAUUGCCGUUUCCGAAGAUUAUGACCUUGUCUCGAGGUGGAGAUUUGAGUCCCGGCUGGACAAGGGAAGGAAGGUAGUAGCUCAUUAAGAGAUUGCAGCAGACGUAUGUGUAUGGGAUUGAUUCGGCUUCUAACAACCGUCUGAUCUCAGAUUUCCUGGAGUAGAAACCAUGAUCCAUUCCUGAUAUCUGUGAUCUGUCUGCAUCUGCUCCGAACUCAGACGGGAUGAACCUCUGGAAAAUGAUGAUCAUCAUGAAUGAAACCUAUGUUAACAUUGACAGUAGAUUGAACACAAAUGAUACACAAUCGGCAAUGGAAUGUGGCAUUUUAAAAAAUUCCAUCAAAGCAAUCACUUCAAUUUCACUAAAAUCAGUUAGCAAGGAAGAAAGCAUUUUUGAUAAUCACAAUCAAUAGUUACCUUUAUCCGGCUUCCUGCUUGUUUGAUGACUUUGAUAAGCAGCUUCUGAUCGUGAGCUUGUUUCGACGGAAUCGAACAGAUUACAACGUCAACUCGAUUCACUGCCUCCACAAGGCUACUCUCGUCUUGCAAUGAACCCUAAAAAGAAGAGCAGCAGCAGAAGAAGAAGAAGAAUCAAGAACAACGAAAAAUUCCCCUAGCAGGAAAAGCAUUAUCCCAAUUGAAUAAUACCUUAAUGACGGAGGCGCCGGCAUUGGUGAGGGAUUGGAGCUUGUGAGCUUUGAUUGGGUCGUGGAAAGCCGAUUCUCUGACGAGGAGGAGAGUUGGGUGAGAGGAUUUGAGGCUGGAUUCUGCUAAGUGGUAACCCAAAUUGCCUGUUGAGCCGAUUACCAACACUCUGCUCUUCUCCUUCUCCAUUGCAGUCAGCUGGUUUGAUCAAUUGGGUUACAGUCUAAAUUGCUGCCAGUGCCAUGCACAAUCCAGUUGAAGGUUUUGCCUUUCCAGUGUUCUGUGAUGGUUUUCGUACAGUUAAUUUCAUUCCGUAGCACCAACUUUGGCCAAAAUGCAAAAAGUUACCAUGAAGUUUCAAAAGUAACAAAAUAAUAUUGUGUGUACAAAUUCAAACUUAAUAAUGUGGAAAAUGUUAUAUAUGGUGAGGACAUUAUUUUUGUAUUCGUAAGGAAGGAGAACACUAAUAUCAUCAAAAAAAAUAUACAAAUUCGUACUUAUUUAUUAUUCUAUACGAGAUAAAAAUAGAAUAUUAAGGAAAGUUAAUGGAGAUGAAGAUCUACAGUUUCAAUGCCUAACUAUAGGAAUGCCAAUCUAAACUCAACACUCUUAAGAUAAUAAAUACAUUCGAAUAUGGUUAAUGGCUAUAUAUGAGCCGAUAGGUAUAACCACUCUUUGUGCUUCAUACUUAAGAUAUUGAACUACCCGCUCUUAUCAGGGUCCAUCUGUUAUUCCUACUUAAUUAAAAAUAAAAACUAAAUAAAUAUUAUUUUUUAAUUAAAAUAUAUCAAAAUUUUCGAUCAAUAUAAAAUAGGUUUAUUAAAACCUUAAAACUCCGAUAUUUGAUUGGGAAUUCAUUUUACAAUGAAAAACAUGAUUCGUAUGGUUAUAGUAUUAUAGGAUAUUGGGUUCCCAUUGAAAGGAGGCGGAUUCUCGAGUUUUACUUGGAAUGACACUCGCCACCCUCAUCUUUGCAUAUUAUUACAAAAUUGCUACAAUAAAAUCCAAACCUACCCAACAAAGUAAGUAUCACCAACGCGGCCAUUGAUCCAAAAGGUGCCUUUGAGAGAUGUAACCAAUAGAUUUUAGUCAUUACAUCUGGUUAUUUUUUUGACCAAGUUUCAUCUACCGAUUAAAAUAAAUCAAACGAAUUAAUUUGAAUAAAUAUAAUUUUUUAAUAAAAAAUUACAUAAGCGGAAAUCAAUUUUUCGGGAAAUAAUUUUCUCUCUUUCUUUUAGUCAUUUUUUAACUUUGAUANNNNUUAACUUUGAUAUCACCGUUAUGUUUAUCGUACAAGCAUGUUUAGUAAGUAAUACGAUCAUUUUAUAGGCUUGUUACGCCGUUGCUACGUUAACCUUACGAGUAGUUGAAUUCAUUAUCGUUAUGUCCAGUUUACCACUCUUUUAUGUCGGUGAUAUAUACACUUUAUGAGUCUGUUAUGUGUUUUUAUUAUGGCUUUUAAAUAAGUUCAUUAUAUAGAAUUUAUAAGUAAAUUAUUAUAUUCACGUUAUCGUUAUUAAAUCAUUAUUAUAUCAUUGUCACACCCAUUUUACGAGUAAUUAUGUUAUCCAUGUCGACUUUAAUAAGUUUUUCCUAUCUAUUUUCUCUUUUAAAGAAAAGUUGAAAAAAAAACUUNNNNNNNNNNNNNNNNNNNNNNNNNNNNNNNNNNNNNNNNNNNNNNNNNNNNNNNNNNNNNNNNNNNNNNNNNNNNNNNNNNNNNNNNNNNNNNNNNNNNNNNNNNNNNNNNNNNNNNNNNNNNNNNNNNNNNNNNNNNNNNNNNNNNNNNNNNNNNNNNNNNNNNNNNNNNNNNNNNNNNNNNNNNNNNNNNNNNNNNNNNNNNNNNNNNNNNNNNNNNNNNNNNNNNNNNNNNNNNNNNNNNNNNNNNCUCAGCCAGUCAUCCUACCAACCGCACGGCACAAUCUUUUGUCUAACAACCACAUGCCAACCGUCCAUCCCUUCUCUAUUGUGAAUGUUUAAAUCAAAUUUUUUUUUUAAAGUGACGUGUGGACUCAGAAACUUUCAUUCAAGUUUCUACUGAAUUUAAUUGUUUAUAUUUAAUGGACUAUUUAUUUUUAGAAACAUGUUUUUAUCGUACUAAUAUAUUAAUUAUAAAUAUUGAAAUAAAUAUUCUUUAAAGAACUUUGAAAAUAUAAGCAAAUUUGUUACAAUCUCCUCGCACAAAACGAAUCCUAAUGUUUCGAAACUAAAAUCUUCCGACAUCGUCCAAUAAUAUCUCCAAACUUCAACCUAUCCUACACCACACUCGCAUUAAACGGCACCACCUGCAAAUCUAACUCCAAAAUGACGUUGUCUAAGUUGAGUUUAACACACCACCAAAAACCAUUCAUCCAACAACGUUAGGGCCUCAGUCUCCUUACUACUAUAACCUCGUUCCCGUUUCAUUUGGUAAUGUAUCGCCGUACCCAUCUCAUCACGCAAGCACGUUCCUGGAUUCCUGCGCCCAUUUCUCCCUGCUCUGGAAACAGUUGUGAAUGAAACCUUUACCUAUAUAGUUGGGGGGUUUCUUGGUUGUAUUAAAUUAUAAUUUAUUCCAUCUUAAAAUGGGUUGGUUCAUGUAAAUACUAAUGAUAAAUUUAUAUUGGUAUAACCUCAAAUAAAUUUAUCAAUUAAUACCAAGUUCUUUUCGAAAAAAAAGCUAAUACAAACCUCAACGAUCAUUUCAUAUUCCAAAUUUGAAGAUUGUAAUUAAAUUCUCACUUCCUUUAUUAUUCCACCAUCCAAAUAGUCGAUUCAUAUGUCUAGUACCGAUGCUCAAAGGUGACAAGUCUACAUUUACGACCACCGGUACCUCCAUUUUCAGUAUUGUCAACAUAUGUGUAUAACAUUCUCGACCAUAACCACAAAAUAAUUACGCAACUCUAUAGAUUGUCGAUACCGUACUAAACUUCGAAUCGGCCAACACCGGUCAAACCAUUUUGGCAUGUUACGGUCCACAACUAUUUCGCACCAUCUCUGGCCACCUUAUCUCUGUCUUCUUACUCACCACACACACGACUCUUCCAGCUCCUUCCUCCUCCGAAGAAAAAACCCAAUAUAGUAAUAUAUAUACACCAAAGCUCUUUGAAGAACAGAGCUUCACCCAGAUCUAAAAAUCCCCUGCUCCAAUGGAUCCUGGAAAAUGGAUCCUCCCACUCACCAUCUCCACCAUUCUCGCCGUCACCCUCUUCAUCUUCUCCUCCCCUCAACUCGCCACUGAACUCGUCGGGUAACUCAAAAUACUCUUCAUAUCCCACACUCUGUUUUCUUAUUCAGAUCUGUGUUUAGUUUCUGCUCUAAUUUGUACUAACUUCUCUCUUUCUCUGUCCACAGGAAGCUAAACGGCGUCGUACCAGACGUUUUCUUAGGGUGGUCAACGCCGGUGAACAAUCUGCAGAAGGGCAAACUCCUCCCAGUCCAAGUCAACUUAUCAGCCUGCCUCCCGACAUUCGGCCGACCGGGGAAGCCAGUCUACUGCUGCCCGCCGCGAAACAUCCUCGACGACCCAAUCAUUGACUUCCAGUUCCCCGACCCGGCGACCAACCCGGUCCGGGUCCGCCGCUCGGCGAACCGGCUGGAUGAGGAGUCCAUUGCCAAAUACGAGAAGGCGGUCGCGAUGAUGAGAUCUCUACCUUACUCCGACCCGAGGAGCUACACGCGCCAGGCGAACUUACACUGUCAGUACUGCACCGGAUCUUUCCUCCAGCAGCACUCCACGCUUCCGGUUCGGGUACACAAGACGUGGAUCUUCUUCCCCUGGCAUCGAAUGCUCUUGUAUUUCCACGAGCGGAUCUUGGGGAGCUUGAUCGGAGACGAUACAUUCGCGAUUCCGUUCUGGCCAUGGGAUCUGCCGGAAGGGAUGAUGCUGCCGGAGUUUUACCUCAACGGGUCGUUCAAGAACGAGCAGCGUGACCCGACCCAUUACCCCCCGGCGGUGGCGGAUCUGGAUUUCCAGCUGGCGGAAGGCGGGUCGACGCCGGAGGAACAGGUGGAGUUGAAUCUGGCUCUGAUGUAUAACCAGAUGGUCUCUGGCGCUAAGACAGCGGAGCUAUUCAUGGGGUGUGCUUACAAGACUGGCGAAGGUGGUGACUGUUUCGGACCCGGGACAAUGGAGCGGGCCCCGCAUAACACGAUUCAUAAGUGGGUCGGGUCGGCUUUCCAUACUGGGAGGGAGGACAUGGGGGUCUUUUACUCGGCAGCUCGCGACCCGAGUUUCUACGCUCACCACUCGAAUAUCGACCGGUUGUGGGAGGUUUGGAGGGCGACUCACCCUGAGAUGAACGACCCGGAGUUCCUCGACUCGUCGAUGUACUUCUACGACGAGAAGCUCCAGUUGAACCGGAUCCGGUUCAGGGAUGUCAUGGACAUGGACAAAUUGAGGUACCGGUAUGAUGACGUGGUCAAUACGUGGAUGAAUGCGAGGCCGAAGCCCUCGGUCGAGCCUAGGUUAGCCAAGCGCGAGCUAAGGAGGAGGGAGAUGGAACAAGAGAACGUGUUGGAGAUGCCGUCAGAGCAUUUCCAACCAACCGGUCGGUCACUCGACUCCCAAGUCACGAUCCGGGUGGUUCGGCCUAGAGCAGUCAGGACUCGAAAGGAUAAAGUUGAAUUUGAGGAGAUAUUGGUGGUGGAAGGGAUUGACGUGAAGGCGGAGGAGUUUGUUAAGUUCGACGUCUACAUCAACGUUGUCAACGCGACGAUAAUGAGCCCCAAGUAUCGGGAGUUUGCGGGGACGUUUACCGAUAUUCCGAUGGGUGUAUCGUUCGGAAAGAAGACGACGUUGGAGCUUGGGAUUUCGGAAGUAUUAGAGGAUUUGGAGGCGGAUCGAGACCGAUUUAUAUGGGCGACAUUGAUGCCGAGGACGGAAAGUUGUGACAAAGUUACGGUUGAUGGGUUAAGCAUCAAGCACAAGAAGAAAUGAAGGAGAGUACUAGUAUAGGUAAAAAUAAUUUUGAAGAAAUUUUAUUGUAUGAUGAUGUUGCAUUAAUUCUGUGUGUAUGGCAUUGAACAUUGUUAGAAUUAAAAAUAUGAAUGUACCAUGCUCUAAUAAAAAUAUUAGUGUUGCUGGCAACUAUAAUGGAGCCUUGCAAGUGGUACGGUCCAUCACCAUGUUUAUACACCAUUAUUUCGACUUGUCGGUGGCUGGCAACUCUUUGAAAACUACAUUUUGAUACCCUUUUAUACCCUUUUCAGUGAAAACUAAAAAUCAUCGUCCAAUUGCUCCUCGCCUCUACUCGUCGAAACAAAGAGUCUACAAUCUUCAUUUUAGUUGCACCUCAUAAAUACUACAUUACGUGAAAUAUUUUAUAUACUUGUACCCUUCCUAUGAAAUAUGAGCAUUAGAUUAAUAUUAUAAAUAGAAUAUUUGAGCUAAUCAGGAUGAGUCAUGGCUGUCUUGAUGGGACAUGAAAACACAUGGUGACAUGAUUUACAAUAAAUAUAUUAUGCAUAAAAUCAAGACAUAUUGGAAAGUGUAAAUCAUGUCACAUGUGGCAAGUGGUUUUUUUCUUAGAGAGGACCAAAAUAUGACGGGGAGGCCGAAACAACUCAAAACGUUCGACUUGGGAAGAAAUCGUCACUGUUUAGUAUUUUGAGUAUAACUCAUCGCUCGGAAGUCCGAUUGAUGCAUGGUCAGCGGUUCAAUACAUUGCUAGCUUUAGAGGAUUCAAAUUUGAACAACCUUCAUUCCAUAUUUGAAACUAAAUCUCUUUCAAUUAUUUUCUUUUGAUUUACAUUCUUAAUUUAUAAUCGGAUACUUCAACAAUCAAUAAAAUAAUCACUUAAUGUUACUUAGUUUAGUUAACUUAACCAAUUUGAAUAAUAAUGUUAAAAAACAUCUUAUGAAAAUACGAUUCCAUUAAAAUUUAUUCUAAUAAAUAUUUGAUUAGCGGGAUAAAAUCCGCACAACCACAAUUUCUCCGAACCAAAUAAAACCCAACUUGAUUGUUAAUGCAAGUUGGUGAUGCAUGCGUCGAUUUGAAUAAUAAAUUCUCUUAAAAGAAGAAAAACGAAUAUUCACGUGGUACUGCCCGGUUUGAUCAAGUGGUUGGAUUUAUUUAUGUGUGAUUCUUCGUCCCCAAUACUAUAUAUAAUAAAAUCCGAUACAUUGAUAUAUAUUCUAGCUCUAGCUGUCGUGAAAAUGACUACUUUGAUUGGGUGUACAUUUUUGUUUGUUUACGGUGAUAAUAAAUCUCUAAUACUUUAUAAUAAAGAGGACAUCCAGCUUGAGGAGCAUGCCCGAACGAGCCAACCUAACAAGUAACAACCCAGUCGGCUCAAGCGACACGAUCCGUCCAAGGAUGCCGAAACAGGACCAAGGUCGAUCCUUCGUCGGCCUCUUAAGUGCCGAGGCGAUGGGCAAGACAGACCGGAAGGGUUUUGAUUGAACCUUCAAUGGAGGACAAAACAAACCUAGAGGAUAGCGUAUGUGAGCUUCGGCAACAAUGGUGGAGGAUAGCGUGUACAUUCAUCAUUAUACUCUCUUUCAAUCACUCGAAUUAUUUCGAAACUUUUUUUACUUAACAGUCGUCCAGAGGCCCGGGAUGCUUUUCCUUGAGCCCUUCCUCAAAGCCAAGGCCCAAGGCAACCUCGCUGCCUAGUAAGCCCUUUAUUCUUUGUUUUCACAUUAACAUUAUUGGGCCAGGGCCCAGGCUUCUAAUUAACAUGUUUGGGUGAAGAGGAGUAAUGGGUCAGGUGAUCAGCUUGUUGUAAAUUCAUGUCAUUCACAAACAAAUAACAAGUAAUAUCACUUUGGUUUAAUUUUUAUUUUCUUUCAGGUCAUUGAGGGAGUUCCAUGAGUCCCAGCUUUGAAAACUUUGGACCCAAUUCUGAAGAACUUAGGCUUGGCCCUAAUCCAACUCUUCCCGCCAAUCAUUUCUUUACUCAGAAAAGGCGAAACCUCAUCGAUUGCGAGCUUCUUCGACCAAGCUACCCUCUUCGAUCUAUUAGCUCCAGGUCCGUAAUUCUUGUGCUCUCCGUAGAACACAGUCCUACAUAUUAAUGCACACACCGACAACAUAAUCAAAAGAAAAUAUUGAUUGAAAUAGAUAGAAUAAUUAAAUACGCGGGAUUUUAUACCUUUGUUUCGAUUUGUCUCCCCAAUCACUCCAACCGAUUGGCAAGACAGCAGAGGUUAAGUAAGAGUAGGCAUAAACCACCCUGGAAUAAGAACCCCAUGCCCUUCCUAGAAGUGUUGCUCCAACCCCGGUUACCUUGCAUCGCAAGAAAACAUACCCGGUUCGAUCCGACUCCGAGCCCCUAUCUUGGGCGGUUAUCGAGCCGUUGCCUUUCGAAAGUGAAUGGAUAUGACACUUCUGCAAAUCAUACAAUUAUGGACCAUGCACAUAAUUAGUAAUAGGUGUUCAAACUUAUUGAUCGGAAUUUCUCAUUCUCUACUGUGAAACAGAGAUGUAACAAGCAAAGAGAUAUCGCUCGCCUCGAAGAGGGAGGAAGCGUCUCCGCAGAUGAAAUCGGUGGCUCCUUCGAUGUAACAGUUUCGAUAGUAAUGCGAUCCAGUGUCGUCGAGAAGCGUAUCCUGGUACGACAACAUCUUGCAAUCGAAGAAUGCAGCUCUGUCUCCCGAUACCCUCAACGCCACAGCUUUGCCUCCUCUCCCGAACGUGUUCUACACCAUGCAUAUGCACUAACAAACAUUGAACAAAUUCGAACUUUGGGAUCAACAUACGUUCGUAAUUACGUUACCUGGAUAGUAAGGUAUCGAGCUACAAAGUACGGAGCCAGAACAGACAGAGUGGCAGACUCGAAUAUAUCCCCCUUCUCGUGCCACGUAACGACAGUGUCGUUCGCAGCUGGCUUGGUACCACCUAGGGUGAUGAAAGGCUUGUCCUUCGGCACUAUGACUUUCUCGACGUAGACUCCUGGCUUGACCCAGAUGAAGACCAGCUCGGAGUUGUUAGAAGGAACCGAGUCGAUUGCUUCCUGGAUCGUCUCGAAAUCUCCUCUCCCAGCGGCGGAAUUGUCCACCCUUAUCAGAUUGGCCACUGACCAGUCCUUUGGAGGAGUAGGUGAAGCAUCAGAAGCUAGGGUAGUUUGGAAUUGGAGUAAUAGUAGUGCUAGGAUAAUGGUUGUUGCUAGACGGUGGAUCAUCAUCAUGUGGAGCUUUGGAUAAUGGUGGACUGGAGUACAAUUGCAGCUAUAGAAUCAGACAUUCUUAUUGUUCAGUAUUUCCGAAAAGGCUUGGGACUCACGCCAACGCGUCCAAGAAAUCUGCAGAAAUGAAGGGAUCAAUUGUUUUCCUCUUUGUCUGCACAAAUUCAACGUAUGAUCAUACGCCUCAUUUCUGGGAUUAGACUUUAGGCCAAAAAUUAAUCUUAUACUACAUUGGAAGUAUUGGCUUUUAUCAAGUGGAUUAACUAACUUGAUCAGUUUAAAAUUUUGCCCGUUUUUUGGGCGUAUUGAAAUGGAGCCGACCGCCAUCCACUUGACGGCCCCCUAUCGACGAACAUUAUCAUCCUAUCGACAACCUCGAUCAUUGUCAUCAUGCCACUGUUAUCUUGUUCCAAUCUCGUCAACCACCGCCAUACCGUCCAUCAAAAUACACCGCUUUUGAGACUCUAGCAUGAUGAUUUCCGUGUUUGAAGAGAAAAUGCAGUCAACACCAUGAUCACAAUCACCAAUGAUUACAGAAUGUGCGUGGUAACUCCCAUGACAGUUGCCUCCUCUAGUAGCAAUCAUCCAUGACAGUCGCCUCCGGCCUCCUAUAAAUACAAAAGAACCGACCAAUGGAACAAUAUGAUGAACAUAAAAAAUUAUACAAAGCAUACACUCUUGCUCAACUUACCUUUCUCUUCAAUUUCAUUUUUCAGUAGCCAUAGACAUAGUUUAUUUUUUAAUUUGGAGCCUUUUCAGAAUUUCUACAGGAGUAAUGGUAGAUAGAAUAAAUACUUAUCAUAUACAUCAAACCAACGGUGUAAACAAUGUAAUUAAUCUAUUUUCACAAAAUCAAAACUAAUUUAUUGUGUUCAAAGACAAAGAGUUUUUUUAUUUUUGCGACCAAAAGCAAUUUCAAAUUUUAAUAAUUUUCAAUUUAUAUACAUAAUUUAUCGAAAUUGUACAUAUAAAAACUAUCAUUUGAAGGUGCAAAUGAUAUCUGACCUUAUAGCUGUUUGAAAACAAAGAUCAAAUUUGGGUCUGCCACGUUGUCUUCCAUGUUCUUUUCAACGACAAGAAAAAGUUAAUAUAGUAAUAAUGAAAUUAAAGAAAGAGGAGUUGAGGACUUAAAAUCAAGGAGAAAAAAGUUUCAGGAAUUCCAAAAAAAAUUUAUUGAUAAUUUUGGUAUUUUAUAAAUAUAUAUAUGUUAUUUUUCCAAAUUUCUAAAACUCAAAACUGAAAAUCUAAUAUUUUAGACUCUAAAUUUAAAAAUCCAAAUUCAAAAUUUAAAAUUUAAAAAAUUAUAAUACUUUCUACAGAUUAUUAGAUCGGUAAAGUGGUCAAAUCCUUAAAAUUUAAUUAUUCAAAACCAUCCUAAACAUCAAAAGCACUGUCCUGAGGCCCCACCAGAGCAAUCAAAGAGCGCAAUUAGCGGAGCAUGAAGCUCCUAAUCGAACUUUGUCGUUUAGCGACGGAAACACUUAUAGCAAAAGGCCACGAACUCUCUGCCUUCUCCGGCGCCCUUUCAAAUUAAAAUCCACUCCCCCCAGUCAGUCACCACCACCGCCACUCAUUUUCUUCACCGUGACGCCGCAGAUGGAGUGGGAUUCCACCGCCGUUGGUUCUAAUCACAAACGCCACCACGAAAGCUGCAACAACAAUAAUAAUGGAGACCCGAAUACCGCCAACAGCAGUAGUAGCCCGAAUGAUCUGCUGUACGUGAAGGUAAUGACAGAUGAGCAGCUUGAGACUCUCCGGAAGCAGAUCGCCGUCUACUCCACCAUCUGCGAACAGCUCGUCGAGAUGCACAAAACCCUGUCCUCCUCCCACCAAGAUUUUGCCGCCGCAGGUGUGUACUGUUCCCCUGUUUUUCCACUGCUCUGAAUUCGAAUUAGAGAUCUAGUCGACAUUAAUUUCGUCGGGGGCAGUUACUGAUCUAGGUAGAAUUGUCCAAUGAGUGGGUUAAACCGGUUAUGGGAUGGGUAACUCGAGUUACGGGUUCAAUUGAUUGGAUUAUAGAUUAAUUUGGUACAGUACACUUAGUUUGAAGAUUUUAUAGACUUUUGGGUCAUGUAACUUUUGAAUUGUUAGCAUUUGAUCAUUUGAUCGAUAUAAGUUAUUGAUCGUAUUCGACCAGGUUGGAACUGGAUCGAGUCGGGUUAAUUUUUGCCAGCUCUAAAUCUAGAGGAGGUUCUCCUUGUCACAAUACGGUCCAUCGUCGAGUCUAAUGCGUACAUUUAACUAAAAUAAUCAAAUUUUUCAUAUAGUAAUGAGGUUAUAAGUUUAUUGUGCCGUGAAUUGAUUGGAUUAUGUGAUUAAUUUAGUGAUAGUAUACUUAAUUUGAUGGUUUUGUGCCAGUUUUGAAUUGUUUACGAAUUUAUAUUAUUGAUUGGAAUUGGAUCGAAUCGGGAUAAUUUUUGCUAGCUCCAGAUCUACAAAAGCCUCUUUUAAAUCAGAUCGGGCGGGCUGGUUGGGAAGGGGUUAUUGACCAAUUGAACUACAAUCCCAGGAAAAUGAAAUAAAGUGGACACCAACAUACACAGAUUCAUAUGAUUUCAUUCAAAUCUCCCUUAUUUAGUAUUUAGCUAUUUCGAUUUUAGCUUCGAAUCGACGCGCUGUAACAGAGAGGGGGUAUCUAUAUGAUACCCAUAUCCGAUCAAUUUAUGAAUUUAAUACCGCAAUAAUACAUUUUACAGUCCAUUUUUCAUGUAUGUAGUUUACUAACACAAUGAAUAUAAAUAUUUUUAGUAAGUGUAUAUAAAAAUAUAGACUGUGCGCUAGUAAUAUAUAAUAUAGCAUAGCACCGUGUACUGUAUUUCAACAUGAUCGUCACCGAUGCAUUAAAUCAUUCUGCAUCCAGGGAGGUUGGGAAAUAUGUACUUGGACACGCUGAUGGGCGGAGGAGGAGGCCAGAAGCUGAGCGGCGGGCGACAGCGGUGGACGCCGACGCCCGUGCAGCUUCAAAUCCUUGAGCAGAUCUUCGAGCAAGGGAACGGGACACCGACGAAGCAGAAGAUCAAGGAGAUCACGACCCAGCUCAGCCAGCACGGCCAGAUCUCGGAGACCAACGUCUACAAUUGGUUCCAGAACCGGCGCGCCCGGUCCAAGCGUAAACAGCACCUUACGAAUCUCCCGACUUCCGCUGCCGCGGGCACGAACAAUAAUGAUAAUGCUGGUGCUACUAGUGGGGAUUUGUCGUCAGAAGUGGAGACUACUACUGCUACUGAAGUUGAUUCGCUUAACGAUCAAGACAUCAUCAUCCAGUUGUUGGCUCAGUCUCAGUAUCAGGAAAAACAAUGCUGGAAUUAGCUGCGUACAUGUAUAUGUUGUAUAGAGGGAUGUAUUUGUCAUGGUUGAUUCACUACACUCUUUUUCUCCAUUUUAAUCUUGGUUUGGUUGUGGUAUGGGAUAUCUCGAGAUAGCUUGGUAUUUUUCGAGGAUGUUGAUAUUGAGUGGGGGAGGUGGUGAGGUGGAGUUUCUUGUUUGGUAUGAGACAUUGAGUUGAUGAAAUUUGUUUGCCUAUUGAUUGUCACAUAGGGUUCUCUAAGCAAUCGUCGUGCUUUUGGUGGUGCUGUAAUCGUAAAAGUAGUGGUUUAUUUGACGGCUUGCCCUAGGUUCCGAUUGCAAGUGGUCAGGCAUCUAUAAGUAGCGUUGAGGCCGAUUUCAUGACUCGAAUAGAUAUUUAGAUUGUUUGUUCUUUUGCAACGUGUUGUUUACUAUCACAAUGUAUCCCUUCGAAGCUCCUAUCUUGCUAGAACCAAAUAGACAGGAGCUAGAAUUCUAGUGGAUUCAGUAUCUUCAUCCAAAUUUGCAGCAACCAGUUGCUGAAGAUCUUAACUGCAGAAUCAGUUUUGGGCCAAGGUUAAUGGGUUUUUAUAGGCCCAUUUCAGAAUCUAUUUUCGGCAACGGCUGAUUGGGUAUGGGAGAGGCCCAUUUCAAAUCAUGUCGCUUAGGUAAUAGCCGAAAAAGCCCAUCUCUGCUGCUAUAAAAUCCUAGGCGUCGAUCACUUUCAGAAAACUAACCCUAAUUGCAAAAUCUCCAUUGUUGUCGCAGCUUCUCUUUUCCAAUAGCAAAUCUCAGCUGUAAUAGCUGUUGUGUAUAGUUCAAUUUCCGUCUCAAUUCGUUUUCUGUUUGUUUUGUCACUGUUGUGGAGGAAGGAGGGUUGCGAUGAUGAUGAUUAUGUUAUAAUCUCGUUAAUCCGAACCAAAUCUGUGAGGAUAACAAACUAUCCAUUACCUUACUGAGCACUCUCCUUGUCCUACAGCUCCACCUCAUUUACUCUGGUUUCGUUCUUAUGUUUUAAUGGUGUUCAUUUUUUAAUCAAUCUGAUCUUGUCCCCUGGAUGGUACAAAAAAGAUUUCAACUGUCUCCAGUAAAUGCUGAAUCUUUCUGUUUCUUUGACUGGUUUCAUAGAUUGUUGAUACAUUCUAAGUUUGGCAGAUCAACUUUGAUGAUUAGUUCAUGGAUUGAUGGACUGAGAAUCAUAGAAUUGUGGUUUCACUGUGGAAAACUGGAAAAAACCACACCAUAGUUUAAGCAGGGACAUUAAAGAAGAAGCAAAACUGUAAUUAACUUCCACUGAAAUCUGAUGAACAACAUGAACAUUAUAUCUGAGGCAAAAGUAUCUACAAAAGGAAAAGGCCCCUCUGGUUUGUACGGGUAACGUAUAAUAAUUGUAUCAGAUGACAUUUGGUCCGUAUAGAGUGCUGGAUCAAGAAAAACAAGAGAUUGCAACAGUGUGAAAGAUUCCAUGUGUCUGGUCAUAAAAGGGUGGUUUAGAACAGCAGCCCACGGGGAGCACAGCUCUCAGCCAAAAACUAAAGUUAGUAGUCUUUUUUCUCUGAUCUCUACUGUUUGUAAACAGUGUUACCCACCAUUGACGAAGAGGAAGGAAGAACAAACAAAUCUGAAGCGAACGAAAGUUACAGAAUGAAGCAAUGGGUUACGCAUUGAUUCAGAUUCAGAAUGCAGAGGGACCUUUAGCAAUUUGUUUCUAUUUAUUUGCAAGGUUUCUUGGCUCCUUGAACAAUUGAAGCUCUGGGAUCUAUUUGUUGAGUUUGAAUGUUAAUAUUUUUCGAAAAUCUCGAUCAAUAAAAGAGUUUAAGAAAUAGUACAUUGAUGUUUGUUGGGGUGGUUUGAUUUGAAUUUUGUACUUUCGAGUCACCAACCCACAAUCUUUUAUACUUAUGGGUUUAAUUGUUUCAUGUGACUUUUUUGUCAUGAAUAAAAAAUAACUAUGACCAAGUGAUUAUUUUGUGAUAAAUAAUAUAUUGAUUAUGAAAAUAAUUUGCGACCAACUCAUUAAUGUAUUAAAUCUCUAAAAAUAUAUAUGGNNNNNNNNNNNNNNNNNNNNNNNNNNNNNNNNNNNNNNNNNNNNNNNNNNNNNNNNNNNNNNNNNNNNNNNNNNNNNNNNNNNNNNNNNNNNNNNNNNNNNNNNNNNNNNNNNNNNNNNNNNNNNNNNNNNNNNNNNNNNNNNNNNNNNNNNNNNNNNNNNNNNNNNNNNNNNNNNNNNNNNNNNNNNCAAAUUAAGAUUUUGUUUUCGUAAGUUAAUCGAAUUACGCAUCAUUAACUCUUGAGCAAAUCAGCACUGAGCCGAUUUGAAUUGGGAAAAUCCUUAAAACCUAAGCAUAGUUCAUUUGAUAUGAUAAUUCGUUCAAGAUUAUUUUAACGGGCCGAUUGAAUUUUCAUUUUUUGUAAGCUAAUAAGGUUACGAUCAUUAUGUCUUGACCAAUUCAAAACACUGAUUGGGUUGAUUCGGUUUGAAUUGGACAUACUCAUCAAACAUAAGUGCAUAUAACAUAAUCUUACAUUCAAAGUUCUUUUAAUGGGGUCAAUUGAGGCCAAUGGCCAAUGAUUAAUCUUGAAUUAUAUUUUCUCUCCAAAUGGGCUCGGAUCAACAUAUAUACAUGAAUAUUCAUAUCCAUCAUAUAUGAGUGACUGAGUGAGAGUUUGAGUGAACAUAUAUAGAUGUGCAACCCUCUUUUAUAACUAUAUUUUUAUAUAUGAUUCAUCAUUCCAAUGUCGAUUUAACAAUCAAAAUUAUCACAAUUAUAUCAUCAUAUGUACAUGCUUAUAUAUAAUAAUAGAAUUACUGUAACAAAAUUUUAACUUACACAUAUUAGUUAACAUACUUUUACUUUUAAUCACGGGUCUAAGCUCCGCUAACAGGCUAUGGCUAAUGGUACAAAGACACGUAUUGGUAAAAGUAUACUAUUGGGCGAAAGUAUAUGAAAAUUUUUUUUGGAUCNNNNNNNNNNNNNNNNNNNNNNNNNNNNNNNNNNNNNNNNNNNNNNNNNNNNNNNNNNNNNNNNNNNNNNNNNNNNNNNNNNNNNNNNNNNNNNNNNNNNNNNNNNNNNNNNNNNNNNNNNNNNNNNNNNNNNNNNAAAACAUAUUAAAUAGGAUAGUAUACUGCUUAUUACCUAACUAUGUCUUUCUUUUAAAAUUUUUCAAAUAAACAGUGUUUUAGUUCAUUAGACUUUCGGCCAACCGGCCGGACACGAUCUAAUAUACUUUAUAUGCUUAUGACCAAUGAAGCUUAAAUCAAACAAAACAGAUCAUUAAAACGCAAGCCGUUAUAUAAAUCAGCCAACCAACACUAAAAAUUUCCGAAUAUGUUUUUGAGAUAGUUGAUCCCUUGGAACCUAGGACUUAGACCAUCCAACCAAGGUACCAAAAAAGGUGCUAUAAGCCCAACACCACUUAAACAAUUUGGGGGGGGGGGAGGAUACUACCAAUCUAGAUGAUCCAUCCAAGACCAAACAUGUCAAGUAUGAUGUUUGCUUCUUACUUGCAUCUCCAUACUCUGUAUAGUCACUUUUCAAGGAUUCCAUUUGCAAGUGAGUAAAGACACAACACAACUAGCUAAGCUUAACCCACAACUCCAAAAUUGACAAAAGAACACUGAAAGGGAGAAUCUUUCAAUACUUUGGGGCUGUUCUGUUGUGCUUUUAUUAUAUUCCCACCCUUGGAAUUGCACUGAAAGGAAAAUUGAACCAAGGAAGAAGAAGGGUGACUGAGAAAUGGGGGCCAAGUGGGGCUAGAACAGAAAUGGCUAUAACACAAGAGAGAAUCAAAGAUGAGAUCUUUUGGGGAGGUUUUGGGUGAGGUUUUUAGGUCCACAAAGAGUCCACUCUCUAUCCCUCAACUGUUCUGCUAUGUUGUUAGUAAAUGAACAAAAACUAUAACCAAAAUACUCCUGGCCUAGUUGGUAAAACUACCGGCUAGUAUUAGCUAGAACCUGUAUCAUAGAUCUUUCGUUUCGUUUAAAUAUUAGCUUCGAAUUAUUCCUUUUUAGCGCAUUUUUUACUAUCGUUUCCCCUCAAUAGACUCGUUACGGUUUGUUGAGAAUGUUAAUACAAAGUUAAAAAGUAAUUAACGCAAGCUGGGGUUUUUUCGUCUUUGGUGUUGGUUUUGACCCGAGAUUGGAUUGACAGGUACAUCUUAUUAUUCUCUUGCUGAUAUUUUGUUCUGGAGCUUCUUUCUUCCAGUGAUGAAUGGGUAUUUUCUUUUCAAUAGUGAUUGCGCUUAUGCACGACUCAUUGUGCUGGUGGUGACGCUGUUGCAGCAAUUAUUCUACAAUUGUGUUGCUGGCGGGCCUAUUAUGGCAAGGAUCCCAUCAUUGUAAGGUGUACAACUCAGUUACGAGUUUGUACCGUCUGAAGUACACUGAAUAAAGUCGCCCAUUCCGUAGAAAAACAAUAACAAUUGCUCAAACCCAAGAUAUUCAAUUGAGGGGAAAAAAACUGGGGUAUUUGAAAAGUCAUGGCAAUGAAGAUCCAAAAGCAACAACACUUUCAUUCCUUGGAACAAUAAUAUAAGAUAUGAAGAUCAGGUUUGAUAAGGAGAGCCUUGUGGGGGGUAAAGAGUCUUAAUAAAAAAAAUGGUCCACUUUGGGUCUGGUCUAUGUCUUCCAUGGAUAUGAGUUGGCCCCCUCUUUUUACAAGAAAAAUACAAACAAAUAAAAAGCAGCAACACAAAAGAAUGCACAAGUUGUGUCUCGCUUUCGGCGACCCCGGCUUGACGAGCCUCGCUAUUAAUUACUAAUCGACCUAUCAUGGUCCUUUUACGAUAUGCUUUUGAGGGAAGUCUGUCUACGUUACUCAAAUUCUUGACCUAAUAAUUACUAAUUGACUAUCAUCAUCGUUAAGAUUACACGAAUCUUCGACCUCGAUGUUAAUGCAAAACUUUUAAAGGAUGUACUUAAAUCAUGUUCGAGUAAUCGCUCAACAAUAUGCCCAAGUGGGUAAUGGUGGGUGAUUAUGGUGUUUUCCUUCCACUUUAAUUCUCUAAAAUUCUUCAUUGUUUUUCUUUCUGUUCUGUCCUUUGGAAUUGCUGAGGAGAGAUGAAGCUUUCUGUGACUGUCAACACCAAACCCCCCAAUUAAUUCACUCCAUCAGGUCCCCCAUGGCCUCUCCUCCAUCUCCAUCAAUCACCACCAUAUAUAUCGUAACUCAAACCGUCACUCGAAAUACACUCAUAUCACAUAAUUAACCAGAUUCGGACUCCAAACAACUCGGUUUUUGGAAGGUCAAGAUAACAGAAUGUAAAAGCCUCACCAACCAUUAGUUGAUUUUCCCGAUUCAUUCUUCCUUGAGACAUAACUAGUUGUAUCUAAUAAGUUCGAGAAGUUAUUCAGUUAUUAAGAGGCUACAUGUCAGAUACUAAAGGAAAUACGACUCCAAAUUGAGGUUAAUUCUUUUCUUCUUAUUGAUAGUAACAUAUAUGAUACAUAGCUACAAAAAUAUACAUAUGGCAUGUGCUUGAACAAGCCAAAGAAUCAUCGGAAUAGAGAUCUUCAAUUGGCAGAAAAUUUCUCAGUUAAAAACAUGUAAAAAUCUCUUCUUUUUUUUUCCAAGUAGAGAAAAUUCCACACUCUUCACAUCUCCAUCUUCAGAUUAGAUCCUCCAACUGAACCUGCAAAAAAGUGUCUGAUUAGGUUUAAAGCUAAAGGGUCACCAAAAAAAACCAGUGACUGUUGUUAUCUGAAACCAGAAGACUGAUAGACACAUCUUAACUAACUUCAUUCACUUCUGUCUCAAAAGUGGGACAAAGCAACCUCAUAAUUCGCAAAGUCUUAAAAGAUAUCCCAAGCUUGAACAAGCCAAAGAAUCAUCGGAAUAGAGAUCUUCAAUUGGCAGAAAAUUUCUCAGUUAAAAACAUGUAAAAAUCUCUUCUUUUUUUUUCCAAGUAGAGAAAAUUCCACACUCUUCACAUCUCCAUCUUCAGAUUAGAUCCUCCAACUGAACCUGCAAAAAAGUGUCUGAUUAGGUUUAAAGCUAAAGGGUCACCAAAAAAAACCAGUGACUGUUGUUAUCUGAAACCAGAAGACUGAUAGACACAUCUUAACUAACUUCAUUCACUUCUGUCUCAAAAGUGGGACAAAGCAACCUCAUAAUUCGCAAAGUCUUAAAAGAUAUCCCAAAGACUCAUCCUUUUUACUUUACCUGGUGGAAAUGGUUGAGAUGAAAAUGCUACGUUGUAUAGGCUUGGAAGGUCAGCAUCCCAAAUUGAUGCUUGCUGCUACGAGACACAUAACAUAAAGUGAAUGUUAAUACAUAACAGCUCGAGUAAUUGGGAUGCAACAGUGCCCUUAUGUAAACACUUACAGGGAAAUCGAUGAAGGGUUCGGGUUCAGGGCUGGUAAGACUGAUUGUUCUUCUGAUCCCCAAAUCGGUAGCAGAAGCAGUAGUAGUAGUAGCAGUAGUAGCAGAGUUGAUCAUCCCGAUAUCGAAACCAUUGCAGCAUCCCAUUAUCUGUUGCUGGAGUGAGUUCAGCUGCAGGUAUGCUGCUGCCAUUUGAUCUGAUGAUCCCAUUCCUGCAAAGUUGCUUCCACCACCUCCCUGAAACGCCUGUUUCGCCAAUCUCAGUCAGUAAUGCCACAAACAAAGACUAAUGUCGGUUUCGAAAACUCAGGAUGUGGUGGAUGGUUUUUCCGUUCGGUACCUCUUUCGUGAACAAGCUUUCAAAGUUGAACUCUGCCCCUGGGUUCACAGCCGCUAGCUUCAUUGACAAGAACUGUUUACAAAUAGUAUAUAAGUGUCGUUGUAUAAACUAAUUAUGAACAUUUCUCUGUGUGGCAGAUCGAGUUAAGUAAUAAGUAGUGUACCUCGACUUGGCGUUGAAGGGAUUGGACAUAGUUAAUGAUCUCAUCAAGCAUCCCAGCUUUGCCAGUGAUCUUGUUACAACCUGGAACCAAAUCUUGCAGAUACUUCAUCCUUUCACUGAUCUUUUCCCUCCUUACCUAAACAAAAAUUCACAAAAAUCCAAUCUUAAUUACACUCUACUGAUUGAAAGUAACCAAUUCCACAUAUAUAUAGCUAAAAACUCACUCUUUCUGCUAAGCUGUGACUAUCAGUAGCCUGGCCACGCCGAGCUCGGACAUGAAUGUAAUCCUUCUUCUGAUCAUCAGUCACCUUCGAGUUCUCCUUGGAACUCGAUCCUGAAUUGCUAUGGCUUUGAUUCUCUUUGAUUCUCUUCCCUUCCUCCACCUAAUUCAAAACAACCAAAUUUCAAUUCAAUUUCACUCCACAAGUAAAAUUUCAAUUAAUUUGAACGAAUUUUGUUUCCUUACCUGCGAUUUCACCGAUUUCCGUUUCUUGGACGGCGGCGACGGCGGUGGAGGAGUGCCGGAAGCGCUGAAAUCGGGCCAGCCGUUGUCGUCGAUGACAAGACCCGGGUCGGGUUUCAGCUCCGACCGCAUCAAGCCGUUGUUGUAGACGCAGCUUAUCAAAUCGUCGCCGCCAAAGAAGCCCUGAUCCAUCUCGGCGUUAUGUGCUCUAUUCAUCGGAGAAUAACAGGGUUUGAUCAAAGAAGGAAUCUUUUUUACUGGUUUUUAUUUUUUGUGGGUUUUGGUGAGGGGAGAAUAUGGAUGGACAUGAAGUUGGGUGGGUUAUAUGUAAAGGUGGAAAUGGUGGUGAGGGUGAAGAGAUUGGGCGUCCAUAACCGGAGCCGGGUCGGGGGUGUGGGGCCCAGAUGACAUGACGGCCACGUGGGAUUGUCCCCGGAGGUUUGCGAGGGGGAAAGAAAUAACGGCGUUUGGGUAAUAGAGGGAUAGUGAUGGCGGNNNNNNNNNNNNNNNNNNNNNNNNNNNNNNNNNNNNNNNNNNNNNNNCAUCUCACCGAACCACAGCCGUUCUUAACGGGUUUUUUAAAGAAGAUGAUGUGGGAUUAGCGACGUUGAUAAGCGCGGGAAUGAGGUUUGAGUAGAAUUUGAAUAUUAUUUAUUGGUUAUAAUAGGGUGGUUUACUUGUCUUGGGAUUUUCUUCGUUCUUUGAUGGAGGUAAUAAGAAAGUUGAGUGGAUUUUUUAGAGAAGAAAUGUGUCCAUUUAGUAAAUUUUAAUAGAAAUUUUAUCAUCAUAUUAAUAAUUUUAAUAAUUUAUUUAUUUAACAAUUCUUAAACACCUUAAUUCAAUAAUUCAUCAAGUCGCUUUUUUAUUUUAUUUGCUAAAUAUUAAACAUUUCUUCAAUAAACAUCUAUUUAGACUCUAGUAAAAAAUUAUUAUUAUGUAUUUCUUAGUUCGUGUGGCGAUCAAUGUCAUAUUUAUUUAAAUUUCUAAUAUUAUACAGUUUUAUUUGCUAUCUUGAUUCUUUAAGCCCAAAGCUAUUUAAGAAAAAAAAUAAAAAAGUUAAUUUAUACGAUGUUCAUGGGCAUGGACGUGAAGGAAAGAAUGAUAUUUUUUUUGUUCAUCGAUUAGUAGUGCUUAUUGCAUCACAUUCAUUGUCAUUCUCAAUAACCGGAAGCUUUCAUGGCCAUAGAACUGCUAUAUUGGUCUAGAAUUGAUAUUCAAUCUCAACGAAGACGUAUCAAGAUGAAGUUUGUUUUUACUUUUUACCUCGAAAAAUUGAAACAAGAUUACUAAUUAGUUGGCAAUGGCAACGAGAGCACACAUAAUUCAUCUUAACUGGUUGUUGGUUCUAGCCUAUAAUAAUAAAUGAAGUUUAAUGUUUAACAAAAAAAAAGUAAAAUAUUUAUCAUUAUUCAUGAAAUCUAUGCAUUGGGCUCUCCCGUAAAAUUCCGUUUAGUAAAAUUAUGGGUUUGCUGGUUUGUUUAUUAUUAAACUCUUGGCGUGGUGACGGGAACUCAGUGGGGGCGGGCCCAUGUCACGUCUGGCAUCCACAUCCACGCCUCCACGUGUUGGUCACGUCAGUUCGAUCUCAGUGAUAUAGCACGUAUGCUUUACGUGCAUAAUUGAAUAUCAUAUUAUUAAGUAUGAGAUUUAUAAUUUUUUGGGCACGUUGCAACAUAUACUCACGGGAGUUUUGACUCUUAAUUAAAUAAUUUUGCUGGAAGCAAAGUGUAAUGAAUAAUUAAUAAUCGAGCGACAUAGAAAUUAAUUGUACUAAUUAUAAUUAAGAAAGUGAUUGACGCGUUAAUUAAUCAUGGGAUAUAAUCAAAUCUGUCAACCAUCAUAAUCCUAGGUUGACAAAAACAACGUAGGAUAUUAGGAAUCUUUUCUGGAAUUUUCUAAUUAAAGAAUUAAUUAAAAAAGGGCUAAUCAUGGGUUGCACCACAAAAUCUAACGAAACAAAUCAUUUUAGCUCGUUGUUCAAAGUCCUAUUAUUUUCAGUUAAUCAAUCAUUAUCAUCCACACAACAGAAAAUGUGAGUGAUUACUGAUUAGCUAAGCUGAAAACAACAAUAUUAAUCAUUGAUUUUCCUACAAAUAGGAACGAAACAAAAUGGACCAUAAUUAAUUCCCAUGUUGACAAAAUUAAAUUGGGCUUUUCUCAUUAAAUCAAAAAAUAAUUUGGCCAAGGAAAUAUCUUUCGUUAUAUGAAAAAAAAUCAACUAUAUAACAAAAAAUAAAUUAUUAGCGGAACAUAAANNNNNNNNNNNNNNNNNNNNNNNNNNNNNNNNNNNNNNNNNNNNNNNNNNNNNNNNNNNNNNNNNNNNNNNNNNNNNNNNNNNNNNNNNNNNNNNNNNNNNNNNNNNNNNNNNNNNNNNNNNNNNNNNNNNNNNNNNNNNNNNNNNNNNNNNNNNNNNNNNNNNNNAAUAAUCGGUGAAAGAAAAUAACAAAUUAAUAAUUUUUAUAGAAAAUAAAAUCAUAAAAUAUAUAAAAAAUUAUUGAUUUCACAACAUUUUAAGAUUUAAAUCAAGAUUUUGACAUCCACUAAAUACCAAUUUUAAGUAGAAUUAAAAUCAUUAAACAUCACUAAAAUCAUAAAACCGUAAAAUUUUAAGAUUUAAACACUAUUCUAGUCAAAUAUAAGCAAAUAAAUUGUUUCCCAAUAAUCACAAAAACACACACACACAAUAUAAUGGGCUUCCUUCCUUCCUUCUAAUUUCUUUCUCUUCUCUUCUUCUUCUUCUUCUUCUUCAUCAAUCAUCUUCCCACUGCACCACUUCUGUCAGAGUUUGUCAGACUCAAUUCUCACCAUCUUUAUUUUAUACAAUUUUUUUGUCAUUUUAUUGGGGGGGUUUUGUCAUUUUAAUUUCUUGGAUAUGGAGCCAUGAAAUUAUUGAGAUCAUGAGAGGAUGUCAAUGUCAUGCUCCAAAUGCAUGGGCAUGCACUACACAUUCAUACGUAAGUUGCCAUCCGUGUAACAACAACAUUACUUACUUACUUAGUUCCCAACUUCCAACACACACAUACCUCAUAUCUACUUUAAAGACAUCCAUGCUUCUUUCUCAAAAAUUGAAGUUUUACAUAGCGGAUGGUCUCAUGAUUAACGGUACUUUAAAGUCGUCCUACUUAAAAAGUAUAGUCAACUCUAACUGUAUUCACAUAAGAACCCCACAUCCAAUCCCAAACAUUAAAUUCAAAAACAAAUUUAGGGUUCUUCCGAGUCCGACUAAGUACAUAUUUUUCAAAUUUGACUCAAUGCUAUAUUAGUACUUACUCAGCUUAAUCAUCGGUAUAAUAUAUAGUAAUAUUUAGUCAUAAAUAAUUUGAAUCAUACAAAAAUUAUCGUGACACAUUUCAAUUUCCAUUUGGUUUGAGUAUUGCUAACUCUUCUAGGAACAAAUAUCAUGUCCAUCACAAAUGUAUUACAUAUUUAAAGCAAGUAAUAUAUAUAUGAAAACUUUUAAAUGGAGUUCUUUGUCAUAUUUUAUAAUAGGAAUCUCGAGUUUAAAAUUAUAAUAAAUUAAAAAAAAACACACGUAUAUACGAUUAACAGGGUCAAUUUGGUCCCUAGCUAGCUAGAAGGUUUUGGAACCCACUUGACCCAUCGUAGCUCUCUCAGUGCUUGUGUACAAAAUAACACGACGCACUAAACCAAACUAAACGAUACUUAAAAAAUACAAUUAACAGAACUAAUUACUUAUUCUAAAGUAUAUAGUUUUUAGACCCGUCCAUGAAACCCACCUUACGCAAUGACCUGAGAUUGCCCACCCCAAUUCCGCCAUCGAAUUAAGCAUUGCGUCAUCAACUAGACAACGUAACCAACUAAGCAACAUAACAAAACGUGACAUAAUAAUAUGAAUUUGAUGAUGAUGAUCCAUGGAAACAGCCUUCUCGAGUCUUUUUUUUUUCUGUGGGUAUGAACCGGUGUGCGUUAAUCUUUGAAGAACGAGAUGACGCAAUUAAUUUAAAUUCCUUUUUUUUUAAAAAAAGUAAUUAAUUAUUUAACCAUAUAUUCAUAAAAAUAAUGAUUCGAAUAUCGUGUCACACUUGUAAUACAUUAUGCAUAUGGAGAAUAUGCAUAAAUCCUAACUCCAGACUUUGUACGUACAUACAUGUAUAAAUUUCCCCUUCAAAGAUUGCAGCUUUCUACGUACGUAUACGCAUAAAUACAUGUCGUAUAUAUGUACGUAUACAAAACGUAGAGGUGUGACCGUAUUAUCCUGCUGAAUAUACUGUCCUCGAUCGGGAUCAAUCCAGAUGUACAAACCGAUGCAUGCAAAAAUAUAUUUAAUUUGUAUAAUUUGUUGGGUGUUAUUGUGUAUUCUCUUUCAAGAUAUUAUCUCGAAUGGUAUUCUCGAUCGUCACUACUAAUUUUUCUCCGAGGCGUCCUACGGAAUCUAUCUAAAGCAAAAACAUUCAACAUGGUUUCAAAAGAAGGCAGAAUAUCCAUAUAUAAUUAAUUUCAUAUACCUUAAUUAUUUGACCAUAUAUUAUAAACAUUUAAUAUAAUUGGAAUUAUUUUUCAAAUAAUUCCUACCUCAAAAUCUUGCUGAAGUUGAUGGAAUUGUACUUAUCAUCAAUUUGUUAAUAAUAAAUGAAUAAAAAUAAAAAUAUCAAGUUGAUUUGAUCUUAUCGGUUUUGCCAGCCCAAGGUUGAACAGUGUUAGUGGGCCUCCACCACCGAGGAAAAGCAUUGGGCCGAAAACUGACCAACUGGACUGCACUUCAUAUUCAGACAACCAGUUUUAAUUAAUAGUGCUGUCAUAUUGUUCCUCUCUUGACAGACAUUUCUUUAUUUAAUAUUUUAUAAGUAAGCAAAUUCCUAUGCCUAUUGAAUUUUUAAUUGUAUCUGAAAAAUAAAAUUUAAUAAAUAAUAAUAACUUGUAACUUUUUUAAUUUUUAUUAUAUUUACUGUUUACUGUUUAGUCGGCAAUAUAAUAUAUAUGUUGAGAUAUGUUUGCUUUGGUAAAUUCACGGCCGGAAUUUGUAGGAGUAUGUGUUCAAUCUGUCCAUUACCAAAUUUCAGAUUCCAUUGUUUGGAAUCUUUGGAUAGUGCAGUUUUCAAACGAUUGGGUUAUGCGGGUAGAAUAUAGGCCGCGUCAAACGGGUUACAAACAUUAAUGUUAAAUGUGAUUAUAAGUUUUUUGGGUUCCGUAUAUUAUACCGGAUUGCGAUAAAAGUAGCUCAAGAAUCACUCAAGAUCGGUCCUUAAUUAGCACUCAAUAAUUUAAGUUGUUGGAAGAUGAGGAUAUAAAAUUAAGUUCAAACAGUCCAGUCUGACCAAUAUAACUGGAAACUCUAUGCAGUCUAGACUUGACAUUAUAUAAUAUUGUUUGUUCAAUAGAUGACAAGAUGGAAUCAAUGGGAAAAGAAGAUCAUUGGUGGGUGUGGGACUGGUGAACUUAUAAGCUACAGAGAGGGUGCAUGCAUGGGAAAACUGUACAAGUAUUAGUAAUAUAAUGGUCAAAAGGACAAGAAGACCAAAUACACGGGAGUUGCCGGCCUGCACCAUCAAACACAUCGAUCUCCAUUAUAUUAUAUAUAACAAACAAUGUUAUAACAAAGGACAAAACACUUCUGCCCCAACUAAAUACGCUACACACUUAUCCAGCUACACCCAUCGAGCUAACUAACAAGUUUUAAUCGAGUCAACUCUCAAGUCCUAGUCGAGUUGGUAACAAACCUCAAAACUCAAACAAACUGGCUCGCGAGCCAAACUCAUCGAAUUCAGGAGCCAGCCGAGCUGAAUCAGAAUUGGGUUGAGCUCGUUUAAAAUCAGAAUCAAGCUUCAAUAAAUUUUUUUCCUCGAAACGAACAUCGAAGUGUUCGUGAGCAGUCUCAUUCAUCAACAACCCUAUGCAUAUUGUGACGAUAUGGAAGUAAAGGACAAGAUAGCAUGUUUGUAGAACAGCCAACCAAAAACUGUGGGCUUGUUCAUCAGGUGUUGUUAAUGGAUCUUCAGUUCCUUAAAUGAAAAAGGACAACUCUAGUCUCUAGCUUUGCUGUUGAGUUAAAUGCUCAUGUUCCCUAGCUAGCUGCUGCUUGUAGGCCAUCAAGUUUUUGCAUAUUAUGUGGUGGUGGUGGGUCGUUGGAACAAUAAUCUUAAACAAAGAUGUGCUGGAUCUAUGAUAGAAACAGAAGGCUAUCUAUUCUUCUAAAUGACUGGAAUUUCAGGGUUGUUUGAAUAGGUGAUUUCGUUGUGCUAUUUGAAGGGAUUUGGAAUCAAAAUGACAUUCCGAUGACAUCUAAAUCGGAAAUCUAUUCAUGGGUGAUUUUGUUUGACGAGUUUGAGAUUUUGGACACUAUGUAUGGAAUUAUUCCGGCGAGGUAUAUACCAGAUAGAAGCCAUAGGCAUGGUGGAGAGAGCAUAACGACAUUCCGUGAAUACUUGCGCGACGCAGAAUGUUAGACUGGAGUAGACGGGCAGCUUCCGCAAAAUCAGUGCAUAUGGUGAUUAGAUGUAGGCGUGGUAUCCGCCUAAAAUCGCUUGCUGGAUUGCCAACUGCCAAGGUUAGUGGAUCUAUGGUGUGGCUAAUGACUUAACCUGUGGCAGAUACAACCGAGCUAAGAUUGUCGAUUAUUACCAAUCCGAUUCUGCCAAAACACCAAGAGCCAACGAUUGGCCAGCACACUGCCGCAUCGACGAAGAAAAUACAAGACACGUAUGCUUCGGUGUACCUGAUAUAUUUGUUCGAAACCGUCUCAGAACUCGUGUCUCCUUGAGCCAGAAUCGCACCCACCAAAAUGAGUUCCCAAAUGUAUUUAUUUUUCUUUUAACAACUUAAUACACACAACUUACACAGAAAAACCAUUAAUAAGAGGCAUCUCGUAGUCCAAUCGCCAAAGAAAAAGAACUCGCAAAAAUACCACAAAAUCUUUCCCUAUCUACAUUAAUGCCAUUUACUAUGAACACACACAAAACUGAUAAAAACAUAACAUUACUACAUGGACGGUUUAUAUGUUGAUGGUUGCUUCCCACAACCUCAGCACCCCGUUCCGGCCACCGCUGCAGAUCCUCUUCCGUUCGAGAUCCGAGGCCACACAUCGCACCUGCAUCGUAUAGAUUGAGAUUACUAAUCCUUCGUCUGUCUUAGUUUCGGUCUAGAGUACCCGAGUUAAAAUCGCUCUAACUAGUUGGUGUUUUAGCGGAGAAUGCAAACAACAAAGAUAUACAAUGAAGAUAGCUUGAUUAAGUUCAGUUGGAGAAACAACGGCACAAGGGUUCGUACCAUGGCGACGUUCUUUUGGGGUGUCCUGUAAAGUUGCCAACCGGGCAGUUUUGAACCCGAACCAGGAGCCAUGGCACCGAGUCGGUCUUGAGGCCGGUUGAAGAGGGACAUGGAAUUGUCAGCUGCUCCUACUCCCAGCCAGUUCUCGCCAGCGUUGAUGGACAGUAUGGAUGCUGUAUGGAUCGUAACGUUCUUCGUGCAUUUUAUGCCUCCUGCGUAGAUGAGAUUACAAAAGGCUCGUUCAGAACUAAUAUUCUCUUAUGAUUAUUUAAAUUGUGAAGUUUCAAUUUUCGGCUGAAUAUUCUGAUCAUACCUUCCUCAUUUUCCCAGAAUCGUAAUAGCCCAUCAGUUGAACCUGAGAUAUAUCACGUUCAAGGUUAAACCUUUGAAGUUUAAUUGAUUCAGCAGUGGCUAGGGAACUGGAAUUAAGAUAUUAUCAGUUUAGUAGAUGCGUCUCCAAACCUGUUAUAAUUCCUCGAUCUGCUUCGGAGUACUCCACACACAAGAUUGGCCCAGCAUGGCAGGCUAGUACGGCAUCGCACGUACCUCGCGAGACAGACCACACUCUGGCAGUCCAAUCAUCACUACCUGUUACCAAAGUAUCUCCAACCAUUCUAGCAGACCUGUACAAAUCGCAACGUAUAAGUUGAAAAUUCCUUUAAGCUUUGUCCAUGGCUUGGUAUAAUGAGACGGAUAGGAUAGGAAUACACGUGGAAUCCCAGUGUAGACAUUUUAGUUGAAGUUGCAGGGCUAUUAUUAUUAUUAUCAUAAUAUUCAGUUUUCAUUGUUAGUUAAGAAGUCGGUUAGAAGGUAAAACCUUCCACGUUGUUAGUGGGAAGGGGUUCCUAUUUCAUAGAAUCAUAGGAAACUCUAAGUCAGUAGUCUGUGUAUUUAGGGGCUGUUUUAUCUUCAAAGAAGCAUAUCGAAAUUAUUAUUCAGAAAUCACAAAGAGAGUUUUCUCAAAAGUUUUUCUUUACUUUUUCUGCGGGAUUCAGGCUGAAAUUAUUAUAAACAGAGGCAACUUACAAUUUGUAAGUUGAGGUUCGUAUCAGAGACAGGCAGGAAAAUGGUAACAGAAGAAGAUGGUCGAAACUCACCGAAUCCAUUUUGUGUGGCCUGUGAGCUUAUGCAUUUGUUUUCCGGCUCGGAUAUCCCAGACAUUUGCAAUCCUGGUAUGCAAUAGUAAAGGUAUUUCAAAUUUCAAUUAGCAUGCAAGGAACAGAUGUAAUUAAAUACAUUAGGCAAAGUAGCAGGGGAUGUGAAUUUUCGUACGCAUCUCUGCCAGCAGCAGCAAGGAUACCAGUGGAGUCGUCGUAUUCCAUGCACAUGACUGCACUAGAGCAACGGCCAACUGUUGCAACACAGGUGUCCGUUCUAACAUCCCACAUCUUCACGGUUCCAUCAUGAGCAGCGGUGAGUACCCUCUCACCUGACAGCAUCCGGACACAGCUGACCUGCAAGAAAAGAAAGGUAAGCUAUCUCAAGUAUUGAAUACCACAAAACGUUUGCCUUCUUUAAUGGUUAGGAAACCUGAGCAUCGUGGCCCUUUAAUUCUUCAAGAAGCUGUGACGUUUGUUUAUCCCACACAAUAACAUUCUGGUCAUCAGAUCCUGACACCACCUUCCCUCGAUCGGAACUUAUAGCACGAACAGUUCUGCAUAGAUAACCGAGAUGAAACAAUGAAACCAGUUUCAACUAGUACCAUAACUGAUUUUUUUAAAACAAUUGUGCAAAAAGGAGAAAACCUACUUUUUAUGCCCUUUCAAAGUUGCUCGGAGUUCGGAACCACGAAUGCUAGGAUCCCAGAUCUUAACCUGCAUCAUUAAUUGAAAAACUUAGACAGCUAUUUAUUACAAAAACUGAAAAUUUAAGCUUAUAGCUUAUGGAAAUAAGUCGGAUCACAGUAAACAUAACUUGCUCACAAUAAGUUAGAUAAGUUAGAUCCGAGCACAAGUAAUAAUGUCAAUGAAUAUACGUAAUCCUACUUGAAGAUUGAGAGAAUGGAUUAAUUCUUAUUCACAUCCCGUAGGCUCAAUAUAUAAAAUAGGCCUCCUACUGAUUAGGGAAGAAAAUAUUUACUAUCACUACCUAAUAGGAUCUGCUAGCUAAAAUAGGGUAGGACUAACACUAACAUGGUAACUAUCUAACUAGCAAAUAAAAUAAAUAAGAUCCUAAUAUAUAUAGAUAAGGACGGGAUUUCUUCACUACUUACCAAGGAGUCUGUGCUUCCACUAAUAAAGAAACCGGCAUCUUCACGGUCUCCCACCAAAUCCCAGACCUCUCUUCUUGUCACACAGUGCAAAGCAGUUACGGCACCGUUGUGGCCCCUAAGUACUCGAACAUUGGUUUGCAGCUUCUUUUGGCCACCAGCAGAAGAAUCUUUUUGCAGGGAGUAACAGUUUUGUAAUCAACAGAACGGUAAAAGCAAUAGAUGAAGUGAUAUGGAGACUAACAAGUGAUGUGUGCAAUACACAAGCAUUACUAAUUUUAUAAACAAACCUGAAGGACCAUCAGAAGUCCAUUUACGGACACGAGAAAACGAGUUUACUCUUGACGAAUCUCUACUAAACAUGCUCUGAACCCAGCUCCUUCCAACAACAGAUGCCUCGGCAGGUUGUUGGUUUUCAUCAGUGCCAUCUUUAGGGCGAGGAGAAGUCAAUCCAAGAGAUGUAAUGGAUGGGGUCUUUAUCGAUGAGGCUCCCCAGUACCCAAUGCGAAGUUGCUGUAUAUGUGUUAAAAAUCCCCGAAGUUGGAUCUGAAACAUUUAAAGCAUCAGAAUCAAUUAGCAAGGAAGAGGGUAUUCUCCGGGUAAUGUUAGACAAUGGGUAUAAAUGACUAUAAACGUUCAUUUAAUUAAUCUUAACCGGAACGUCAAUAAGUUGUAUCAAAUAACUGUAUCCUUGUAUUGCUAAGAUAUUUGACAAUCAACCGCAACUUUGACAGUACUUGACUAGUGAAGGUUUACUUACAAGCUGCUUGUAUCCAAUGCUAUUCUUCUCUGAUAUCAUUUCGAUCAUAUACCAAGCAUCGGUAUCAGGAAUUCCUAGACCAGCCUUUCCAACAUAACACAAAGACGAAACAAAUAAAAAAUAUAGACAUUUGAAGGAAGUUAAGCCACAAAAUGAAAUAUGGAGAAGAAUUUAAACCAUGUGUGAAGAGACUAGGAUUAGCUGUGUUGUCACUUGAGCAGCAUAAUUGGCCGACCUGAGGAAGAGAUAAAUGACCGUCACUAAUUAGUAUAUCUUUGGAGACUAAAAUGUCAUGAGCAUGAAUACUCGAGAGCAGGGAUACCAUUCUUAAAUGGAUGCAUGCAUAUUGCUUUGUCAGAUGACAAACGAAAGAACAAGGUAAAUACAUGCACAUUAUGCUCAAAAUUGAUACAACAACAUCCAUGAACAACGUUCCAUUAGAUAGUCAAAGUAUCCUUCCCAGAACCUGCAACAUAAUCAAAGACAUGUAAUAUAGCGAUAUGUAUGAAGCAAUACCUCAUGAGAGAAAUUAGAUAGGGAACUGGGAGGUAGUGUUUGAUUCGGAAAUUCUAGAAUACAACUUUAGUUGAUAAUCACAUAUGACAUUAACCAAAGCCUCUGCACGGUACUGAGUAAGAGAAAAUGAGGAUAUCGAUACCAAAUCCGUAUGGAUCAAUUUGUAAAACGUACCGUAGUUCUUCCCAUAUAGACAAAGAGAUAAGAUGGCGUUGCACAAAGUCUGGUACACUGUUGCUGUCUUUCUUAUACAUCUCAGCAGAUACCUCCAGUGCAUCUCUAAUGGUUGAGAGAUCAUUCCGUGAUGUUGCCCGACCAAUUGCUGUUUUAAGCUAAAGAUUGAAGAAACACUUCUUUUAUCAGUCAAGAAGACUGCUAAUUUAUAAACAAAUCUAAACAUAACCCAAUACUCUUCCAGUUGACUCUAUAGAAAAUAUGCCUCCUUCGGUCCUUCCUCAAACAGAUGGAGGGAGGAUUUGCAUUGAUUUACACAUAAACAGCCAGAUAUUCUCCAACUAAUAAGUAAUCUACAAACACAUAGUCGUUAACUAUAUCACAGAAGUGCAAAGGAGGCCAAAGGCCACAUAAGAAAUAGAUAACUAUACAUGUGUGUAGUUAUCUUGCAUACAAUUACAGGUUGCUUAUGUAGUCAACUUACCAAUUCUUUAACUGCAACGAAUUGCUCAUCAGUCAACUGACACUGCCAACCCUGCAAGGAUACACAUGUAAAGGUUCUGCUCCAAAACAGCAUAAAAAAUCAGCUUCAGCUUUCUCAAGUCACAUACAGAGUGUAUAUGCUCUCUUAUACAUUCGACAAAGCCGCUACCACCAAUUCCCUCUGCAUCAGACUCGAUCAGUGCUGCAAAGGAAGUGUAAACAGCCUGUUAAUCAGCAGCACUCUUUGGACAAAACAGGCUGAGAGGUUUUACACUUGCAUAUUUAUACCUAGAAUUGUCCCAUAUUCAAAUGAGGAAAGUGGAUCAUCAGUGACUCCCAAUUUCAACAGACGCAGCCAUAAGCCCUGUGCAAAAAUUUACAUUGUUCAUUAAAUAUGAGAAAUGAAAGGAUUCAUUGUAUGUAUUUCCUUUUUUUUUUGUACACACCUAAUUUACAUUAUUCUAGUUUUUGAACCCAAUAUUUAGUACCAUAAGCAACUUUUAUGCUAUUGCCAAAACUAUAUCCACCAACAAGUCAUGAUAAAAAAGUUGCAAGUAGUUGGUUAUAGAGCUAUAAGACAGUUAAUGAUAUGUUAUCAUGAGUGGACAAGGAAUCACAACAGAACAAAGAAGAUAAGUGAUUUUUGUUCACCUGCAGCUUAACUAUAAUGUCGAGGACCAUGCGGUCUCUUUCUGCCUGCAGAUAGUUCAAUUUUUUAUGAGUUCUUGAACAACAACGACCCUCUUUUCUAGAUUAGAUAUAAGUAACUUACAGCCCUCUCCAUUGGACUAAGAGCGUCCUUUCCCACUUGCACAGAUGGUGAGCUGAAAGAAAAGCAAUUACAUCAGAACGGCACAACUAGACAAAACAGUCCAACUGGACCUCCCACGAUUCCCCUCUCUCCCUUCAUCCAAAAAGAUAAGUAUACUCAUCCAAACACACAUACGCGGGAGCAGUUUUAAUAUACUCAAAAGCUCCACUUGCUGCAGCAAGAAUCUGUUUCCUCUUCUCCUCCUGCUCUUCAGAUCUUAUAUUAGUAGGAAACCUGUCAUAAAUAUAUUUUGCACCUGAUCCUGAAGAAACAAAGACAAUUUAGGCUUUAAGUUUGAUGGUCAAAAUUAGAAAUUAACUACCGACACAUCAUUAGAUGCAUUAAAAUACAGACAUGCUGAUUUAGAAUCCAAUUUUACCUGACGAUCCCCCAUUUGGAUCUGGUAUGGUCACAAAUUCAGGUUCUGCCGAAGAUGAGGGAAGAAUUGACAUGGGAUUUUGACCUCUUCCAAUGGCAUCUUGUAACUUGUCUAAGAGAUUAUUGUCACUUUCUUCGAGGCUCCCAGUUCUUCCCAGAAAAUCCAAGAAACCAUGAGUAUCCAAAAAUUGAGAUAUCUGUAAGCAGCAAUGAAAUUAGCAUCAUGAAAUGAGUGUCAUACACUUAAGCCAACUACAGUCGAACAUCCAAAAUGUAAUCCCACAAGGAAGUACCAACAUCAAACUUAACGUCACCCCUCUUUGCUCUAACUUUCCCUAACACCACCAAUUACAAGCAAUGACAUCAGCACGAGAAAAGGUCAACUACAAACCUCCAUUCAACAAUGACAACGACUCGUAAUUAUAUUCUAUUACCAUAUCAUUCAAAGUACACCAACAACUCAACUAGCAAGACUUUUAAUGAAGGUCACGUUACGAAUUCGAUAAAUGCAAGUGCAGCAAAGAAAUACAAUCCAACCAUGGCAUCUGGGGGUUGAUGUGUUGACCUAGAGCGCUUCUUCAAGAAUGCCUGAUUAUUGAAGGCCUGAGCUGCACUAUUUUCCUGAUAAAAUGAGUUAUGAGAAAACAAAUAUGAGGAGAUAACAAUGUCAUAGCUCCAAAAUUGAUUCCAGAGAACAAGAAUGAGGAAAUUUUUUCCAUACGAUGAAGUUGCGGUAGCCACCUAAGAUUGACGCAAAAAACCUGAGGAAUAUUAACCUGUAGAUGCACAAAAAUUUCAUUAAUAUUCAAACCAAUACAUGAUUAGCAUUUUUGGAAAUAAUUUAUGCUACUCAAGAAACCAUAGAGCAGCAACUAUAUUCAGACAGAAAAGACCGAUCCAGAAAAGGAGAUAAAAAGAAAGGAGAAAGAAAAUAAGCAUUAAACAGAUGGGACUCGGUAAUGAUAAAAGAAACUGGUCAGUCUAAUCGUAUAGAUGUGCAUUUCAUAUUCAAUAAAAUUCUCACUUCACGCAGAACUUCAGCUGACACAGAUAACAAGACUACAUUCUAGAGUAUGAAGAAACAAAAAGAAUGACAGAAGGAGAGAAACAGA